UAAUCAAAAAAAUUCCUUCCCUUUUUUUUCUCUUUUCAAAAAUAAACUAAGUUUUUCUUCGUAUACUAAGUUAAAGCUUUUACUAAAAUACAUAUAUAGAUAUAGGGCCCGUUUGCCCUAAAUUCUGAAAAAGUAAUUUCUGCAGAAUUAAAUUUGAUUUUGAAAAUUAAUUUUGCUUAAAAAUUGUAAAGGGUCUGGCUAAGUUUAGAUAGAAAUCAUUUUUUCUAAAAAAAUUUUAUAAAUCUAUUUGGUAAAUUUUUCUUUUUUUCUGUUUGCGAAUAAUCGGAUAGAAGAGUUUAUGCAUCUAACACAAUAGGGCGGACGAGGACUACAUCUAGGAUAGAAGAGUAGCUCUCAGUUUUAUGUCUUAAUUAAUUUGUUGGCUUCAUGACCAUUCAAUUCAUCACGAUGUUAAAGAAAGUUACAAUUCAAGAAACUCAUGCGAAGUAGACAUGUAGUUGAAUCUCUUUGCUUGCAACGAGAAUGUAAUUUCCAUCUUUAGGUAAGAUCUUUAAAUCUGGGCCUAAAAUUAAUCAUAACCAAACCAAUUUAAAACCAUUUGGAAUCAAAAUCUAAGUUACUUAAUUUCAAAACAGAAAGGGAAGCAUACUCAUAACUAUGUGCCAACACCCGCGGAGUGCACUUCAGCUGAAGCACGGAGCCGAGAUUGAUUCCGUACUCGGCCAGGGUUUUCUGCUUCUCCAAUUCCAAGUCAUUGAAACAAAGCCUCGGCUCUGGCGCUUGCGCUGCCCUGUUGAGGCCGAGAAUCUCGACCAGCACAUCCUCGACGGUGUUAUCGCCGUCCGCUAGAAGAACAUAGUUAUGGACGGCGCCCAACUGCACAACGAUCUCCAUCUCGCUUGCGAAUUCAGGUUCCCCGACGGAGUCCCAUGGUUGCAUGUUGGAAUUCGACAGUUCCGCGACGGAGGCCGGCAACUCUACAGAAUCCGCCAUCUCCAGCGUUCCUAUAUAUAUAUAUAUACGACUAAACCAAUUAAGCAACAACAAUUGCAAUAUCAUGUUCGCAUGCAAACAUUGUAAAUCACUGUGAUAAUAAUAGUAGUUAGUACCUUCUACGAGGAAGAAGAAGAAUAGUCGUGUGAUGUUCCAAUAGUUUAACACACAAAAGAAAUUGCAUACGGAACUCACAUUAUGUGUAAUUGGGGUCCGACACGUUUACUUGGCUCGCUGUUACAAUUCUCUCGCUGAAGCUUCCUUCUCUCUGGCAUGCGACUAUUCUAUUUUCUGCACGUGGAAGGUUAGGAUAAAUUUAGAUCGAGUCCACGGAGUAGCGUAGGUUUGGACAAAAUUAGAUAAGAGUCUGACUUAGAAUUUGGUGAAAUGCAAAUAUGAAUGUCAAAAUUUAGCAUUUUUCAAUAUAUAUUUGUACUCGAAUUCAUAUUCAAAAAAAUAUAUAAAUAUGGAUACACCCUAUGAAAUAAUUAUUUAUUUUAGUAAAAUUAUAGCUGCGAGAAUUAUAUAAUAUAUAUUAAGUAAAUCUGUAAAGAGAGAUAAUAUAUUUAAAUCUUGAAGUUAAAGUAUCGUUGAUUGACUCAAAUCAAACAAAGUUAAAAAUACGUUGGAUAAUAAAAUCAAAUUUUUGAAAGAUUGAUUAACCAAAUGAAAAUGGUUCAUAGUUCAGACAAAUUUUUAUAUUAAUUUUGUAAGUAAAAAUAUACGAAACUUAUCUAAAUUGUAGAUUAUUUUGAGUUGGUUUACCCAAUCUUUCAAAAUUUUAAUUUUACUAUCUAAUAUUUCAAUUUGUUAGAUUUGAGUCACUAAUAGUAUUUUAAUUUCAAAAUUUGAAUGUAUUAUUUAUCUUUAUAAGUUUAGUUGGUAUAUCUCAUACAAUUUUUACAAUUAUAAAUUUAUUAAAGUAAAUAAUUAGCUUAAAUUUUGAAGUCAAAAGGCCGUUGAUUGGCUCACAUUAAGCAAAUUAAGAGAUUUGAUAGUAAAAUUUAAACUUUAAAAAGGUUAGAUAGUCGAUUUAAAAUAAUAUAUAAUUUAGACAAAUUUCGUUUGUUUUUAUCUUUUUUUUGUCUAUACUUCAUCCAAGGAUAACAAUGGAACGGUGCAGUGUUGUCAACGGAAAUAAAAAUGGAGUGCUAUUGAUUGUGAGAAGUGGGCCUUAGAUGGCUCAGUGAAGUUUCUCGUUAAGACCUUGGAGAUGUGGGUUGAGUGUAGACCUGGCAACGGGCGGAUUGGGUAACCCGUGGACGAGUUAUUAUAUCCGCUGGUUACUUGUAAAAUUUACUCGCAAAUUUUUGAAUAGCCAACAUCUUUAUCCAUACUCACCCACGGGUGGGCGGGUGGGUAUACGGGUUAUCCACAAUUUUUUUUUUUUGCUUUUAUUUUUUUAAAAUGCAAAAUAUAUAUAUUAGUUUAAAAAGCGUAAUAUAAUCUCAUUAUUUGAAAUAUCAUAACAUACAAUAAAAAUAUUUAAAGUCUUAAAGCAAAAAUAUUUUAUAAUAUAAAAGAUACGCAAUAAGAAUUUGGAUUAGAAUUUUUAGGAUAGGUAAAUAAAAAAUAUAUAUUAAUUAAGAAAAUAUAUUUUGUAAUUAAAAAAUAUAUGUGCGGGUACCCAUGGGUACCCGCGGGUUACGCAAAAUGCCCACUGCUUAAUGGAUACCCACCUGUUUUACCCGUAAUUUUUUGGGUUGGAAAAGUUGGUAUCCAUACCCAUAAAUUUAUGGGUAACCUGCAGGUACCUGUGGGUUUUGGUCAAAAUUGCCAGGUCUAGUUGAGUGAAUAGGAGCUCUCAACAAGUCCUUUUGAAGGUGUCCAAUUUACGAAGAACUUAAAAGAGUCGGAUUCUCUUUGAUAGUGUUUGGUUCGGGAACAAGGGGGGGAAUAAGCCCUUGUUCCCCCCUUUGUUCCCAAACGCAAUGUUUGGUUCCCGGAAGCUUAAAUUUUCUUCUUUUUUUUUUUUUUUUUUCCUCUAGCCAUCUUAUUGAGCUGAUAUUCGGUUUCUGAUAGAAAUAAUCAAAAAAAUUCCUCCCCCGCACCCCCUCCUUUUUCUUUUUUUCCACUUUUCAAGAAAUAAGACAAAGUUUCUCUUCAUACUAAGUUAAAAGCCUUUUACUAAGAUACAUAUAUCGAUAUAGGGCCGUUUGUCCUAAAUUCUGAAAAAUUAAUUUUACAAAAUUAAUUUUGAUUUUGAGAAUUAAUUUUGCUUAAAGUUGUAGAGGGUCUGGCUAAGUUUAGAUAAAAAGUAAUUUUUUUAAAAUGAUUUUGUAAAUCUAUUUGAUAAUUUUUUUUUUCUAUUUGCAAAUAAUAGGAUAGAAAAGUUUAUGCAUCUAACACAAUAGGACGGACGAGGACUACAUCUAGGAUAGAAGAACGCAACUAAAGUUUACCCAAAUUUAACCAAACCAAUACUAAUUAAAAUCCGGGUCUAAAUUUCUAGAAUGGAUUUCUCCCUUUAAUGUAAGAGCAACGUUCGUUUCUCUAAGUUGAUGUACAGAUGAAGCGUACUCAAAGAACUUAACAUUGAAAGAAAUUGUAUAACUUACCAGUACUUCGGUUGUUUAAUUAACUCUGUAUUUAUUUUGACUCUCGAUGAGAAGAUAGGAUCUACAUCAGGAGCAGGCAGGAUAACACAAUCUACGUAUUUGAAAAGAUAGGAUAAUNUGUUCCUUGGCGACAAUAACGAAGGCGGGGCCGUCUCCUCUUCCUCCGCCUCUGUCACAUCCCGGGCCCAAGUGGAAGCUUAUCCGGCACGUGUACAGACCCGUUGUGCGCACAAGGCACCCCUGGUGCACACAAUGCGUCUAUCACAAAACAUAUAACAGAGAAGGAAUGAGAGAGAUAAUAAGGAAAUAAACCUAUCAUGGUAAUCAGAGCAUAAGUACUAACAAAACACUAAAGCAACAAUCCAAUAGAGGAAAUAACGAGUUACUACAACAAAAGGGUACAACUAUUAUAAGAUAUACAUAAGUUGAUAAAAGAAGAAAUACAUCUCAGAACAUAUGGUAGUUUCUAUACAAAAUGGUCGGGUACACCCUUCGGGACAAAACAAAGAAAGGUGACCACCUAAGCAAAAAACUUCCAAAAAGGCUCUAGCUAGUCGCAACUCCCUUACCGCGGUCCUUACACAUGUGCUACAGGAAGCUGAAAACAAGAUUCACCUUACACGAGAGCGACUGAUCUCGGCUCAGAGUAGACAAAAAAGCUAUGCUGAUAAGUGUCGGCGAGAAUUGGAAUUCCUAAUAAGAGAUCAUGCCUUUUUGAAGGUCUCACCGACGAAAGGGAUUAAGAGAUUUGGUAUUCGAGGAAAGUUAAGUUCUCGAUUUGUUGGACCUUUUCAGAUCUUGGAGCAUGUAGACCCAGUAGCAUAUCGGCUUGCUUUGCUGCCGAACCUAUCGGGAAUACAUAAUGUGUUUCAUGUUUCCACGCUUUAGAAGUACUUUUUGACCUAGCUCACAUUUUGAACUCCACUCUAUUAGAGUUGACGAGGACUUGAGCUUUGAGGAGCAUCCUGUGAUGAUUUUGGCUCAUGAGGUGAAGAAACUUCAUAAUCAUGAAAUUCCCUAUGUGAAGGUAAUUUGGAGCAACCAUAACAAGCGCGAGGCUACUUAGGAGUUGGAGAGUGUGCUGUAGGAGCGUUAUCCCCAUCUUUUCCAGAUAGAUUCUUAGGUACUCAACUUUUAGUUUCGCGGAGGAAGCUCCUUUUUAGGAGAGUAGAGUGUAGCACACCGAACUUUAGUAAAUUGCAAUGUUCCAGUGUAGGAAUAGUGCUUUGAGCUAUUCUGAAAGUUUUGAAGGUUGUUUGGAAUGUUUUGGGCUGUUUUCGGAGCUAGUUAGGCACGAGAACAGGUUCCCGACAUCAAAACUUGCAUAUUGCAGAUUUUGGUGUUGAGUACCGGUACUGGAUUGAGGUACCGGAACUCAGUAGAGUGCCGAAAUGGACAGCUCUCGGAUUUUGCAGAAUCUAGCUGUGUGUACCGGUACUCAAUGCUGCAAAACCUAAUUUCGUGCAGUAUACUAUUUUUGGGUUUUUGAGGGGCCUGAUGAAAAUUGUUACAUUAUGUAGUAUAACCCCUCAUCCCCCUCACUUGUUCACUUUUGGGCUGAGGUUAGAGAAAGGAGAAGGUGAGUGCUCUCUCUCUUGGAUUUCUUCCUCCUAAUCCCUAAAAUCCUUGGAUUUGAUCUCUUCUUCUCAAUCUUCUAUAUUGAAGUUUGCUGCUUGGACCUUGAAGGGAGCUUGGGAGUGAAGAAAGGAGCCUGUUUGAGCAUUCAACUCCAACCUAGCAUUUUUAGCUUGGUUGGAGUUUUUGUUGAGAUUAGUAGUCUUUUUAAAUCCUCUAAUUGUGAGUUUUGUAAGAAUUUUGGAAUAAAACCUAGUUUUAAGGAAACUAUGAUUUAUUUUGGGAUUUCUUGAUUUGAAUUUUUUAGGUUAAAUUGCUGGGUGUUGAACCCUUUCUUAAGUUGGAUUUGAAGCCUUCUGACUUUGGUUUGGAUCUUGGACAAGUUCUACUUGAUCAAAGGUAUUUUUCACCUAUUUUUCUAUUGAAUUUUUGGUGAAUUUCGUUGUAAACUUUUUAGAACCUUGUAAUCCUUUGAAAAUUUUUCUUAGGAUGUUAGGAGUCUAAGAGAUAACUUCGUUUGGUGAAACGAAUAAGUAUCGAAUAAUAUCCGGUGAGUUUGACCUUACCGAAAUGGAUAAACUCUUCCUAUAUCUCCUAUAUUGCUAUAGGAUUUAAAUUGAUGCAUAUUCAUGCUAUUCAUGACUAGGGGUGUAAACGAGCCGAACACAAGCGAGCUGGGGUCGGCUCGUGUUCGGCUCGUUUAUUAAAUGAGCCGAACACGAGCUGACUCGUUAAAGUAUCGAGCCGAAAAAUCCAGCUCGUGUUAACUGGCCCACGAGCUGGCCAACAAACUUUGAUAAAUUAAAAAGAAUGAAAUCGAAAAGAUAUAAAAAAUAAAUUUAUAAAAACUUCAAGUCAUAUAGAUCAUGAUCUAACAGUGAAAAUCGUACAUAUGAAAGCUCAAUUUUUCGAAAACAAAUGGCUCGCAUACAGAUGCCUAGUUUGCUAAAAAUAAAAUAAUAAAAAAACACAUUAUAUAUAAUUAUUUAUUUAUAUAUAAAAAUAUAAAUUAAAUAAAUUAUAUAAAUAUAAAAUAUAUGUAUUCGAGUUAUUAUCGAGCCGAAUAGGAGCGAGCUGACCCCGGCUCGUGUUCGGCUCGUUUACUAAACGAGCGAUUCGAUCUCGAGCUCAUUUCGAGCCGAACACGAGCUGGCUUGCGAACACGCGAGCUGGAUUGCCACCCCUACUUAAUUCCAAACAAAAAGGGAACAAAAAGGGAAUAAAUCAUACUCAUAGGUGUGUGCCAACACCCGCGGCGUGCACUUCAGAUGAAGCAUGCAGCCGAGUUCGAUUCCGUAUUCGGCCAGGGUUUUCUGCUUCUGCAACUCCAGGUCAUUGAAAAAAAGCCGCGGCUCCGGCGCUCGGCCCGCCCUGUCGCUGCCGAGAAUCUUGACCAGCACGUCCUCAACAGUGUUACGGCAGCACACUAGGAGAUGGUAGUUGUGGGUAGCGUCGGACUGCACAGUGAUCUUCAUCUCACUGGCGAACUGAUCAGGUUCCCCGGCGGAGUCCCACUUGGAGUUCCACAGUUCCGCGACGGAGGCCGGCAGCUCUGCAGUAUAUAAAUGACUAAACCAAUUAAGCAACAACAAUUGCAAUAUCAUGAUGUUCACAUGCAAACAUUGUAAAUCGCUGUAAUAAUAAUAAUAGUAGUUAGUACCUUCUUAUAUAUGGAUCAAUUAAUUAAUUACAGCGAGUCAAAGUAUCACAGGCCACAGCAACUCCGAGAGAGAAAGAGAGAUACACAAAAAUAAUAGAAAGAAGAGGGAGGAUUUAUAGAAAUAAGAGGACUUAGUGAGAAAGAAGAAGAAUAGUUGUGACGUUCCAAGAAAUUGUUCGUACGGAUCUCACAAUGUGUGUAAUUGGGCCCGACGAAAACGCGUUUACUUGAUUCACUGUUAUUUCUCUCUCUGGAAGCUUCCCACCUCUUUCUGGAGUACUACUUUUUUCUUUUCUUUUCUUUUCUUUUCUUUUCUUUUCUUUUCUUUUCUUUUCUUUUCUUUUCUUUUCUUUUCUUUUUUUUUUUAAAAAAAAAAUAGCAAACCAACAAAAACAACAAAAACGUACAGAGAAAAAAAGACAGCAACUCCGAGAGAGCUGACAUUCACUGUUAUUUCUCUCUCUAAAAGCAGCAUGAGCUUGAGAACAGAGCCAGAAAAACACGAAACAAAACAAAACAACAAAAACAGAGAGAAAAAGAAGAGUAGAGGAACAGAGAGAAAGGAGAGAAGGAGCAGGAGGAUAAAUUUUCUUUUUUUCUUUUUUUUUUUCAGCAAGUGGUAGUCGUAGGUUGGAAUAAAUUUAGAUCGAGUCCACACGGAGGCGUAGGUUAGGAUAAAAUUAGAUGAGUCUGAAGUAGAAUUUGAUGGAAUGCAAAUAUGGAUGCCAAUAUGGGGACUCAUCUGUAAAAAAUUAGGAAGCUCCUAUUUAAUUUACCUUUUUCUAUAAUCUCUUGUUAAAUAUAAAAAUAUUUAAACACCGUUCUCUAACAGUUUAAGCUUUUAGAGUACAACGAUUGUUUCACAUGGUAUCAGAGCAGGAGAUCCUGAGUUCGAGUCACGCCAGGCUCCUAGCAUAUUAAUUUCCUCCCAUUUAAUUCAAGCCCACGUCAUGGGACCCAGACGUGAGGGGGAGUGUUAAAUAUAAAAAUAUUUAAACACUAUUCUCUAACAGCUUAACCUUUUAGAGUACAACGGUUGUUUCACAUCUCUCUCCAAGAUACCCGAUCGCAUAAGAUGUUUACGCACCAUAUAAAUUCUAUAAAUCUACUAUUCUAUACAUAACCUUAUCGUGCGGACGCAUUCGUAUACGGAUGAAUUAUGAUUAGAUGAAUUAUGGUUAGAAAAUUAUUUAUGUACUUAUAUCAAGAUCAGUACUGUUGAUCUUAAUUUGAAGUAUUCUAUUUUCUUUUUUUAUAAGGUUUUUAAAUUUGAACCAUUCAUUUUGUGGCAGCAUGACGCACUUGACAAUGAUAUUAUAAAAAAAAAUUAUGAACUUUCAAUUCCUAACAACUUAGAAAAUCUUAGAUUACGCUUAAUGGUGUGAAUUACUGAUUCAAAAGUUCUAUUAUCGAAAAUAAGACUAUAACACAAAAUACUUUGUGCCGUUAAUAUAACGCUAGCUUAGCUUUAUGCUUUAAUUUUCAAAACUUUUGAGAGAAUUCACAUCUUCAAAGUCCACUAAUAAAAGAAGAAUUUUAAAAAUUCAUCAAGUAAAUUCAAGAUAUUAAUCAUUUUCCAGGACCAAAGGGCCAAUCAUCUCUUCGAAUAAAAAACAACUAAAGAAGAAACAAAUCCUUCACAUAACUAUGCUCCAUCAAAAUAAUUAACAAACACUAAUUUAACUUGAAAACUUAAUAUAAAUUUUUUGCUUAUAUUAUUCUUUGAAGAGUGCCUCUUUAAUCAUGGUUACAAUAUGUGAACUAUGGUAUGUACAAUAUAUUUGUGAUAUGAUUUGAUAUAGCAACCUACUAAGUUUUUUUUUUGAGAAAGAGGUAGCGAGCUAUCUGCUUCAUUCAUCAAGCAAAAUGAACUAAGCGUACAUGAUGAAAGCAGCUAAGGCCUCCUAUGAAGCGGAAAAAAAUAGAAAAUGAACAAGGAAGGAAAAAUAGAGCUAUAGGAGAAAGCUAUAGAGCUAGGACAGGUGAUGCGGAAACACAAAAGAGAGAUAUCCGGAAGAAAAAGAAAGGGAUCACAGGUCGUUCCCGGCAUUCAUCAAGGCAAGAACGUCCAGUCGUUCGUCAUCAAGCAACCUACUAAGUUACAAUCCAUUUGGAUGUAUAUGGUGGCUAAUAACAUAAUCAUAAUAGGACCAUCAGAUAACAUCAUAUAGUAGGUACUAAGAUGAUGCACAAUUAAAUUAAUGAGAAAUGACAUUCAAUAAAGUUGAAAUCAUUCUCAUGUUUACUUUGUGUGCAUAAUAGUCAAGUAACACAUUUUCAAAUAAUUGUUUGCUUUAUUACAGUUACAAUGCACAUUCAGAGUUUGUAGAUGACAAUGAACAAAAUGUAUGAAAAUAUAGUGUUGUUGUUCUUCUCCAAAAAGCUCUGCUUCGGGUUUUGCCUGCGCGAAUGCCCAAAUAGUUUGAAUCAAUUCAAGUAUAAAAAAGGAUCGAUAGUGUUGGAUAAAGAAUAAUAAUAAUAAUAAAUACGGUUAGUAUACCUUAAUAUAUCAAUUCCAUUCAUUAUCUGUAGCAAUUACUACGUGACGUUGGUAAUCCCACCUACGUGUUGGUUGUUGCUCGAUGUUGUUCACCGUUUCAUAUUCGGUUGUGUAAAAGCUCAACCGGUCUUUCAAAUCUUCAACUUCAUAAUUCGACGCUGUUGCCUUGCUGAAUCUAGCCACUAUGUUAUGCAAAGCAUCCAUUUUAAAGCCUUACCCGUCUCUCCCGCCAUUAUGCACAUGUUUUACCAUCAAAUCAAGCAGUGCUUUGGGGUAGCGUUCUUCAGCCAAAUUGCUAAAAGGUUGGUUUCCUCUUUUGAUGGUUAAUUCAUUGUAGUAUUAUUUUUGUCAGCUCUCUAUUCUGCAAGUGAAAUAAAACAAGAAUAUCCUAGAAAUACUUUUAGGGUGCGUUUGGUUCGCAUUAUGAAAGAUUACUAGGAAGGAAAAGAUGUCCGAGAAUCUUAUUCCUAUUCAUCAUAUUACUAAGAAUGUGGAAUUCCUGUGUUUGGUUCGCAUGGUCAUAUUAUUUAGCCAUGUUAUUUAAGAUUACAAAAAAUAUACAAUUAAUUAAUUUAUUUUUUAAAUUAAUUUUAGAUAAUCUACCAAAAAUUUCAACAUUUUUUUAGAAAAAAGGAAGAGAGAGCAUAGGUUAGAAAGAGAGAGCAUAAUUAAAAAAAUAGUAAGAGAAAUAGAGUCGAAAUUAGAGGGAGUGAGAGAGUUGAGAUUUUAGAAAAAGAGGGAGAGAGAAAGCUUAGUAAGAGAGAAAAAGAGUUAAAUUUUAGAGAGAAAGAUAAGUUUAGAGAGAGAUGUGAGAUUAUAGUAUGAAGAAAAAUAAUACCAAUUAGCCGACGGAUAGGGAGAAAGAAAGAGAUUAGACAUAUUAUGAUUACCCCAAUCCAUAUUAUAGGAUACCCACCCUUUCUCAAGAGAAUGAGAUUAGUACUUUGGGAUGAAUCUUAUUCCCAAGUAAAUCCAAUAUUACUAACUAGAUUACUUAGUGCGUUUAACCAAACACCGUCAUAUUUUUUUAUUCCUAUUGGAUUACUAGGAAUCUUUAAAAGAUAGCGCGAAUCAAACGCACCCUUAAACUAAAAUAACAGAGAAUAAUGAUGAUUGAAAAUAGUAGAAAAUCGUAAUCAUAGAACAUCAUUGUGGACGGCGUUUCGACUGCAUGCACAGUGAUCUCCAUCUCACUGGCAAAGUCAAGUUCCACAACGGAGUCCGGCGGCUCUACACAAUCCAUCUCCACCAACUCUAUAUGGACACAUUGUGUUGUUCAAAUAAUCACAUUCAAUAUAGAAAAUCUAGUGACUUACGAAAUCAUUGAGGGAGCAUUAAUAUAAGCUUACACUAAUGAUAGAUGCUAACAUAAAUACAUAUUUAAAUAGAUCAGAAGUGGCAUGCGCAAAAUAUAGUGUAACAAUGUUUGCCUCGGUCAAGAGGCGAGAUUAUUGUGAGAAUGUUGAGAUCUCAUAGCUAGAGAACGAAGAGAUUACAACACUAUUUUUAUUUCAAGAGAGUCACUCAUAGGAAAUCACGAUAUUUUAUUUUUUUUUCUCGACAAACACACUUUCAUAUAAAUUAAUAUACGGUACUUUUCUGCUUCGAUAGUCCUUCGCACUAGGAUUUUCCUGUGAAAAAGGAGAAAGGUUUGAAUAAAUUGGAAUUAAGUACUAAACACUUCGAAAAGCAAUGUGGUAGUAUACCUGAAUAUACUUAUUCCAUGCAGCAUCUGUGGCAAUUACUACUUGAUGUUGAUGAUCCCACCUAAACUCCGGACGAUUCUUGAUUUUUCCCACUAUUCCAUAUUCACGUUUAUAAAUCUCGAAGCGAGCAUGCAAAUGUUUUUCUUCAUAUUUCAUGCCUGUUGCUUUAUUGAACUCGGUUACUAUAUCACGCCAGGAAUUAUUUUUAUAGUCUAGUAUUUUUCUCCCUCUUGAUUGAAUUUGCUUUACCAAUAAAUCAAGCAGUAUUAGAUCAUGCUUUUCUUCCCAUAUUACUGAAGGGCGAUACGUUAUUUUAAAGUAUCUCCAAAUUGGCUAUCGUACAAUUGUCACUUCCCCCCCACUCGCCGCGACCUCUUCGCCAGCCAAGGCGGCCGCCUUGUCCGUUGAAUAUUCUGCGGCCCCUCCCCUCGCCGCAUCCGCCUCUUUGGCCGGCGAACGGGUGUCCGUUGACGUCUCGGGUGGCGGGUCGUUUAAAUUUUCAAACCUCUCCGCUGUCCCCGCAUCCCUAGACAACGGUGACAUCAGGGCUGCAGACUGCCGCCUUCAGCUUUCACGCCCCCCUUUCGCCAGCUGUUUUGCUAACGCCUUUUUGGCCCCUGUACCCGCGAAGGGAAGCUUCGUAUCUCUAUCCCAGGGAUCCCUUCUGGCAGAAUUAGACAAAAGGAGCUCUGGGGGGAUUUUCUUCUCCCUCGGGAACCGGCGGAGUUUCUUCCUACGAUUCUCUACAUCCUUCUCGUUUUCUGUGCGGCCCCCCUCCAAACUAGUUGUCGGAUCUCUCGGAUCCCUCCUUCUGCAUGCUUCCUUCGGGUCGGAUGUGUGGUUCGGAUCCGCAAACCUUCUCUCCUGCCACCUGGGACCCAAUUGGACCCUUAUCCGGCGCCCUGGGCCAGACCUAAGCUCGGGCGGGCUUUCUGCGUCCACUAAUGCCCCAUGCUGGCUCCCACCCUCCUGGUGCUUGGGCUUGGGCCGCGGCUCGGGCCCGGGCUCGGCCACGGGCGGCCUGGACGCAGGCAUCGUAAUGGACUUGGGCGUGGGCUUCGGUGUCGACUUGGGUGCCGGGUCGGGUGCGGCCCUGCGCUCAGGCUCGGACGUGGGCUUGGAGGAGGGCUUCGACGAGGUCUUGUCUGCGGGCCUGGAACCGGACCGGGGCGAGGGCUUGGGUGCAGGCCCAGACGAGGAUUUGGAGACACGACUGGGCGCGAGCUCGGCCGACGACUUGGGCGCGGGAUCACCCACGGGCCUGGGCGCCUUUAAGGCUCCAAGCGACCUUGCGGGAGGUUUUGGACCGGUCGAGCUCGAGCGCCCUGAGGUGGCGCGCGGGGACAGCGGAGGCAGCGGAGGGGCGGCGUCGGAAGGCGGAGGCAGAGGAAGCGGUGGGGGUGAGGGUGUUCUUGGAGGCGGCGAAGAAGACGGAGAGAGGAGAAUGGGGGCUAUGGGUUUUACGGUUCGGGACGGAGGGGUGCGGGGUCUUGUAGUUGGAGACGUCGCGGAAGAUGUGGCCGCAGCCUGGGCCGUCGGGUCGGGCGUAGAGGGAGCAAGCUUCGCCAUGGGCAUGGGCGCAGACUGCGGCGCCGGGUCGGGCUCGGCCUUGGGAGCGGGCUCGGCCUCCAUCGUGGACUCGGGCGCAGAGUUUGGCGCCGGCUUGGGCGUGGCGUCGGGCUUCGAGGCGGGCCGGGGCGCGGCCUUGGCCGUGGGCUUGGGCGCAGACUUGGGCGCCGGCUUGGGCCAAGCCUUCAAGCCCAAGGGACCUUGCGGGCCGGGGCGCUUGGGGGCGGGCUCGGCCGACGGCCUAGGCGCGGGCUCGCCUGCGGGCCUGGGCACAGGCUUUCCAACCUGCAGCACCCACCUGGCCUUGAUUUCCACUUGCAGCCACCCUCCCAACUUGGACCGUCCCACCUCGGAUCCACCCAGAUCUAGCGGAAGAGUCCGCAGCCAGUUUCCUGGCUCUGUUUUACGCAAGGCCAUGCUCAGAAAGGCGCAACUACUCGAAGGCGACCCAGCUAUUCCCAGUCACUCUACGCGCAAAUGGUCCAAGAAAAAAGUUAAGGCGAAAGGUCUUCGCUGCGGGGUGGACCUUCAUGAAGAGGCCGUUAAGGACUUCCUUGAGUUCCUGAGUGGGAAGGCCUAGGAGCGGCUGGAGGAGCCGCGGGUGUUGUGUUUCGUGUGUCUUUCCUUUCUGAUGUUUAACAUUUUGUGUUGGAAUGUUCGGGGUCUCAACGACCCCUCUAAGCGCCGUUGUGUCAAGUCUGUUGUCUCCAGUCGUGUUCGUUCUGUCAUCUGUCUCCAAGAAUCUAAAGUGGAUAGUGUGUCUCGCUCUUUUCUUCGCUCUUGCUGCGGAUCUGCUUUUGAUAGAAGCCACUUUAUUCCUGCAUCUGGGGCUUCUGGUGGGCUCAUCACUUGUUGGAGCUCCAAAUUCUUCUCUUGUAGCGAGGUUAUCGUGAGAAAGCACUCUCUCACUCUCCAUCUAUCUUGUCUCAAGAGUAAAAAGCAUUUCUUCCUCACGAACGUCUACGGGCCAUCUACCUGGGACGGCAAGGAUGAAUUCUGUCUCGAGCUUCUCUCUUUACGCGGGGUUUGCACUUCCAACUGGGUGAUCUGCGGAGAUUUUAACUUUACCAAAAAUCAAUCUUAACGAAAGGGAAACCUCUGGAGCUCUAAGGCGAUGGCUAUGUUCUCUGAUCUGAUUUCCAACUUAGCGGUCAUAGAUCUCCCUCUGUCCAACCAAAGCUUCACUUGGUCGAACAUGCAACGCAGACCCACACUGGCAAAACUAGACAGGUUCCUCGUUUCAACUGAAUGGGACCAAUCUUUUCCUCACAGCAAGGUCAAAGCCCUCCCUAGGAUCACUUCCGAUCACGCACCGAUCAUCUUAUCCACCGAAGCGCAACUCAUACCCAGACGAUUCCGAUUCGAAAGGGUUUGGCUCACUAAAGAAGAUUUCCACUCGAAGGUGCCAAUCUGGUGGAAUGAAAUUGCUGACAAGAAUUCGGGUAUCCUCACAAUUACUGCCAAACUCAGACACUGCCGAACCAGAAUUAAAGAAUGGUGUAAGACGAGUUUCUAUAGCAUAUCGCUCUCGAAGAAGAUUUUAGAGGACGAACUGCAUGACAUUGAUCUCUUAGAAGAACAACACGACCUCCCCCAAGAUCUAAUAGACAAGCGAGCCAAUCUCAAACGUCAUCUACUCUCUAUCUUGGGGGAGGAAGAAAUCCUUUGGAAAACUAGGGCCAAACAACAAUGGCUAAAGGAAGGCGACUCCAACACUAAAUUUUUUCAUGCAGUGGCUAACGGGCGAAAACGCUCCAACUCGAUUGAUGUGAUUGAAGACAACUACGGGAGAGAAAUCACCAACGAAGCUACCAAACGGUCAUUCUUCCUGCAAGCUUUUAAACAACGGUUUGGACAAGCAGACGACAGAGCGAUAUCUUAUGGGGAUUGGAGUAACCUUUACCUCUCUAAUAGACUGCACAAUGCUGACUCCCUUACGUCCCCCUUCACAAUCGAGGAAAUCAAAACCGCCACCUUCCAACUUGGAAGCGACAAGGCCCCGGGACCAGACGGCUUCCCCCUCUCCUUCUUCCAAACUUUCUGGGAGACUGUCAAAACGGAUAUUUUAAAAGUUUUCACUGACUUGCAAGAUAAUAAUCUCUUCACCGGCCCCUCAGACUACUCACUUCUUUGCCUAAUCCCGAAGAAAGAAGGAGCACGCAAGGCCAACGACUUUCGUCCAAUUAGCCUUAUCAAUAGCAUUCAAAAAAUCAUUUCCAAAGUCCUGGCUAACAGACUAGCCCCCACCCUGUCAUCUAUUAUCUCACCAACUCAAUCGGCUUUUCUCAAAGACCGGUUGCUGAUGGACUCGUUCGUAACAGCAAGUGAACUAAUUAACUGGUGUUCGAAGACUGGAAAGGAAUGUGUAUGCAUUAAAGCGGACUUUGAAAAGGCCUUUGACAACGUACGCUGGGACUUCCUGAAAAGCAUUUUGCACUGGCUUGGUUUCAACGACAAAUGGUGGGCAUGGGUUGAGCAGUGCAUCUGCAACGCCAAAGUAGCCAUUUUAGUCAACGACACCCCGACUGAUUGGUUUAAGAUGAGAAAGGGUCUUAGACAGGGCGACCCCCUCUCGCCCUACCUCUUUAUUUUGGUGGCUGACUGCUUAGCUAGAUUGACUGAUACUGCAAGGAAUAACAACCUUCUCCGUGGUAUUGGACCGUCCACUGAUUGUCAAACUACGCUGAUUCAAUACGCGGACGACACAAUUUUCUUCUCCGAGCCUAGAAAACACUUAAUGCGAAACCUACAGUUUAUUUGGUAUAUCUUCGAGUGGGCUUCAGGUCUGAAAAUCAACAUGGACAAAUCAGACCUGUAUUAUCUGGGCCCUAACCCCCAAAGAGCCAACAGACUUGCUAACAUCCUUGGAUGUAAAGUUGGGAAACUCCCGUUCCGCUACCUCGGUCUACCGCUUUAUAAUAAACACCUACGAACGGAAGAUUGGGCUCCGGUCAUUGAUCGCAUAUCAGCAAGAAUCGAGGGGUGGAAAGCCAAACUCCUAUCCUAUGGGGGUAGACUCACGCUCGUCAACUCGGUUCUCACUAACUUGCCGCUAUUUUAUUUCUCCAUCUACAAAGCGCCGCAAUGGGUUUUACACAGGAUCGAAUCACUUAGAAGAUCUUUCUUCUGGAAAGGCUGCGCUAGCAUCUCUGGAGGAGCCUGUCUUGUCAGUUGGAAGUCCAUCUGUAAAAGUAAGAAAGAAGGUGGGUUAGGGAUCAAAGAUUUGGAGGGAAUGAAUCUGGCGCUGCUAUCUAAAUGGUGGUGGCGCUUCUUCAACGAACCACAAUUACUGUGGCCCAAAUUGAUUUCAUGCCUCUAUUAUGUCAGAAGAAGACCUUUACAUGAGGGAAGAAGUUUUGUACCCCACUCGCAGUGGUGGAAAGGUGUUCUGCAAUGCCGCGACGCCUUCAAAUGCGGUUUAUCUUUUGAGCUUGGCGAUGGUCGGAACAUCAGGUUGUGGUCCGAUAUUUGGAUUGGUGAAACAUCUUUGAGCACCUUGUUUCCAGACAUCUACGCUCAAAUCGCGAACAAGAAAGCUCGGAUAUCUCAAUGCUGGAACCAUAAUGGAUGGAGAUGGCGUUUUAUCACUAGAGGCUUCGCGGCGCCCCGAUUGGCCCACAGUGGUAGACAGCUGCAAUUACUCAAAGACACACUUACAAGCAGACACCCGUGCAGCAGAGAAGANCAACGGCCGAAAACUCAAUAGUACCAAGGACUAGAUAUAUAUAUAUAUAUAUAUAUAUAUAUAUAUAUAUAUAUAUAUAUAUAUAUAUAUAUAUAACUAUCAGCAUAUAUUGAUAAAAUACAUCGAAAAUGAAUUCUUCAUUUAAUGUAUAAUAAAAUAUCAAAGCAUAAAUGCAUGUGACUAAUUAAUAUGUCCUGAUUACAUACCGCCCCAAAUGCAAUUAACAAAAGAUUUAGUGGUUGGUGUCCGAGCCUUCAUGUUUGAAUUCUAGUUGAUUCACAUUUUUCGAAUAGCAUGCUAUCUUUCUCUUAUAUAUAUAGAGUGAGGCUAUUAUGCUAUUGAUAGCACAACCUCACUCAUGCUAGUGAUUUUUCUAUCAUUGGAUUGCUUUGAGAUCCGUGAUAUAACUUAAUGGGAGAUUAACGGAGAGGGAGCCGUUAAGUUUCUCUCACGCUCUCUCUCCCCUCUCUCGAUCUUCCUGUCUCUUACUCCCCCCCCUCUCUCUCUCUCUCUCUCUCUCUCUCUCUCUCUCUCUCUACGCCUUGGUCCAGACCGAGCUUCGCCGCACGCCCCCGUCGCUCCCUGGCGCUGCCCCCCGCAUGCCGCCGUCGCUCCCUGGCGCGCGCACUUAAACGAGGUAUGAUUUUUUUUUUUUGUUAUUACAACUAAAAAAUAGAUCUACAACUUUAUAUUUGUUUAUUUGAUUGGUUUGAUUUGUUUUUUUUUUUCCUGAUUUUGUUUGUUUGUUUGAUUUUUUUUUUUACAUUUAACCUCUCAUAAAAAAAAUUUAAUUUUGACUUUUUUUUUCAGAUUUUUUUUUUGACAUUUCGUUUGAUUUUUCAGAUUUUGUUUAUUUGGUUUUCAGACUUUAAAAGUUCAAAAAUCUGAAAAUCUGAAAGGAAAAAAAAAAAUCUGAAAUGGUUAGCUUUUUAUAGUUAUAGUUAGUUUUUUAUAGUUAUAGUUUUAAAGGUAUUUCUUUUAAUUUGAUCUCUCAAAAAGAAAAUUCUGAAAAACACUAGCAGAGGAGGCUUUCUUUAAAAAAAAAAAACCGAGAGUUUCCAACAGAAUGCCAACAGAAUGCACAUAUAUUCGAAUUUUGAACAUUCAAAGUAAACACUAGUAAGGAAGGCAUUUUUAAAAAAUUCAUUUAAAUGCUUAAACUAUUAUAUAAAAAUGCUUUUAAUAUUAUAUUUAUAUUUAUAUUUAACAUGUGUUUGUGCGGAUGCAUUUUUUUUUAGUAAAAAUGUCCGGAGAAACCAACUGUACCUAGUGCAGUUUGCUGAGGGGAUGAUGAUUGCUACUGAAGAUUCCAAGUAAGAAGUCUAAUUGAUUUAGAUUUCUAAUUAAAUUCAUUUCUAAAGAAAUAAACAAAGCACUCAAGCUUCCUUUUUCUCCACAAAAAAAAAAAAAAAAAAAAAAAAAAAAAAAAACAAACAAGGAGAACCCCUAACUUAUAGGCUAAAUAUUCCACUCCGCCCCUUCUACUUUAGUCAAAAAAUAAUUAAGAGUUUUUAUCAAACUGAUUGAUGAAUUUAUUAAAAUAAUAAUUUACAUCAUUUUUUUAGAGAAUAGAACUAGACAAAUUAACAAAAAAUAGAGUGAAUAAAUUUGAUAAAAAAUAUUUUUCUAAUUAGGAGCUGUUUGGUUCUACGGAAAAGAAUGGAAAAAGUUUUUAGAUUAAAUUUUUUUAUGGAAAAUCUCGUUUAAAGUUUUCCACAUGUUUGGUUCUAAGGAAAAAAAACUUUUUUGAAAGGAUUUUUUUUCCUAAAUUUUAUAAAGAAUUAGUAUUUUUGUUUCCUGAAAUUUUUUAGAAAAAUAGAAACACUUACUUUUCAUAAAAUCUGAAAUUUUUUUUUUUCAAAAAAGCUAUUCUUUUAGAAUCAAACAGGAGAAAAUUAGAAAAGUAGUUUCUUAUAAAGAAUCUUUUUCUUGAAAAAUAAUUUUCUAUACUUUUUGGAGGAAUCAAAUAGCCCCUUAAAUAUAACCCAAGAAAAAAAAAGAUGAAGUUGAGGGGAUGUCAAUUAAAAAAAAAAAAAAAAAAAUUUUAGUUUUUAUAACUAACAUUAUUUAAUUUUAAAAUUUAGAAGUUGAGGGGUCUCAAUCAAGGGAAAAAAAAAAAAAAAAAAGAGUUAAGGAGUCUAUUUUAGAAUCGCCAAAAUUUUCUCUAUUUGGUUGAACAAUUGUUUUUCUCCACCUAUUUGUUUUGAUUAUCUAUCCUAUCAUCAAUUAAUAAACAUCUUUAAUAGCUAUGCAAUGUUUGCUUGAUGCUAUAUGCCUUAAGAGCUAUGCAAUGUUUUGUUUUGUUUUUCUUUUUUUUUUUCCAACACACAGGGGAUUGAAUCACUGACCUCCUCCACCCUUCACUCCUCUCCCCAAAACAAUACACAUCAUCUACACUAGCACAUCUACACUAGCAGCUGGGUGUAGCUAUGUAAUGCUUUAAUUUGGGGAGUUAGUUUGCAGUAGAAGGAAAAUUUUGUCUUACGUUUUUUGCUUUUUAUCUUCUUAUUUUCUUCUUUUUUAUUUUGGGUAAAUUGUAUAGAACUUGCUUGGACUGUGGAUCAUUCUGGAUUGGUUAUACAACCUUCAAAAUUAUCUUCUGUGAAUAAAUUAUCUUUUACAAAGUAAGCUCCUUAAAUUGAGGGGCUUCUAUAUUCCUGAAUAAAUUAUAUUCUUGAAUAAUAUCGUAUAUGUGAAACAAUAAAAGAUUGGUUAACAAAAGUGUAUCCGCACAAAGAGAGAGAGAAGAAACAGAGAGAUGUAUCCAGAGAGAGAGAGAGAGAGAGAGAGAGAGAGAGAGAGAGAGAGAGAGAGAACUUUGGUAGGUGAUGCUAGUAACAGGCUAGCAACACUUUUGGAAUAGAAUGAAUUUGUUGAAUUUGAUAAAAUAACAACACCUUUCUAUUCCUUUUUCUUUCUCAUAUUCAUCAAGUGUUUUUUUUUUUGUUUUUUUUUUGGUUCAUACACAACUGUUCUUCAUUUUCAAUCCACAUUGGUGAGUCAAGGUUCAUUACAAAUUUUUGUUCACUGAAUUAUAGGGUGACAUACAUACCUCAAUCUGCAAUACAACAAUGGAAGCCAUAGAAGGGAUGGCCCGUCUAGAAGUGCCUCUAAUUUCUGUUGCUGAUGAUGUUGGCACAUCUAGUGAAAAGGUCAAUAGCGGAAUUGCUGAGGAGGCUACUAGUUCAGUCACCGAAUCGAGUAUGAAUGUGGAUUGUUGGAUUAAAGAGGUGGAGAAAAAAUGCAAGGGCGCAUCCGAAGGUUUGCUAUGGCAGUCCAAGAUGCCCGACGAUAAAGGAGAGCAGUUAUCUCAACAAAGGGCAGUGGCGAUAGGGCCAUUUAAUAGGGACAAGAGCACACAUAUUACUGAUAAAGAAAAAUAUUUGAUUGUCCACCUGAUGAAUAAUCUAUACGAUCAUCUUGACUUGGAAGGCUGCUUCAAAAUGAUAAAAAAUCAAGUAGUAGAUGCUCGCAAAUGGUACUCCGAUUCAGAUAUGCCUGAAAGCUUUGGCUCUACAAAUGACAACACAUUUGCAGAGAUGCUGCUGCUAGAUAGCUGCUUCAUCUUGUUUAUGUUGACGUCCAUCAGUGAGAUUCAUAGUAAAGUGACUCGUGAGGGAGUGAUUCUACAUAGACAUUAUUGUUCAAAGAGCCUAAAGAUUAUGCCGGGUAAGCUGUUUGGAGCCGAUUCUUCAAAGAAGCAGGAGAUUAAGCUGGCUCUAGACGUCGUGCCUAGAUUUGCCGGCAUAUUACGUCACAAAGACAUGAUCAUGGUGGAUUUGCUGACCCUCCAAAACCAAAUCCCUUUCUUUGUGAUCGAGGAGCUAUUUAAGAAGCUCCAGUUGGAGAAUCCACUCCAUAAAUAUGCCCUCAAGUUCUUCAAGACAGUCCAUCCAAGGUCCACGCAAGGUUGCAAGGGCAAAAAUAGUCCUCCCAAAUUCCUACAUUUGCUCCAUCUUUUCCACUGGUCUCGAGUCCCAAAGAAUAAGUGUGAUGUACUUAGAUCAUGGCGUCCCCAGCUAGAUGAUUUUUACUGGGAUUGCAAAACUCCGAGUGUGAUGGAACUUGGAAAAUCCGCCACAGGGUUCAGAAAGAAAACAUCAGGCAGCUCACUGGAUAUCUCAUUUGGGAGGGGUAGGCUUCUACCCAUUGUCCCGGUGCUCAACAUCCCACGCUUACACAUCCGUGAAUAUAGCAGCCGCAUCUUCCGUAACCUCAUUGCUUUUGAGAUGCAACGUCCAAGAUCGGAUCGCCGCACCAUGGCUUUUUCUGUAAUUAUGCAGAACUUGCUGCAAAGCGAGGAAGAUGUGAAGCUGUUUCGGCAAUGUGGCAUUUUGGCGAACACAUGCAUGACCGACAACAAAAUCGUUAAUUUUUUCAAAAGCUUGAGUCUAUCGAUCGGAAAGGAUGAUAUGCCAAUCGAUGUGUAUGUCUUUUGUCAUCAGGUCCUGUCUUACCACAAUGGUCGAAUCAGUUGAUUCCGUGCCAACGCCAUUCUCAAGUACUUCCCCAACUGGUGACUUUUUCUGUGUUCCCAGCUCCCAUGCUUGUUGUUCUUACCCUCCAGCAAACCCUAUAUUCUAUGCUCAGCUUCUAUAUAUCAUUGUUGAAUGCCCCAAAUUCUACUCAGUAUGAUGGUAAUGCAUGCAUAUAUAUAUUAUCGAACUAAAAAACAUUUUGUACCAAUGUUUAUGGACCACCAUCUUGGGAUGGAAAAGAAGAGUUCUGUGAUGAGCUCCUUGCUUUGGGAGCGGUUUGUUCCAACUAUAAAUGGGCUAUUUGUGGAGAUUUCAAUUUUACCAGAAACCAGGCUGAACGCACCGGGAACCGGGGGAGCAAUAAAGCGAUGUCAAUGUUUUCAGACCUCAUUUCAAAUCUCGAAGCCAUCGAUCUGCCUAUUGCCAACCAAAAUUUUACUUGGUCGAACAUGCAAAGCGCACCGACCCUGGCCAAACUGGAUAGAUUUCUUGUCUCGACGGAGUGGGAUCAAGCUUUUCCGCUUACCAGGAUUUCCGCACUACCUAGAAUUACCUCAGAUCACACCCCUUUAAUACUCGAUACUGGAAACUCGAGCACUCAGAGGAGAUUUCGGUUUGAGAGAGUAUGGCUUACUAGGUCGGACUUCACAAAUUUCGUACCAAUCUGGUGGAACGAAGUAUCUGGUCAGAGGUCUGCCAUCCUUACGCUGACGGCGAAGUUAAGACAUUGCAGAAACAGGAUGAAGGAAUGGUGUAAGACGAAAUUUCAUAGCAUAUCCAUCGCGAUAAGAUCUUUACAGGAAGAAAUUCGGAGCAUUGAUCUUUUGGAGGAAAGGAACAUCUUGACCCAGGAAGUACGGGAUAAACGAGUUGACCUUAAAGCGCAGCUCCAACUCAUCUUAAAGGAAGAAGAAAUCCUGUGGAAAACGAGAGCUAAACAGCACUGGCUAAAGGAAGGAGACAGCAAUACAAAGUUUUUUCAUGCAGUGGCCAACGGGCGGAAGCGUUGUAAUGAGAUUCACUCUAUUGAAGAUGAGGACGGAAGACAAUUCAGUAACGAAGAGCUUAAGAAAUCCUGUUUCUUUCAAUCCUUUAAACGUCUUUUCGAAAGUGUGGAAGAUGACCCGCCGUCUUUCGGCGACUGGGCCGACCUGUAUCGUGGAGACGUCUCACUUGACACGGAUUCCCUCACAAGCCCCUUCACUAUAGAUGAAAUUAAAAAGGCGACUUUUCAACUGGGAAGUGACAAGGCGCCUGGUCCCGACGGCUUCCCGCUAAUUUUCUUCCAACACUUCUGGGAAACAGUAAAGGAUAACAUUCUUGAUAUAUUCAGAGACCUUCAUAGCGCGAAUCUCUUUACGGCACCGGUCGACUACACGUACGUAUGCCUAAUCCCCAAAAAGGAAGGAGCACGCCUGGUUAACGAUUUCAGACCGAUCUGCCUUCUGAACGGAAUACAAAAGAUUAUCUCGAAAGUUCUUGCGAACAGACUUGCGGGGGUAUUACCUUCUAUCAUCUCUCCUUCACAAUCAGCGUUCCUGGAAAAUCGACUAUUAGCUGACUCGUUCGUCACUGCGAGUGAACUUCUCAACUGGUGUGCAAAAACUAAUAGGGAGUGCGUCAGUGUUAAGGUGGAUUUCGAGAAAGCUUAUGACAAAGUCAGCUGGAGGUUCUUGCAAAGUAUAUUACGAUGGCUUGGGUUCAGUGACAAAUGGUGGAACUGGAUUGAACAAUGUAUCGGCAACGCUAAAGUUGCAAUCUUAGUAAACGGCUCGCCGACUAACUGGAUGAAAACAAGGAGGGGACUGAGACAGGGGGAUCCACUAUCCCCCUACUUAUUCAUUUUAGUGGCUGACUGUCUGGCUAGGGUCACGAAAGCAGCAAGGGCUAACAGUUUACUUCAGGGAAUAGGACCCACAGACGAAUGUCAAACAGUAAUUCUGCAGUAUGCGGACGACACUUUAUUCUUCGCAAAGCCCAAGAAGUCUGCUAUGCGCAAUCUACUCUUCAUCUGGAAGAUGUUUGAAUGGGCAUCUGGUCUUAAGGUAAAUAUGAACAAGACGGAGCUUUACCACUUAGGUAUCACCGCUAACAGAGCGAAACGAUAUGCGGAUAUUUUGGGGUGCAGAGUCGGUAGCCUACCGUUCCGCUACUUAGGCCUUCCGCUACAUAUCAACCCCCUUCGUAAGGAAGAGUGGAUGCCGAUCAUCAACCGCAUCGAGACGCGCAUUGAAGGAUGGAAGGCAAAACUCCUCUCUCAAGGGGGGCGACUCAUCUUGGUCAACUCGGUUCUUUCAAAUCUUCCGUUAUUUUACUUCGCAAUCUUCAAAGUACCGCAAUGGGUGCUGAAACGAAUUGAAGCGCUUAGAAGAUCUUUUUUCUGGAAAGGGUGUUCCAAAAUUUCGGGUGGGUCUUGCCUCGUUGGUUGGAAAACGAUUUGUAGGAGCAAAAAAGAAGGAGGUCUAGGGAUAAAAGACAUGGAAGCGACGAAUAAGGCGCUUUUAGCAAAAUGGUGGUGGCGCUUAUUCAACGAGAAAGGUCUGUUAUGGGGGAAGUUGAUCAAUGCAUUAUAUUACACCAGAAGAAGGCCGCUAUGUGAAGGCAGAUCCUUCAGACCGUACUCUCAGUGGUGGAGAAGUGUGAUGAACUGUCGAGACGUGUUCAAGUGCGGUGUUUCAUAUGUCCUCGGUGAUGGGAAAAAUAUCAGGUGGUGGUCGGAUAUUUGGAUCGAUGAAACCCCUCUCAGUACCCGAUUUCCACGAAUCUUCAGCAGUAUCAUACAUCAGGAAGCCACGGUCUCACAAUGUUGGAACGGAAGAGGAUGGAGAUGGCGCUACUUAACCAGAGGCUAUGAUACUCGUACCAUUGGUCAGAACUGCCAACAGACGGCGUUGCUCAAAAACCUUCUCUCUCACUUUAGCCCAUCAGAUGCACAGGACAAACUAAAGUGGCGGUGGACUACCAACCAAAUUUUUACCGUCAAAUCUCUCUAUGAAUUCAUCACCGACGGAGGACAGACUGAUACCUCGUACGACCACCUAUGGGGCUUAAAAAUCCCACUCAAACACAAAGUUUUCAUUUGGAUUCUACUACGAAAGAGAUUACCUACGGCAGACAGAUUGCUUCGCCGAGGAUGCAUCGUGGAUCAGCAAUGCAGGUUUUGUGUGUCACUAACUGAAACCGUCGACCACCUAUUCCACGACUGUAUCGUUGCCAGAUUUUUUCGUUUUAAAGCAAGAGUUCUAGAGGAGGAGAUUUCGGAAGUGGGGGAUGUUUGCCACCUGUGGACACUGAUCUCGGACAUACCCGUGGCCGUUACAAGAUCAAAAUUGUUAACCAAGCUGGCGGCAAUUUGGUGGGUCGUUUGGACGGAGCGCAACGGCAUAUGCUUCCGCGACGUGGCCUUUAAUGUUUCCAGGGCUCUCGAACGUGUCGCCGUUUUGACCGAAGCCUGGAACGAAGCACUUUGAUUAUCCUCCGGGCUGGGUGCCCUGCCCGUGUCUCCCCUUUGCUGAUUUUGGUUUGCUCGUGUCUACUGGGUCUCACGGACCUGGUUUUUUUCUCUUAUUUAUCUCCUUUCUUCCUUUCUCUUGUUCCCUCGGUUCGGAGGCCCUAGCUGCUUCCAAUUUGUAUGCUAAAUUCAUUUUGCUUAAUGAAUGAAGCAGGUAGCUUGCUACCUUUUUCUCAAAAAAAAAAAAACAAAGUGUCUUUGAUAAACGAAAAGCCAGUGAACUCCGUAGGGAACAUUUGAUCACAUGGGAGAGCACGCUCUAAUCAAAUCAUCUUCCCCGGCCAAAUGUUUCUCCAGCUAAAUAUUUUCAUCUUUUUUUUAAAAAAAGAAAAGAAAAGAAAAUUGAUAGAUGAAUGGGCAAGUAAGGUCAUUCCUUGUGAAAUUCUCUCGACAUAAAAAUUUGAUGAGAUCGAUGGAGAAAACAAUAAGAACGAUAAGAAAUUUAUUGGUUCGGCAAAUCCUUUCAAGGAACUCUCUCUCAGGGAUCUCUCUUUUCUCUCCGACGACAAUUUCACAUGGAGGUUGUAAGUUGUGGAAUCUAAAACAAUGGUUUCGAAACAUAACACUCCAUAACAAGUUUCAGCAUGCAUGCCAUGUUCUGGAACUUAAGUUGUUAGUUCCGGAACAAAGCUCACAUUCUUGAACAUGAAUGAGACGUUCUUGAACAUGAGUUCUCAGACUAGCCUCCAACGCCUUCGGAUUCCACGAACCGUUGCCUCAUAUUCCCAAACACACUUUAUACGAUUUCGAAACAUGAAUCUUGUGACCUGAACACUCGACUCUUGAUCAAUAUUGAAUCGACUCGAAACGUGACUUCACCUCGAUCUAACAAGAUCAUUCCUAAGAAUGAUCAUUCUUACUAUAAAUUUACUAGUAUCUCUAAUCACUGUACUUCCAACUACGUCUGUUUUAGUAUGAAUUGAAAUGCAUUUAGCUACAAAUAUAGCAAACCUAACCCACUCCUCUUUAAAUAUAUAUAUCUCAACACUUUGGAAGCUUAACAAGCCUUAACUAUGGUGUAUGAUUUUGAGGGUUACAGUUAAUGACAACUUGUUAGCUCGAGUGGCGUGAGCCAAUGGCUCAAGUUGCAUUAGAAAAACAAUGAUAAAGGUCCCAAGUGCAUUGCACCUUCAAAAUAAGACACCCCCCUGCGGGAAAACAUAUGCGCAUUUUCGCAUUAAUUGUUGUACUCUUCUGACACGAAUAUUGUGGCGUUGAUUGUUUCCGUGUACGUAAGAGAUCAUGUAAGUAAUAUCAAUCAGUAAUCUGUAACGUGCAGAUGAUUAAAUUAUUCGACAUUUGUAUCGGUUGCAGUUUAAAUUUCGAGUAUUCUUUCCCGUUACGACAGAAAAAUGAAAAGUUCGAUCUUGAGAUUUCCGAAGGCGGAGAAUACUUUCGAUUUAAUCCAUACCACCGUAUAGCUUAAGAUUUCCGUCGAUCCUCCUACGUUGAUUCCUGCACCACUUUAUGUCCAUUUCUUUCUUUGAUGAUUCCUGCAUCUCUUUUAUGUCCAAUUCUUAGUUGUCCCCUUUCCUUGGUACUUACAAGGCAAGAUACACAUGUGCAACAGAGAUAAAGAGAGAUGACACAGAGAAAUCAAGAACGAAACUGGAGGGAUUAAGGUCGAUAGGACGAUCUGUUUGAGCCUCUUUUCACCCCCUCCUCGAAGGCGAAGAGAGCGCAGAUAGGAGGAGCAAGAGAGGAAGGUUUGAUGGCAGGUCAUUUCGGCUCGGAUGCAGUGCUGCUGGUGGUGGUGCUGGCGGCAAUUCUUCUACUGCUCCCUUUGGUGCUUCCUCCGCUGCCGCCGCCACCGUCGCUGCUCCUCUUAGUGCCCGUCGGGAUGGUGCUGCUGCUCGCCUUUCUCGCUUUCGCCCCCUCUCACAACACCUUCGGAAACGCAAACUUUCCGCAAUGAAACAAAACAUCCAUCGGUACGUAUCUCGCGACCGCAAACACCUCUCAUUUGUCUCUUUUCCUCUUUCACCUUUACUUCCAGAAGCAUUAAAGGAAAGGAGAGGAAAGAUGAUAAAAAUGGAAAGCGACUAAAAGACAGAUUCCUUCUUAUCACUUACUGAUUAUUUGUUGGUUCUUCUACAUCAAAUACUAUUUCCAUCAAUGUUGUAUUUGAUUCUUCCCCUCAUAGGAUGAGUGAAUUAUUUUCUGGGAAGAGGCCUUAGGGAGAACUUUUGCUCUGCCCACGGCCAAAGAUCAAACACAAAUUUACAUGUGAAGAGGAAAUAAAUGGGAGAAGGGAACAAAAAGGGAGGCGCCCGUCGGAAGCAGGAUGAAAUAUAACCCCUACCCUUGGAGCAGCUGCGGUGGUUGCGAUUGUUCGGGCGGACUCUGCAGCGGAGUCAAGCAAUAGAGGAAUAAGCCGGCAACGAGAACUGCAGCACCAGCAACGAAGCCCGCUGGGAGCGAUGACGCCACUCCGAUGUAUGGUAAGGGCAGUGUGAAUGCGUAGAUGGACAACGGAACUGCACCACAACCAUCAUCAACAAACUGUUACAUUUUCCACUUAAAAUGUACCUGGUUUUGAAAGGUAGAAGGGAACGGCGGAAGAAAAGAAAACAGAGAAAGACCGGUGCUACUAGUUAGAUUUGUUUUCAUUGACAUUUGCAAAAGUAAUUGAUAUGUUGAUCUUCUGUAACUCCGCAAAUGAUCGUUAUGAACAAAACAAUUCAUAUCUUCCGAAAUCAAAACAAGAGAAGCUAAUUGAUUAUACAAAACGUGCCGAGUAAGACUUCACCAUCAGGUAGCAUAAGGAGCUCGAGAAAAUUAAAGUAUCAUUUUGUCACCCAGGGCAUACCAAUUUAGACUAUUUUAUCUCUGAAAUCAAAUGGAGAAUAACAAACGAAGCUGAUUUAAUUAUUUUUGUCAUAAUAGUAACUAAAAAGGAACCUACGAUGUCAGUGAGUAAAAAUACCCAAGCUUUUACCCGGAUCAGAACCUGAAUGAGGCGGUUUUAACCGAACAUAAUUAGGGACAGUUUCAGUGAUCGGAAAGAAAUUAACAGAUAAGGCAAGGAAAACAGAUAGCAGUUACAUAGAGAGAGAGUAAUGGGAAGACCAGAGAGCUAACCUGAAAAUGUGGAAGCAAGGCAAGAUACCACUGCAGAAGACAUUUUGAGAAGGUGUAGCAAAGAUAUGUUGAAUGCCAUGUUAACUAUUACAAAGAGAAGCGGCAGCAGCGGUGCUCCUUCACAUCCUGCAAGAAACCAUCAUUAUUAGGAACUUUAGUUGGAAAGAAGGAAAAAGAACCCAGCAGAAGCUGAUGUGAAAUAUGAAUUGUGAUAAGUACCAGCCGAUAAUGAUCCUAUAUUGAGAAAACAAGCUGCACCAUCUCUUAUGUAUGUAGGCAGGAGAUGGAAUGGAACUCCCCACAACUUAGACAAAAGGGGUAGAAGAAGACAUAUAAAGAAUGCCUGCAAAAUAUCAUUUUUAAUUGUUAAGAAAGUUCAAAUUCCAAUUGAAAUUUGGGUUUCAAGUUAUUGUCAAAUAUGGUAGGCACCUGGUAAGCAGAUCCGAACGAGUUGACAACAAAAAGAUCAACCGUUCCUCCCUGUGGUAUGCAGAUUUUGCUUGUUAGGAAGCAUUAUAAGUAUAAAACACAAACGAAGAAUUGAAAAGGUAAUAUACUGAUAAGUGAAUAGUGACAAUAUUUUGCUAUCAUAACUUCCGAGAAAGAUGAUUAUGGCCAAGAUUGGGAAUAAUUCUCCCAGUGCAGCAGCUUUGAGUUUUUAAAUCACCAUACAAAUCUGAAAACGCCUGAAAGCUCCAUAUCUUCCUAUGUGCCCAAUAACACCGAAAAUGUGGCUGGACAUUAGAUUGAUAUUAAUACUGGAAGGCUGGAGAUCUAAAUUGCUUUCAGAUUUUUAUGGAGCUCCAAAGUACCCAAAAUGGCUGCUACAGGAGAAGCAAUCAUAAUCAAGUCCUGUAUAGUGCAACACAAAGAGAUCAAUAAUACCAACGAGUGUACCUUCAGCUUCUUUGCAGCAUCCAAGAAUAUUAUCUCCUACAGAUUAACAAUGUUUGACUGCAUCAGAAAAAACUUAUCUUAACAACUUGGGGUAGUGGAUAUAAUUUCUCAUAUCUACUUCGGUAGUUUUGAUACCUUCAAAACUGUGUCGGCAGCUUGAAACAAAAAUGAAGUAAUCAUCAAAAGGGGCCAAAAUAUCCCAGAGCCUUUAAGCGAAACGCUUGCACCAGAUCCACUGCAUAUGUCAAAGUGAAAGUACUAAUAGUAGAAUGACUCAGAAUUAUAGAAAGUAUUUACUAAUUUCUACUCAUAGCAUCAGAACAGGGUAUCUCUAUAGCACUUCCACUUUUCAUCAAACCGGCCGAUUUUAGGGAAGCACUUCCAAACUAGACCUUAAGGUACUAACUAUUUUCUGGUCAUGCUACCAAUUAUGCAUCAUGCAUCAUAUGGAAAUAAUCAUCAAUAUAGAACAACUUACUGCAAGGAAGAGUACAUGUCCCUGCUAGAAGUGCAAUGCAGCUGACAACUGUUUUAGCAUGCUUGCAUAAUAUGGUCCUUGAACUCAUCAUGAGUAAUUAUAGAAAAUCUGGUAAUAGAGUAAGAAUUUCUAUUUAUUGCUUACAAAUAAGUGAAUCAACUUUCAGUAUUUCAGAGGAUGCUUAUAAAUAGUUCAGAAGCUUCUCAUUUACAAAGCCAAUGCGAACAGGGCGAACAGGGCAAUUUCAGUUAUUAUUAUAACAAAAACUCAAGAUUUGAAACAUUUCUUUCUUCUUUGUGCGUUAUACGGUCAAUGAUAUGUUACUGAAUUCAUAUUCGCUGAAUAUACCUUGCUACAGUUAUAAUGACACCAAUAGCAACAAGUAAGCAUCCUAGUAGCUGGUUGGACUUGUAUCGUCUCCUCAGAAAAAUAACCGACAAGAUAAGCUGCCAAACAAGAAAGGUCUGCAAAAAGAAACAUUACAAACUAUUAAUUUUGAAAUACACAUAUACCUGAAAUCAUAAAGGAUGUAAAACAGUGAAAAGUUUAUUCACCUGCGAUAGUAUUGGAAUUGAAGCCCCGGAAAGAACAGCUGCUCCAAGAAAGAGUGAGCAAAUCAAACCAAGUAUGAUAAGUAUUAGAAAUUAAAAUUGAUUCACUUUCACAAAAGAACUCCGAAAAAUGGGGGAGAGGUUAAAAAAGAAAAAGAAAAAAAAUAUACUGAAACUCAUGGGAUCUAACAACUUUGUGUGUGUGUGUGUGUGUGUGUGUGUGUGUGCGCAUGUGACAAUUUGUACAUGGACAAUAGCAGACAAUAAAUUGGCCAGAUAUCACUGUAUACUUUAUAGUGUCAAAUGUCACUAUGAAUUGGAAAGCAGUGCGAUAACAACUUGUACACAUGUCAUAACAUGAAGAAUUAAAAGUGUCAAAUUGAUUUUAUCUACUUUGUGUGCAUCGAAAGCAUUUUGAUUUAGCUUCUAGAAUUUUGUCUACUACAUGUUUACAUGAGGAACAGACAGAUUUACCAGCUCAGUUGUACUGCAGAUGUAUCCUUUUAGAAUAGGAUAAAUGAUGCAUGUAUGAUUGACUACAGAAAACUAAUAAACUUUCAAAAAUGAACUUUACCUCCAGCUGCCAUGCCAGAUGCGGCUCCUAGAGCUUCUAGCAGUCCUACAGCUAGAAACGGCGUCUUUGGUAGAGAAAGCAUUUCAUGGGUUACAAUGCCAGCGUGAUAGCGAAUAUACAGGAUGGAGAAGUACACAACCACAUAUCUGGUAUUCAAAAGUACGCAUGUAGCCAAAUUAGAAAUAUCACUUACCAAAAUGUGAAUAGAUGAAUGAGUUCAAAUUUUGUAGUACAUUGUGAGUGAUAAAAGCAUGCUAACGCUAAGUUUGGUUUUUGGUUAACUAACAGAACAAUAGGUCAUAUACAAACUAAGCGAUACCCCCAAGUUUCAAACCAUCUAGAAACUCGUUAUACUAAACAAUAUUCUUUUUAGCAUAUAAUAACAUGACCAAUUACAUGAUCUAAUUAUCACCCCAGGAUUUCGAUAUCAUUCGAAUGCAGAUCCGGUUCACGAGUUGGUCAAACCGGUUGAUAGAGCCAUUGGGUCGUCGAACCCGAAAGCUAUGGUCGAGAGAGCUGCUACUCAGAGUCUCGGAUCAACCAAUUGGUAAAAUAACUAGUUGCCUAGUUAGGAUCAAUCCCCUGUUAGAAUCAUACCCUUCCAAUUUAAAAUUGUACUCGGAAUGCUCUCUCUCGAGGACAUAGGCUCCAAAACAAAUGUUUAUCCACCACUUUUAUGUCAUGAAUUUAAUGAAUUAUUAAGAAAGAAGAGUAUAGUUCAAUCUAAAGUACAUCUCAAAUUUCUGGAGUUUCAAUGUCCUUUUUCCGCUGGACAAUGUAGAACACAUUUGGCAAGGGCUGCUCUAAUUUUAUAUUUUUCACAAAAAAAUCAAACAAUAUUUUAAGCUUGGAAUUAUAUUUCUAUGAUAAAAAGCAAAGUAAACGUGUUAAGAACACGCUUACGCACAUGUAAAAUUGCAGCAUCCGUGAUAUUUAAGAGGCUACAAUCAGAUGCGCACUAAUAAGCUUUUGAGUGGUACGAGUCCCACAUUAUUUCAACUAAGAAACAACUUGUCUAUGCGUAACAGGAUGGUCAGACUUGUUGCCUGCUGGUGGGUCAUUUGGACGACCAGGAAUGAUGCAAUUUUUAGUAAGACCGAGCCGGACCCCCUACGUGAUGUCUAUAAGAUUAAACAGUUGACGAACCUGUGGGAGCAUCAUAUCACAGCUAAGAAGUAACAACAUAUCACCCUUUUUUUUUCACCCUCCUCAAGACUUCGGAUGCCUCACCCUUGUAAUUUAAUUCAUCCUUUUAAUGAAUGAAGUAACAUGUUAGUUUUCCCUCAAAAAACAAACAACUUAGUCAAUUUUAUGUAUUUUUCUCAAAAGACAAAACAUUUUUUUUCAAUAUUAAUUAAUUGUGCAUUAAUUUAUGAAAGUCAUAGGAAAUGGGAAAUGGGAAAUGGGAAAUGGAAGGUGCGUAACGGCUUUUCGCAGCCGCAACGCGCCACGCCACACGUUCCGUUGCUCGACACAACGACACACGACGAGCUCGAACGUGCCAAACAAAAUGUGGGGCCCAACGACACGUGCUCUUUCUUUUUCUUUUUCUUUUUCUUUUUUCCACUUCUUCAUCUCACGACAAUAUCAGAAAAUUUCUAAAUAUAAAUAAUUAGUUUUAAUAGUAAUUAUAAUCCGCUCUUUUUAUAGAUUUUUGUUUAAUAAUGAUUACAAAAUUGGGGAAAAAAAUUGGACAAAAAAGCGACCACAUACAGUCCUAUCAAGUCGCACGUGGACACGUGUACGAUAACGGAGAUCGACACAGCACUUUUAACCGCCGUUAUUUCCCUCGGGAACAAAUCAACCUACUCUUUCUCACGGUACAGCUACGCCGUUAAUGACACUUCAGACGACAAAAUUAAAAAGAAAAAAAAAAAAACAUUGCACCACGAGUGUCCAAAAUUAAUCCAAAUCUGAUCGAUGUUUUAACAUUUAAACUAAAAUUUCUAAAUAAUUAUUUUUAAAAGUAUUUACUUAAUCAAGAGAAAUUUACACAUUUUAGCAUUAAUAGUUUACAAGAAAAAGAAAGCAAUUUCCAAAACUUAAUUACAGCAAAAUGAGAAAAAUUAGACCGAAUUAUUAUCCAAAUUAAAUUUGAAAAUUAGAAAAAUAAGGAGGAGGAGGAGGAGGAGGAGGAGGAGGGAGUGGUGGAAACACNAAACAUUUUGUACUACCAAAUGUUGGAUAUAUAUAUGUUUACAUUCAGUAUUCUCUAUUACUAACUAAUUUGGUGUUCUUGCGUUAUUAGUGUAGUGGCUUUUUAUUUAUAUGAAAUUUCUUCACACAUGUGACUCUGGAUGAGAUCUGUGAUGCACAUAUAAAUCACAAAUAAGGGUCAGGGGUAUCAAGGAUUUUAGUGCUCGUCACCACAAGCUGUCUCUACUUUAUUAUACUAUGUUGACAAAAUAUUGACACGAUACAAUUUCAUGCCAAAGGCACGUACGGCUCAAACCCUCUUUUUUUUUUUUUUUUGUCACAUUAGCAAAUAGUUAUCUAAACUAGGAAAGAUCAGAUAAAAAUAAAAUUAAAGCAUGAAAUCCUUUAUGCUUCCUUCCUAAAGCUCUCUACCCAACUUGGGAGAGAGCUUCUAGAGAGAGGGAGAGAAAUGAGAGAGGAGUGUAAUAGCUGUGAGAGAGAGAGAGAGAGAGAGAGAGAGAGAGAGAGAGAGGGUGUUGGGAUCUUUUUAUAAGUUGUUACAAUAGCAAAAAGGCCCUCAUUUUUUUUUAUUUACAGCAAACCUAACCUGCUGUUUCGCAGUCGGCAUACCGGUACGCGGGCAAUUUGUCACCGGUACGCUCCCGCGCAGCUGCCGAGAUUCGAGACCUGAUGUUCUCGGUCUGGCGUAGGGUAUCAGUACUCGGGAAAAUAGUCACCGAUCAAUAGCCUUGACGGAGGCUAACCCGAGAGCUGCUACUCUCGGUCAGCUGCUUGGUGCCGGUACUCUUUGAAAUAGUCACCGGUUAACAAUGCUUCAAAAUUUUCGUUUUACAUUAUUUCGACUUUAUUUCGCACCGAGUAAUAUUAAAACCUUUUUAACUCACUUGGAACUCAACUUUGACCCUUCCAACAUUAUUGAAAUGCUAAUUGGAUUUUGUCCAAUUAUUUCUCUCGCACACUUUAGUCGAUUUGACUAAAAUUCGAUAUACACUAUCGAGGCUUCGGUAUAUUACACUGGACGUAAUGUCGUUUAAGCUGCUCCAUCGCCCGAAGGGAGGGCUCGUUGCGGCGACCGUAGGGGCCGAUGGCGACCAUUCGGGGCUUGUACAGCACCGUGUUGCGCUCCCGGAUGAAGGCUGCGACGCGGAAGAAGGUGAAGUUCUUAUCCGCGGCCGUCGGCUCAUCGCUCAAGGCGCGUUGUUUAUGCCUGGCUCUCAGCAGGGACUUGGACUUGGGAAUAUCUAGUGCCACUUCCACUCCUUCCAUCGUCAACCUGUACCAGAGGUUCUCAAACUCUCACGAAUUUAUUGGUGCAGAAAAAAUAGGAUGAAAGAGUCCUCCCUCGGCUUAUCUAUAUCCGCAGCUAUGUUAGUUAACUCACGAAUUAUUCGCGAAUUUUUGAAAAAACAAAUUAAACGGCCGAAUACGUAUUUUUUCGAAAAAUUCGAAAAAAAAGUGAUUUUUUGACUAAAAAAUACGGAUUCGCGUAUUAUAGGGCGAGCCGUAUUAUUCGGCCAAAAGAAACUGCUCACACCCGCGCAGCCCGUGCCUGCCCCCGCCGCUCGUGCCUGCCCGCGCUCCCGCGGGCUCCCGCACGCGCGCAUGGGCCGGCGUGCCCAAAACAGUGAAAUGCCAAAAAAAAAAAAAAAACUCUCCAAACACCUUGCCUAAGACCCAAAAAAAAAAAAUUUUCUUUUCAAAUUUUUACUUAAUUAAUUUAAUUUUAUAGCUAUUUAUUUUUAUAUUUUUUAAAAAAUAUGAAUAUUUAUACUAAUAGCAUAAAUUUUAAAAAAAAAAUAAUUUAAUAGCCGAAUUUUUUAUCCUGAAUUUUUAAUUGGUAAACGUAUAAUAUCCGUAUAAAUCACGUAUCCGAAUAAUUGAUGAAUCUAUUUUUUAGCCAUACUUUUCAACGAAUUUAAAAAUUAGAAAACGAAUUUUAUCCGAAUUAUAUCCGUACCAAAUUUUUACCGAAUCCGAAUUAACUAACUAUGAUCUGCAGACGCAGAGCACCCUGGAUUGGGACAGAAAUUAUUCGGAGAUUUGAAAUUCAAAAAAAUAAAAGUGUAUAUUUGAGCCCGUCGAACAUAUCGCUAUUUGGACGUUAGAUUUCACAUCUCGAGUAAAAAUCUAAUAUAUAUUUAAAAAUCACAAAAAAAUAAAAAAAUUAAAUAGUUUUUUAGAUAAAUUUUUAGUUUCAAAACUUAGUAUCAAAUUAAUUUUCAAACUCUUAAUUUUAAAAUUUUUAAAAUUCUUAAUUAUUUUAUGUUAGAUAUAUUUAUAUAAUUUUUAAUACUAAUCUUUUUUUUUUGAGAAAAAGAUAAUAUAUUAUCCCCUUCGUUCAUUUUUUUUUGAAAAUAAACUUACACAGAAUUAUGAAAUAAUUAGGUUCUAAACUUAGAACUUCAGUUACCAACCGCCAAGUCUUUUGUCAAUUACACUAGAGACCAGCGGUUAUUAGUGGAUUUACAUAAAAAUUAUUAUUAUAUCAAAAGUCUGCAUAAUUAUUUGUCAUUAAGUUUUGAAACUAAAAAUUUCAAAUUUCUUUCUAGUAAUUGUUUUAAUAUAUGUAAAAUUAUUUAAAUUAAUUGGUGCUGAGUGCUGAAAACUAAUUAAAUAAGGUGUCUCGAAAUAUGAGAUUAGUGCACACGGGAAGAUAAAUUUUACAUUCGUAAAUUCAUAAUUUUUUUUCUUCACCCCUUUUUGACUUUUAUUCCCUGUGGUGCUUUCUUUUUUUUUCUUUUUUGUUGAGAGAAAGAUAACAUAUUAAUUAUUUUGUUUAUUUUUUUAAAAUAAAUUUAAUUAAAAAUGUGAAGCAACUAUAAUUGAAAUUUUAAAUUUUGGAUAUCAAUUACUAAACCUUUUGCGCAGCAGCUGGGACGUUUUUAAGCCCUCGGAGCUAUAUUUAGGGAUGUCGAUGGGUAUAGAUACCAAAAAUUUUAUCCGAAUCGACCCAAAUGAAACGGAUAUAUCCGCUGGAUAUGAAUAUGAAUUCGAAUAUAGAUAUGAAAAAUAGAAACCCGACGAAUAUAUAUUCGGAUAUGGAUUUUGAUUGUGCCUGACCUAACCCGAACCCGAUCCCGAUCCCGAUCCGAGACCGAAUUUAUUUUGUAUUAUAUUAUAUAUAUAUAUAUAUAUAUAAAUUUGAUGUUAUAUUUGAAUUUAUAUUUCAAAAAUUUAGAUUUAAUAUAAUAUAUUUUAAAAUAUUGAAAAAAAAAUAAUUGUUUCGGGUUCAAAUUUUAGGGUUCGGGUUCAUGCUCGGGUUUCGAAUUUUUGGUCGGGUUCGAGUUUGGAUAUGAAUAUUUAAAAUCCGUCGGGUUUGAGUUCAGGUUCAGAUUUCGGGUUUGAAAUCGGGUUUGGAUUCGGAUUUUUAAAAAUCCACCCCGAAUCCGAUCCAUUGACAUCUCUAACUAUAUUAGCUGUUGGAGAUCGAUUGGGAAAAAUACACAGUAAUGAUCUUACUCCAAAGUGCAUCUUCUUUUCUUGUGCACGUGUUAUAUGAAAACGAAUAAAAUAUUAUUUAAAAAUAUUUGUAUUUAUAUAUGAUAUUAUUUAUAUUUGGAUAGAAAAUAUUAAAAUAGAAAUGAUUAUGAUUUUAAAAAAAUUAUAAUUAUUCAGAUAUUCAAAAAAUGAAUAUAGAUAUGAAUAACCAAAUAUUUUAAUAGUAUUAUAUUUUAUAGUAAUAAAUUAAAUUAUAAUAUUAUUUGAUUCCUAAUAUGUGUGUGGGAAAUAAAUAUUUAAGAAAAGCAAAGAGAAUUUGAAUUUGUUUAUGCAUAACUUAAUUCCUGUAUAAAUUAGAUUUAUAGAUCACUUGCACAGUUGCACUAGAUCAAAUAUCUUAUUUUGAGACAAACGUAGUACAUCAUCUGCUUCAUUUAUAAAAAAAAAAUACAUUAGGUUAUAACGAGUGAGGUAACUGUGCCUCGAGAUAAAGUGUGAAAUAAUAAUAAUAAAAAAAAAACUACAGUUGUUUUUUUUUUUUUGAGAAUAAGAUAGCAAGCUAUCUGCUUCAUUUAUUAAGCGAAAUGUACUAAGCGUACAAGUUGAAGACAGCUAGGGUCUGCUAAAAGGUCCGAACGGAUACAAGAAAGACCGACAAACAGAUACGAGAAAGGCCCAAAAAAAAAAAAAAAAGUUGAAGGGUCAAGGGAUCUCAGUUGUUGAAAUCAACAUGUUCAUAGCUAGACUGUGCGAUCAUUGGAGUCAGUUCAUCAGUACUCGCCCGCAGUACCCGGAUCUCAUCCCACAACCUCUCUAAACAUCGCAGCCUCUCUAAAUAUCGCAUAUGAAAUAGCAACCGACGAGAAUCAACUCUUUGGCCCUAAAAAUGUCUUUUGUUUUUCUCCAACCACGGGACCCAAUAAGUGGCAGCAAUAACGGAGAACCCCUUUUUCCACCGAGUGGCAGCAAUAAUGGAGAAACCCUUCUUCUUUGUUGUGCCCUCCUUCGAUCUAAACAGCUUCCAGAGCAGCUCCAACCACAGCUCCCGUCACAGGACCCACCAGAUCAAAUAUUACAGUUGCGUACACCAAUUUAAAAUUUGAAUAUACAUAUAUCAAACUUAAAUUUAAAUUUGGAUCUAUUAAUCCUUCUGAAAUCAAAGUUUAUUUCUCUUUCUACGGCUGCAACUAAAUGAGAAUCGAAAUGAAAUCCUUUCAAAUCAAAUAAAGAUAAUAGAAAUCAGUUGUUCUAAUUCCAGAUGAGCAUAAAUCUGACAUAUUUUCCAAUCCAGAGAUCAACAAUUUUACACUGGUCUGAUCACUUGAGCGUACAAGCAGAGUAUCCCCUGAGGCAAACUAAUUCCUAGGAUGGUAGUAAGGGAAGAUGGUGUAGAAGGUCUGCAGGAAGGUGAAAACAAGAACGAAAACUGCUGCGAUCAAGGAAAGGAUGGCCCACGGGUUGCCGAAAUAGUCCCUGACCAGCUUCGCCCUCCACUUGGGCCAAUCGGAAUCGCAGUACUUCCUCACGUCCCGGAACAACCCGGCGAGGUAGUGCUUCUCGAAAUCCAUGGCGGCGCAGUCGGAGAGCUGGUUGAAGAACACCGCCAGCUCCUUGUCGCUCGCCAGCUUGUUCUCCAGGAUCCCGCUCUGGUGGAGUAUCGCGACGUCUGCCGGCGUGUCGAUGAUGCAGUCCAUGAACGUCGCGUAGCUCGUCAUGUACGCCUCCUCCGGCUUGCACCCGCCGCACUGCUCGAAUGCCACGAGGUUCGUGAACCGCGAUAACGUCGAGUUCUCCACCGAGAGGAAUGGGAUCUCGAGCACGCCGUCGUGAAAUGCGACGUCCAGGAACGAACCGGGAUGAUGCUGAUCACUCUCGUUCCUUUUCCUCUUCUCGCCCUUCCUCUUAAACGUCACUCCGGCCUCCUCGAGCUCGGUCGCGGACGGGAUCGUAUUCGGCGAUCGUUUCUUAUCCGCCGGCGCCUGCGAUCGGGAAAUCUUUAUUCGGAGAUAAGAGAGGAGGGAGGCGAAGAUCUUAGUCGGGUUUAACCAUUUGAGAAUAGUACCGCAGAUGGUACUGCCCCUCGGGUCAGUUUGUGGUUUCGUGAUGUAGCAGCGGUAGUAGAGAUGCAACAGGUGGUGGAAAUCUUUGGCUUCGCCGUGCACCGAAACGGCGGCGGAGACGCGACUGGCGAGCAUCUCUUCCUCGGGCCUCUCGACGUUUCUGCUCGCGAGGUAGUUCACGAGAAGCUCCAUCAGGGAGGGUAUCUCCUCGUCGUCCAUGGUGAACGUGACGAGCUCGAACAGCUUCUCGAGCACGAAGAGGGGGAUCUGGUUCUCGAGCAGGAGCAGGUCGCCGCGCACGAGCGGCAAGCUCCAUCCGGCGGUGCAGACGCUGUCGUCGUCCCCCUGGCUCCACUUGAUGAUGAACUCGAGGACGAAGCACCCGUCGAGGAGCAGCAUCUCCACGAACGCAUCGGCGCUGAGGUCGACGGGCUCGAAGUAGCACCGCCGCGCCCGAGGCUCCAGCACCCUGAUCUCGGCUAUGUAGUGAUCGAUGCAGUUGUAGGGGUUGCGGGAGAGGAAGUCCUGCAGGUAGCGCCACUUGUGCUGUUCCAUGGCGCGGAGGACGGGGCCGUCGCCGCGGCCGUAGGGGCCGACGGAGACCAUCCGGGGUUCGUAGAGGUGCGUGUUGCGCUGCCGGACGUGCGCCGGGACGCGGAAGAUGGUGAAGCGCUCCAGCACCAUCGGGUCGCGGUCUAAGGCCUUGAUGUUCGACCUGACGGAGCUCAGCACGGCAUCCUCGAUGUCUACGGCGACCGCCUGUCCCUGAUCCUGUGCCAUCGCCGGCAGCUAUCCUGUGCAGUCAACGAUCGUCCUCGGUAUGUAACCUCCCUCCCUACAUUACCUGUUCCAGAUCCAGUCGGCCGGCACAGGGGGCAAUAAAUUAAGUCCUUCUAAAAAGAGUUGUUUUUCUUUCCCCUAAAAAGCUUGUAGGGGAAAUCGCACGAAAUUUAUUUGAACUGUUCCUUUUUAAAAUGUUACUAAUAUACUAUCUAAUUUUUAGUUUAUUUAAUUAUAAUUAAUUGAUAUUUUUUAAAAAAGAUAGGUUAAACUAUAUUUGUGAGGCAUCACAGUGCUAUGCAGUAUGGAGUCGAUAAUAUUCUGCAAAAUUUACUGCUUUUUUAGGUAGGCAAAGCUUAUUCCUUUUCCUGUCUUUCCGGACGUUUCCCCAUCUCUCCUCAACUUCACUCGGCCUUCGGCCCACUACGCACCGCUCGGAUGCCAAGUAUAGAUUAAUUAUUUAUUAUAAUAAAUUUAUUAUUACGAAAAUUAUAUAAAAUAUAUUAAAUAAAUUUAUAUACAUACAUAAUAUAUUUAAAUUUUGAAAGUUAAAAUAUCGUUCGCUGACUCAAAUCAAAUAAAAUUAAAAAUUGUGUGACAAAAUCAAACUCUUGAAAAAAUUGAUUAACUAAAUUAAAAUAGUUCAUAGACUAGAUAAGUUUUUAUAUUAAUUUUUUAAGUAAAGUAUACGAAAUUUAUCUGAACUAUAGAUUGUUUUGACUUGGUUUACUCAACCUUUUAAAAUUUUAAUUUUACUAUCUAAUAUUUCAAUUUGUUUGAUUUUGAGUCGGCUAACAGUAUUUUGAUUUCAAAUUUGAAUGUAUUAUUUAUUUUUAUAGGUUUAGUUAGUAUACUUUAUAUAAUUCUCAUAAUUAUAAAUUUAUUAAAUUAAAUAGUUAACUUAAAUUUUGAAGUUAAAAAAUCGUUGAUUGACUCAAAUUAAUGAAAUUAAAAGAUUAGAUAGUAAAAUUUAAAAUUUAAAAAUUUAGAUAGUCGAUUUAAAAUAAUGUAUAAUUUAGAUAAAUUUUGUAUUCUUUUAUCUUUUUUAUGCAUAUGUUUCAACUGAAAUAAAAGCAAGUAAAUGACUAGAGUGCCAUUGUCCAUUGAUUGUAAGAAGUGGGCCCUAGAUGGCUCAGUGUAGUUUCUGGUAAGACCUUAGAGUUGUAGGUUGGGUGAAUAGGAGCUCUCAAUAGGUCCUUUUGAAUGUGGUCGAUAAUCAUAAUACUUAAAAAAGUUGGAUUCCUUUCGGAAUUUCAAGUUCUCCAUCUGUUCGACUCUUAAAUGGUUCAAUUCUAAUGGUAGAGGAGACAUCUUUUUCUUUACUAUCGGUGGUUUCAUGACCAUUGAUUCAAGAAACUCGUGUUAACAGAUUUGAGUUGAAUUUUCCAUUUGGAAUGAAUGGGACUAUAUUGGAUUCACUUCUUUUAUUUUUUCCAAGAGGAAAUGGGUUUAGCCCCUAUUGGAUUCAUUUCACCAACAGAAAAGUUAUAAGAAACAUAUACCACUAGAAUUCCAAUCUCAAGUUAUCGGAUUCAUAAAUAAAAUCCACACAAAUCUGGUGAAAUCAAUCCUAAUCAUGAAGGUUCUAAAAAAAGAAAUCAAUGAUAAUUGAAUUGGAAUUAAUAAAUUGAAGGUACUCUAUGUAGAAAGUGUAAAUUAACACAGAGCAACCUAUAUUCAAGCUACAGAAACAUCAAAUUUAAAUACAAAAAAAAUGAAGGACCAAGAACGGGGUAGCUACGUAGACUAUAAUUUAUCAGUUUGUGCACUCAAGGUAAAGUAUGGACCCAUCUAUAAAAAAUUGUGUGAAAGAGAAUAGCUUUUUACAUAAGGCCAUGUUUGGUUCGACGUAAAAGUGGACCGAAAAAAAUUUUUCUCCGAAAAACAACUUAGUAGCGUGUUUGGUUGGAAGUAAAAAAUUUUUCUGGAAAAACUUAUUUUACAUAUGUUAGGAAAAACUUACUUUUCGUUUUCCGCAUAAGAGCCGCGGAAAACGAAAAGGCAGCGGCUAGCAAAACAGUAGUAGCCACAGAUACGAUUCUCAAUCAAAAAGGACAAAAUGUAAUAUGUGUUUAUGUAGCUAUCGGUCAAAAACCAUCUUCUGUGGCUCAGGUAGUGACUACUUUCCAGGAGCGAGGGGCCAUGGAAUACACUAUUGUUGUAGCUGAAACGGCGGAUUCACCUGCUACAUUACAAUACCUCGCCCCUUAUACGGGAGCAGCUUUGGCUGAAUAUUUUAUGUAACCGUCCCAAUGGUUUGGACUUGAGUAGCUGAAAAAAGAUAUACAACCUUGGCAAGAACGACGUUCAGCAAGAAUUAUGACUCAUGCUCCUUUAGGUUCUUUAAAUUCCGUGGUGGCGUAGCUACCGAGAUCAAUGCAGUCAAUUAUGUCUCUCCUAGAAGUUGGUUAGCUACCCACAUUUUGUUCUAGGAUUCUUCUUUUUGUGGGGCAUUUGUGGCAUGCGGAAGGGCCGCGCAGCUGCUGCAGGGUUUGAAAAAGGAAUCGAUCGUGAUUUGGAACCGCGCUCAUGGGAGGCAAAACAUUGCGCGUCCCCGAGGCCCUUUGGCCUUGUGGACUGUGCGAGAGGGAGGUCCACAGGGUUCAUGUGGACCUCUCUCUCAUUAUAUAUUAUAUAUAUAUAUAAUAUAUAUAUAUAUAAAUUUUAUUAUAAAUAAUAUUUUAUUAUAUAUAUAAUUUAUUUUUAUAAUAAAAAUAUUAUUAUAUAAUAUUUAUUUAUAAACUUGUAAUUAUUUAUUAUAUCUCUUAAAUAUAUAAUUAUGUAAAUGUUUAUUUAUAAUUUUAAAUAUAUUUAAUCUAUAAUAAAAAUUAUAUAAUAAUAUAUUAAGAUAAUAAUUAUUAUAUAUUAAUAAUAUAUAAAAUAAAAAAUAUUAAAUUAUUUUAUUUACUUUUUUUCCUUUCACAAAAAUCAAUCGUCAUGAAAACUAUUUUUCUUUUUUACAAACCAAACACAAACGACGUAAAACUUUUUCCCACCGAAAAUUUUUUUCCAUCGAAAAUUUGUUUUCCACAGUUUUACGUGGAACCAAACACACCCUAAUUAACAAAAGGAAAAUUCAAAAAAGAACCUAAUGCUCAGAUAAUCAAUUCAAAGUAGAAUAUCUAAGGACUUAACUUUGAAAUUAUUACAGUAGCAUUAAUUAUGACUUACAUCACAAGCUAAUAGGUAUUUUAACACAUACACAUUUAACACAAUACAUAUUUAAACUAAUGAGAAAUGACAUGUGAAAAAUACACAAUAGUAAUAUUCGCUCCAUCAGGGACGAGAUUGUUACCGAUCGUUCCUAGAGCAAUGGCAAAGGCUUGGUGGUUGGUACCCGAGACCCAAAUUCGAAUCCUACUUGAUUCACAUUUCCAGCUAAGUUUAUUUCUAAAUGAAAUAAACGAAGCGGGUAGCGUGCUACCUAUCUCUCUCAAAAAAAGGACGAGAUUAUUGCGAAAAUGUUUAGAUCUCAUGAGUAGGCCGAAUAGAUAGAUUACAACAUUGCUCUUUUCAAAACAAUUAUUCAUUGGAAACUACGAAUUUUUAUACUUCUGUAUUGGCAAACAGGAUUCCCAAUAAAUCAACAUAUGGGAUUGCUCUCGUUCGGUAGGGCCUCGCGUCGGGAUUUUGCUGUGUAAAAGGAGAAAGGUUUGAAUAAAUUAGAACUUAGUACUAAAUACUUGAAAAUGUGAUAUAGUAAUGUACCUUGAUAUAUUCAUUCCAUUCAGCAUCUGUAGCAAUUACUACAUGACAUUUAUGAUCCCAGCUAAACUUUGGAUGAUGCCUGAUGCGGUUCACUAUAUGAUAUUCACGUCUAUAAAAAUUGAAGCGCUCAAACAAAUGUUUGUGUUCAUACUGCAAGCCAGUUGAUUCAUUGAACUUGGCUACUAUGUUGCACCAAGAAUCCUCUCCACCGUGUAGUAUAUUUUCCUCCCCUCCAUUUGAAAUUUGCUCCACCAACAAACUAAGCAAUAUUUUAUCAUGCUCCUUUUCCUAUAUUGCUAAAGGCUGAUCUGUUAUUAUAAUCCUUUUUUUUUCCGGAAUUACAUUUGGCGUCUCUAUUCUAUAUGUAAACAAAAGAAAAACCAAAACUUACAAUUUAAGAAAUUGCUGCAAAAGAAAGAAAGAAUAUUAUGAUCUUAAAGGAAAAAAUAAAUUAUAACCAUCAGGAAAUAUUGAGAAAGUUAGUUCUAGCUAGUUGCAUGAGAAAUACCAAUAGCCUUAUGAUGACAUCCAUCAUAAAUAAAUUCUUCUUGCCAUUGAAGUAAAGGAAAAGUAUGCCGCUAAUAUGUCAUGAUUCUAUUAGGAAACAUGCAAACGCAACUUGUUCGUUCUGUGGGGAACAUGAAAGAGCCUGAUCAGUUGAUCAGUUGAUUAAGAUGGGACAUGCGAUUACGAGUAUGAAUUCAAUCUAACAAAUAAUUGAGCUUCGAAAUGAAGAGCAUAUAAAUCUUUUUUCAAUUGAGCUUGAGAUGAUCUCUUUUAUGUUAUGUAUAUAUAGAAACUGAAAGUUAAAAAGCUAAAGGUACGUUUGUGGUGACUAGUGAACAACUGAACUCUCAUAUGGCACCACUCCAGAUCAAAGCGGAUGAAAAUUCAUCACUGAUUUAUUUUCUUUCACAGAGAAAGAAAAAACAGAGGUCUCUAAUAUUAAAUUUCAUUUAUGGGGAACUUGUAAAUAAUAACUUGUAAAAGGAAGCAGCAAACUUAGAAUUAGAUAACUACAUGACAUGUUUUCAAAUUCAAAACCCAAGAAAUUACUAGUUCAACGAAAGUAAUUAGUCCCUUGCUGCAAUCCAUUAAGGUUUUUGGACUUAGAGCCAUUCUCAUGCAGGUGCUACUCGCAGUUCCAUUCACUAAUAACAUCCACAUAUGCUGUACACUAAUAAGGCAUGGGAGCACAUAAAUAAUUUGAAUUUUUUAUUUGUAGGUUUUGGUAAUUAGUUAGUUAAUCUUUUUGGGCAACAACUUCGGAAGUCAAGUUUUCUCCCAUCAAGGAGUUAUCCGAUGAAGCCUCAUUUAUCUGCUUCGCAAAAUUUUAAAAUUUGGUAUACAGUUCUCUGUUAAAUCCCUUCCUAUGAACUUAACAGAACUUGUCCUUCACUUGUAUCUUGUUCAUUGUUAGAGUCAAUGCAUAUGUAGUUACAUGUAUAGGGGGCCUAGAAUGUCAUUGAUAGUAUGAGAAUAAUAUUUGCUAGCUACCAACUUUAUUAUUAUCGAAUGUCUUUAGUUCCGUAGGAAUUGGUGGAAUAAUAAUAAUCUACUAAUGAAAAAUUUGAUAGUAAAUACUAUUCAUGUACUAUCAAUUGUAUACUAGCUCAAUAUAUAUAUAUAUAUAUAUAGAGUUGAGCUAGAAUACUUGUAAAAGUAUUAUGUGAGUGGUGCUUUUGAGUUUUUAGCCAUUGGAUGGAGAGAUGUGAGGUUGAAAUGAUGGUGGUAGGUGGAAUAGUGUUUGAUCCAAGGGCUAUUAGUAAUCAAGGAGUAGAUCCAAUGGCUAAAAAUCUAAUAGCAUCAUGGGGGUAAUACUUGUAAAAGUAUUCUAACUCAAUUCUCUCUCUCUCUCUCUCUCUCUCUCUCUCUCUAUAUAUAUAUAGAGGAUAGUUUUCUCCUGGUUUUCUUAUUGACUUCUCAAAUUACCGAUAUACCUUGUGAAACACAAUCGGCAUGAACUACACUGAAGUAGAAGAGUGGUUCUCAAAUUACUCUGUAAUAUUUCAAUAGUCUCACAUCGGAUAAGAAUGGAGUUAGGUUUCGGUAUCUACAAGAUCAUGAACAUUAGUAAUAAUAAUUGAGUUUAAGAAUUUGGGCUAGUGUUUUAGGCCUAAUGAGUCAUGGUGGUUUCAUGACCAUUGAUUCAAGGAACUUAUGUUAACCAAUUUGAGUUAAUCCUUCCGGCCCUUUGGAAUGAAAUGAGAUUGUAUAGGAUUCACUUCUUUCUAUAUUUCUUUGAAAAGAGUGCUCAACCUACAAGAACUGUUUAUGAUAUUUAAGGUAGAAGGUAGAAUUCUUUAAAGAAAGAACUUCGAGUUAUUUAAAGUAAGAAACAAAAUUUAUAAAUAAAUGAAAUAAAGUAGGGAUCUAUGAAAUCAUUGCAAUUGAUGUUCGAUCCCUUUUCUUUUCUUUUCUUUUCUUUUUUUCUCAAGGAAAUGGGUUUAGCCUCGUUUACAUAUUGGAUUCACUUUCACCUACAGAAAAGUUGUAAGAAACUCGAACAGCUACAACUCCAACCUCAACUUAUCAGAUUCACCCAAAACAAGAGAAAUCAAUUUAAAUCAUGGCCUAGCUAGUUAAGAUUCCAAACAGAAAAAUCAGUGAUAAAUGAUUUGAAAUUCAAGAACAGUAGAUACUCUAAGCCAGAAAGUGGAAAUUUACACAAAGCAACCUAUAUUCCAGCUAUUAAAACAUCAAAUUAGGAAUAAAAAAUUAGACUGAGGAAAGGGAAGCUACGUACAUAUGGACCAAAUUGAGCUCGAAGACCUCAAGGUGAAGGAUGGACCCAUCCUCAAUACUGUAGUCCGCCAGAGAUUUGGCCGUCUCAAAUAGAUGAUGGCCAUUGAAAUAAAGCGCCACACCAGGCCAUUUACCAAGAACAGUUUUUAACACAUCCUUGAUGGUGUUAGAGCUGUUCACCUCAAGCGCAUAAUUUCCAUAAUCUUCUGACUGCACAUAGAUUUUCAUUUCACCAUCCCCACUGGGUCUCAUAGAAGAGCUAGACUCUGCAUAUCCCUUCUUGGCUAUUUUUGUUGGACUAUCAAAGUUGCAUAUGUAAGGCACGUUAGUUUCUUUGUAAUAGAAUUUCACAUAGAUCCUAACAUAUUUCAGGCACCAGUACAUAUAUAACAAACAAUAAUAUUANNNNNNNNNNNNNNNNNNNNNNNNNNNNNNNNNNNNNNNNNNNNNNNNNNNNNNNNNNNNNNNNNNNNNNNNNNNNNNNNNNNNNNNNNNNNNNNNNNNNNNNNNNNNNNNNNNNNNNNNNNNNNNNNNNNNNNNNNNNNNNNNNNNNNNNNNNNNNNNNNNNNNNNNNNNNNNNNNNNNNNNNNNNNNNNNNNNNNNNNNNNNNNNNNNNNNNNNNNNNNNNNNNNNNNNNNNNNNNNNNNNNNNNNNNNNNNNNNNNNNNNNNNNNNNNNNNNNNNNNNNNNNNNNNNNNNNNNNNNNNNNNNNNNNNNNNNNNNNNNNNNNNNNNNNNNNNNNNNNNNNNNNNNNNNNNNNNNNNNNNNNNNNNNNNNNNNNNNNNNNNNNNNNNNNNNNNNNNNNNNNNNNNNNNNNNNNNNNNNNNNNNNNNNNNNNNNNNNNNNNNNNNNNNNNNNNNNNNNNNNNNNNNNNNNNNNNNNNNNNNNNNNNNNNNNNNNNNNNNNNNNNNNNNNNNNNNNNNNNNNNNNNNNNNNNNNNNNNNNNNNNNNNNNNNNNNNNNNNNNNNNNNNNNNNNNNNNNNNNNNNNNNNNNNNNNNNNNNNNNNNNNNNNNNNNUUUUUUUUUUUUUCCUCUAGCCAUCUUAUCGAGCUGAUAUUCGGUUUCUGAUCGAAAUAAUCAAAAAAAUUCAAUUCAUUUGUUGGCUUCAUGACUAUUCAAUUCAUCACGAUGUUAAAGAAAGUAACAAUUCAAGAAACUCAUGCGAAGUAGACAUGUAGUUGAAUCUCUUUGCUUGCAACGAGAAUGUAAUUUCCAUCUUUAGGUAAGAUCUUUAAAUCUGGGACUAAAAUUAAUCAUAACCAAACUAAUUUAAAACGAACCAUACGAAAUCAAAAUCUAAGUUACUUAAUUCCAAACAAAAAGGGAACAAAAAGGGAAUAAGUGAUACUCAUAGGUGUGUGCCAACACCCGCGGCGUGCAGUUCAGAUGAAGCACGGAGCCGUGUUCGAUUCCGUAUUCGGCCAGGGUUUUCUGCUUCUGCAACUCCAGGUCAUUGAAAGAAAGCCGCGGCUCCGGCGCUCGGCCCGCCCUGUCGCUGCCGAGAAUCUUGACCAGCACGUCCACGACAGUGUUACGGCAGCACACUAGGAGAUGGUAGUUGUGGGUAGCGUCGGACUGCACAGUGAUCUUCAUCUCACUGGCGAACUGAUCAGGUUCCCCGGCGGAGUCCCACUUGGAGUUCCACAGUUCCGCGACGGAGGCCGGCAGCUCUGCAGUAUAUAAAUGACUAAACCAAUUAAGCAACAACAAUUACAAUAUCAUGAUGUUCACAUGCAAACAUUGUAAAUCACUGUAAUAAUAAUAAUAGUAGUUAGUACCUUCUUAUAUAUGGAUCAAUUAAUUAAUUACAGCGAGUCAAGUAGCACAGGCCACAGCAACUCCGAGAGAGAAAGAGAGAUACACAAAAAAAAAAUAGAAAGAAGAGGGAGGAUUUAUAGAGAUAAGAGGACUUAGUGAGAAAGAAGAAGAAUAGUUGUGACGUUCCAAGAAAUUGUUUGUACGGAUCUCACAAUGUGUGUGUAAUUGGGCCCGACGAAGACGCGUUUACUUGAUUCACUGUUAUUUCUCUCUCUUUGAAGACGCGUUUACUUGAUUCACUGUUAUUUCUCUCUCUUGAAAGACGCGUUUACUUGAUUCACUGUUAUUUCUCUCUCUCGAAGCUUCCGACCUCUUUCCGGAGUACUGCUUUUUUCUUUUCUUUUUCUUUUUUUUUUCUUUUUUUUGAGAGAAAGAUAGCAAACCAAUAAAAACAACAAAAACGUACAAAGAAAAAAAGACAGCAACUCCGAGAGAGCUGACAUUCACUGUUAUUUCUCUCUCUAAGAGCAGCAUGAGCUUGAGAACAGAGCAAGAAAAAAAACGAAACAAAACAAAACAACAAAAACAGAGAGAAAAAGAAGAGUAGAGAAAGAGAGAGAAAGGAGAAAAGAGCAGGAGGAUAAACUUUUUUUUUUUUUUUUUUUUUUUUUUUGAGGAGAUAGCUUUAGGUAGCAGGUAGGGGUUUCUGCUGUAAACGAGACGAAAACACGCAUGCGCAUGUGGGUCGGCUCCGUGUUCGGCUCGUUUAAUAAUAACGAGCUGGGUCAUCGAACAUAAUUAAAAAAGAUUAGAUUAAAUAUAUAUAAAAAUAAAUUUAUAAAUCUUAUCCAUUAGACUUCGAUCUAAUAUUAAAACUUUAUAUAUAAAUGACGAUCUUUUUAUAAUUAAGCUCAUAUUUUAUAUUUUAUUUUGCUAAAAUUUAAAUAUAAAAAUUAUAUUAUAUAUAGGUUGAGUGGGAAUACAUAUCGGUAGCAACGGGCUUUCGUUGCCCACCCAUUUUGCUUUCGAUGAUGGAGCUCCAAAUCGCACGAUCAGGUUACGUUGAAAUGAUCCUAUACCACUUGAAGUAUCUUUAGAAAUUCAAAGUUUCAUUACUUUUCGAUAAUUUUUUUUCUUGUAUUUUUCAUCAAGGUGAGGCGUUUAAAAGAUAAAAUGGCGUGAAAAUGAAUAUCUAAAAAGUGAAUGAUAGGAAAUAUGUAAUCAUGAUCGAGAGUUAUAGAUCUUGUUUAAAUAGUUUAAAAAAUUUUCUAAUAAAAUUCAAUUGAUUUGGAUGUUUUACACCGUUAAACUGAGAAAACAACUCAUAUCAAACCAUUGAAAAUUAUAAAUUUUUACACCCUAUUGAUCUUUAGGUAAAUGAUUUCAGCAAAGAUUUGAAAUUUGAUUUCUAGAUACUUCAAGUGUAGUAGAUCAUGUUCAACGGUACUGAUCAUCGGAUUUGAAGUCCAUCUUCGAAAAUAAUGAGUGGCAACGGGUCGUUUCUACGAUAGAUUUUAGCUCAUAAUCUUAUUAUAUAUUAAUUAUUUAUUUAUAUAUAAAAAUAAAAAUUAACUAUUAUAUAAAUAUUAAAAUAUAUGUAAUUAUGCGCUUUUAUCGAGCGAACCACGAGUGAGCUAAACAUGCUCUCAGUGUUCGGCUCGUUUAUUAAAACGAGCUGAAAAUCCAGCUCGUGUUCGGUCGUUUUACUAAACGAGCGGCCGCAUCUCGAGCUCAUUUCGAGCCGAACACGAGCUGGCUGUUGAACAGCGCAGCUGGAUUGGCCCUAGUGCAGGCUCGCCGCUUUGUUUUCAUUUCAUUUAGAAAUAAACUUAGCUGGAAAUGUGAACUAACUAGGAUUUGAUUGGGUCUCGGUACCAACUCAUCAGCCUUUUGCACUUGCUCCAGGAAACGGUCAGGUGCAGAGGAUAAAUUUACUUCUUUUUUUUUUAUUUUCAACAAGCGGUAGUCGUAGGUUGGAAUAAAUUUAGAUCGAGUCCACACGGAGGCGUAGGUUAGGAUAAAAUUAGAUGAGUCUGAAGUAGAAUUUGAUGGAAUGCAAAUAUGGUUGCCAAUAUGGGGACUCAUCUGUAAAAAAUUAGGAAGCUCCUAUUUAAUUUACCUUUUUCUAUAAUCUCUUGUUAAAUAUAAAAAUAUUUAAACACCGUUCUCUAACAGUUUAAGCUUUUAGAGUACAACGAUUGUUUCACAUGGUAUCAGAGCAGGAGAUCCUGAGUUCGAGUCACGCCAGGCUCCUAGCAUAUUAAUUUCCUCCCAUUUAAUUCAAGCCCACGUCAUGGGACCCAGACGUGAGGGGGAGUGUUAAAUAUAAAAAUAUUUAAACACUAUUCUCUAACAGCUUAACCUUUUAGAGUACAACGGUUGUUUCACAUCUCUCUCCAAGAUACCCGAUCGCAUAAGAUGUUUACGCACCAUAUAAAUUCUAUAAAUCUACUAUUCUAUACAUAACCUUAUCGUGCGGACGCAUUCGUAUACGGAUGAAUUAUGAUUAGAUGAAUUAUGGUUAGAAAAUUAUUUAUGUACUUAUAUCAAGAUCAGUACUGUUGAUCUUAAUUUGAAGUAUUCUAUUUUCUUUUUUUAUAAGGUUUUUAAAUUUGAACCAUUCAUUUUGUGGCAGCAUGACGCACUUGACAAUGAUAUUAUAAAAAAAAAUUAUGAACUUUCAAUUCCUAACAACUUAGAAAAUCUUAGAUUACGCUUAAUGGUGUGAAUUACUGAUUCAAAAGUUCUAUUAUCGAAAAUAAGACUAUAACACAAAAUACUUUGUGCCGUUAAUAUAACGCUAGCUUAGCUUUAUGCUUUAAUUUUCAAAACUUUUGAGAGAAUUCACAUCUUCAAAGUCCACUAAUAAAAGAAGAAUUUUAAAAAUUCAUCAAGUAAAUUCAAGAUAUUAAUCAUUUUCCAGGACCAAAGGGCCAAUCAUCUCUUCGAAUAAAAAACAACUAAAGAAGAAACAAAUCCUUCACAUAACUAUGCUCCAUCAAAAUAAUUAACAAACACUAAUUUAACUUGAAAACUUAAUAUAAAUUUUUUGCUUAUAUUAUUCUUUGAAGAGUGCCUCUUUAAUCAUGGUUACAAUAUGUGAACUAUGGUAUGUACAAUAUAUUUGUGAUAUGAUUUGAUAUAGCAACCUACUAAGUUUUUUUUUUGAGAAAGAGGUAGCGAGCUAUCUGCUUCAUUCAUCAAGCAAAAUGAACUAAGCGUACAUGAUGAAAGCAGCUAAGGCCUCCUAUGAAGCGGAAAAAAAUAGAAAAUGAACAAGGAAGGAAAAAUAGAGCUAUAGGAGAAAGCUAGAGAGCUAGGACAGGUGAUGCGGAAACACAAAAGAGAGAUAUCCGGAAGAAAAAGAAAGGGAUCACAGGUCGUUCCCGGCAUUCAUCAAGGCAAGAACGUCCAGUCGUUCGUCAUCAAGCAACCUACUAAGUUACAAUCCAUUUGGAUGUAUAUGGUGGCUAAUAACAUAAUCAUAAUAGGACCAUCAGAUAACAUCAAUCAAAUAGUAGGCACUAAGAUGAUGCACAAUUAAAUUAAUGAGAAAUGACAUUCAAUAUAAUUGAAAUCAUUCUCAUGUUUACUUUGUGUGCAUAAUAGUCAAGUAACACAUUUUCAAAUAAUUGUUUGCUUUAUUACAGUUACAAUGCACAUUCAGAGUUUGUAGAUGACAAUGAACAAAAUGUAUGAAAAUAUAGUGUUGUUGUUCUUCUCCAAAAAGCUCUGCUUCGGGUUUUGCCUGCGCGAAUGCCAAAAUAGUUUGAAUCAAUUCAAGUAUAAAAAAGGAUCGAUAGUGUUGGAUAAAGAAUAAUAAUAAUAAUAAAUACGGUUAGUAUACCUUAAUAUAUCAAUUCCAUUCAUUAUCUGUAGCAAUUACUACGUGACGUUGGUAAUCCCACCUACGUGUUGGUUGUUGCUCGAUGUUGUUCACCGUUUCAUAUUCGGUUGUGUAAAAGCUCAACCGGUCUUUCAAAUCUUCAACUUCAUAAUUCGACGCUGUUGCCUUGCUGAAUCUAGCCACUAUGUUAUGCAAAGCAUCCAUUUUAAAGCCUUACCCGUCUCUCCCGCCAUUAUGCACAUGUUUUACCAUCAAAUCAAGCAGUGCUUUGGGGUAGCGUUCUUCAGCCAAAUUGCUAAAAGGUUGGUUUCCUCUUUUGAUGGUUAAUUCAUUGUAGUAUUAUUUUUGUCAGCUCUCUAUUCUGCAAGUGAAAUAAAACAAGAAUAUCCUAGAAAUACUUUUAGGGUGCGUUUGGUUCGCAUUAUGAAAGAUUACUAGGAAGGAAAAGAUGUCCGAGAAUCUUAUUCCUAUUCAUCAUAUUACUAAGAAUGUGGAAUUCCUGUGUUUGGUUCGCAUGGUCAUAUUAUUUAGCCAUGUUAUUUAAGAUUACAAAAAAUAUACAAUUAAUUAAUUUAUUUUUUAAAUUAAUUUUAGAUAAUCUACCAAAAAUUUCAACAUUUUUUUAGAAAAAAGGGAGAGAGAGCAUAGGUUAGAAAGAGAGAGCAUAAUUAAAAAAAUAGUAAGAGAAAUAGAGUCGAAAUUAGAGGGAGUGAGAGAGUUGAGAUUUUAGAAAAAGAGGGAGAGAGAAAGCUUAGUAAGAGAGAAAAAGAGUUAAAUUUUAGAGAGAAAGAUAAGUUUAGAGAGAGAUGUGAGAUUAUAGUAUGAAGAAAAAUAAUACCAAUUAGCCGACGGAUAGGGAGAAAGAAAGAGAUUAGACAUAUUAUGAUUACCCCAAUCCAUAUUAUAGGAUACCCACCCUUUCUCAAGAGAAUGAGAUUAGUACUUUGGGAUGAAUCUUAUUCCCAAGUAAAUCCAAUAUUACUAACUAGAUUACUUAGUGCGUUUAACCAAACACCGUCAUAUUUUUUUAUUCCUAUUGGAUUACUAGGAAUCUUUAAAAGAUAGCGCGAAUCAAACGCACCCUUAAACUAAAAUAACAGAGAAUAAUGAUGAUUGAAAAUAGUAGAAAAUCGUAAUCAUAGAACAUCAUUGUGGACGGCGUUUCGACUGCAUGCACAGUGAUCUCCAUCUCACUGGCAAAGUCAAGUUCCACAACGGAGUCCGGCGGCUCUACACAAUCCAUCUCCAGCAGCUCUAUAUGGACACAUUGUGUUGUUCAAAUAAUCACAUUCAAUUUAGAGCAUCUAAUGACUUAAUUAUGAAAUCAUUGAGGGAGCAUUAAUAUAAGCUUACACUAAUGAUAGAUGCUAACAUAAAUACAUAUUUAAAUAGAUCAGAAGUGGCAUGCGCAAAAUAUAGUGUAACAAUGUUUGCCUCGGUCAAGAGGCGAGAUUACUGUGAACAUGUUGAGACCUCCUAGCUAGAGAAUGAAGAUAUUACAACACUAUUUUUAUUUCAAGAGAGUCACUCAUAGGAAAUCACGAUAUUUUAUUUUUUUUUCUCGACAAACACACUUUCAUAUAAAUUAAUAUACGGUACUUUUCUGCUUCGAUAGUCCUUCGCACUAGGAUUUUCCUGUGAAAAAGGAGAAAGGUUUGAAUAAAUUGGAAUUAAGUACUAAACACUUCGAAAAGCAAUGUGGUAGUAUACCUGAAUAUACUUAUUCCAUGCAGCAUCUGUGGCAAUUACUACUUGAUGUUGAUGAUCCCACCUAAACUCCGGACGAUUCUUGAUUUUUCCCACUAUUCCAUAUUCACGUUUAUAAAUCUCGAAGCGAGCAUGCAAAUGUUUUUCUUCAUAUUUCAUGCCUGUUGCUUUAUUGAACUCGGUUACUAUAUCACGCCAGGAAUUAUUUUUAUAGUCUAGUAUUUUUCUCCCUCUUGAUUGAAUUUGCUUUACCAAUAAAUCAAGCAGUAUUAGAUCAUGCUUUUCUUCCCAUAUUACUGAAGGGCGAUACGUUAUUUUAAAGUAUCUCCAAAUUGGCUAUCGUACAAUUGUCACUUCCCCCCCACUCGCCGCGACCUCUUCGCCAGCCAAGGCGGCCGCCUUGUCCGUUGAAUAUUCUGCGGCCCCUCCCCUCGCCGCAUCCGCCUCUUUGGCCGGCGAACGGGUGUCCGUUGACGUCUCGGGUGGCGGGUCGUUUAAAUUUUCAAACCUCUCCGCUGUCCCCGCAUCCCUAGACAACGGUGACAUCAGGGCUGCAGACUGCCGCCUUCAGCUUUCACGCCCCCCUUUCGCCAGCUGUUUUGCUAACGCCUUUUUGGCCCCUGUACCCGCGAAGGGAAGCUUCGUAUCUCUAUCCCAGGGAUCCCUUCUGGCAGAAUUAGACAAAAGGAGCUCUGGGGGGAUUUUCUUCUCCCUCGGGAACCGGCGGAGUUUCUUCCUACGAUUCUCUACAUCCUUCUCGUUUUCUGUGCGGCCCCCCUCCAAACUAGUUGUCGGAUCUCUCGGAUCCCUCCUUCUGCAUGCUUCCUUCGGGUCGGAUGUGUGGUUCGGAUCCGCAAACCUUCUCUCCUGCCACCUGGGACCCAAUUGGACCCUUAUCCGGCGCCCUGGGCCAGACCUAAGCUCGGGCGGGCUUUCUGCGUCCACUAAUGCCCCAUGCUGGCUCCCACCCUCCUGGUGCUUGGGCUUGGGCCGCGGCUCGGGCCCGGGCUCGGCCACGGGCGGCCUGGACGCAGGCAUCGUAAUGGACUUGGGCGUGGGCUUCGGUGUCGACUUGGGUGCCGGGUCGGGUGCGGCCCUGCGCUCAGGCUCGGACGUGGGCUUGGAGGAGGGCUUCGACGAGGUCUUGUCUGCGGGCCUGGAACCGGACCGGGGCGAGGGCUUGGGUGCAGGCCCAGACGAGGAUUUGGAGACACGACUGGGCGCGAGCUCGGCCGACGACUUGGGCGCGGGAUCACCCACGGGCCUGGGCGCCUUUAAGGCUCCAAGCGACCUUGCGGGAGGUUUUGGACCGGUCGAGCUCGAGCGCCCUGAGGUGGCGCGCGGGGACAGCGGAGGCAGCGGAGGGGCGGCGUCGGAAGGCGGAGGCAGAGGAAGCGGUGGGGGUGAGGGUGUUCUUGGAGGCGGCGAAGAAGACGGAGAGAGGAGAAUGGGGGCUAUGGGUUUUACGGUUCGGGACGGAGGGGUGCGGGGUCUUGUAGUUGGAGACGUCGCGGAAGAUGUGGCCGCAGCCUGGGCCGUCGGGUCGGGCGUAGAGGGAGCAAGCUUCGCCAUGGGCAUGGGCGCAGACUGCGGCGCCGGGUCGGGCUCGGCCUUGGGAGCGGGCUCGGCCUCCAUCGUGGACUCGGGCGCAGAGUUUGGCGCCGGCUUGGGCGUGGCGUCGGGCUUCGAGGCGGGCCGGGGCGCGGCCUUGGCCGUGGGCUUGGGCGCAGACUUGGGCGCCGGCUUGGGCCAAGCCUUCAAGCCCAAGGGACCUUGCGGGCCGGGGCGCUUGGGGGCGGGCUCGGCCGACGGCCUAGGCGCGGGCUCGCCUGCGGGCCUGGGCACAGGCUUUCCAACCUGCAGCACCCACCUGGCCUUGAUUUCCACUUGCAGCCACCCUCCCAACUUGGACCGUCCCACCUCGGAUCCACCCAGAUCUAGCGGAAGAGUCCGCAGCCAGUUUCCUGGCUCUGUUUUACGCAAGGCCAUGCUCAGAAAGGCGCAACUACUCGAAGGCGACCCAGCUAUUCCCAGUCACUCUACGCGCAAAUGGUCCAAGAAAAAAGUUAAGGCGAAAGGUCUUCGCUGCGGGGUGGACCUUCAUGAAGAGGCCGUUAAGGACUUCCUUGAGUUCCUGAGUGGGAAGGCCUAGGAGCGGCUGGAGGAGCCGCGGGUGUUGUGUUUCGUGUGUCUUUCCUUUCUGAUGUUUAACAUUUUGUGUUGGAAUGUUCGGGGUCUCAACGACCCCUCUAAGCGCCGUUGUGUCAAGUCUGUUGUCUCCAGUCGUGUUCGUUCUGUCAUCUGUCUCCAAGAAUCUAAAGUGGAUAGUGUGUCUCGCUCUUUUCUUCGCUCUUGCUGCGGAUCUGCUUUUGAUAGAAGCCACUUUAUUCCUGCAUCUGGGGCUUCUGGUGGGCUCAUCACUUGUUGGAGCUCCAAAUUCUUCUCUUGUAGCGAGGUUAUCGUGAGAAAGCACUCUCUCACUCUCCAUCUAUCUUGUCUCAAGAGUAAAAAGCAUUUCUUCCUCACGAACGUCUACGGGCCAUCUACCUGGGACGGCAAGGAUGAAUUCUGUCUCGAGCUUCUCUCUUUACGCGGGGUUUGCACUUCCAACUGGGUGAUCUGCGGAGAUUUUAACUUUACCAAAAAUCAAUCUGAACGAAAGGGAAACCUCUGGAGCUCUAAGGCGAUGGCUAUGUUCUCUGAUCUGAUUUCCAACUUAGCGGUCAUAGAUCUCCCUCUGUCCAACCAAAGCUUCACUUGGUCGAACAUGCAACGCAGACCCACACUGGCAAAACUAGACAGGUUCCUCGUUUCAACUGAAUGGGACCAAUCUUUUCCUCACAGCAAGGUCAAAGCCCUCCCUAGGAUCACUUCCGAUCACGCACCGAUCAUCUUAUCCACCGAAGCGCAACUCAUACCCAGACGAUUCCGAUUCGAAAGGGUUUGGCUCACUAAAGAAGAUUUCCACUCGAAGGUGCCAAUCUGGUGGAAUGAAAUUGCUGACAAGAAUUCGGGUAUCCUCACAAUUACUGCCAAACUCAGACACUGACGAACCAGAAUUAAAGAAUGGUGUAAGACGAGUUUCUAUAGCAUAUCGCUCUCGAAGAAGAUUUUAGAGGACGAACUGCAUGACAUUGAUCUCUUAGAAGAACAACACGACCUCCCCCAAGAUCUAAUAGACAAGCGAGCCAAUCUCAAACGUCAUCUACUCUCUAUCUUGGGGGAGGAAGAAAUCCUUUGGAAAACUAGGGCCAAACAACAAUGGCUAAAGGAAGGCGACUCCAACACUAAAUUUUUUCAUGCAGUGGCUAACGGGCGAAAACGCUCCAACUCGAUUGAUGUGAUUGAAGACAACUACGGGAGAGAAAUCACCAACGAAGCUACCAAACGGUCAUUCUUCCUGCAAGCUUUUAAACAACGGUUUGGACAAGCAGACGACAGAGCGAUAUCUUAUGGGGAUUGGAGUAACCUUUACCUCUCUAAUAGACUGCACAAUGCUGACUCCCUUACGUCCCCCUUCACAAUCGAGGAAAUCAAAACCGCCACCUUCCAACUUGGAAGCGACAAGGCCCCGGGACCAGACGGCUUCCCCCUCUCCUUCUUCCAAACUUUCUGGGAGACUGUCAAAACGGAUAUUUUAAAAGUUUUCACUGACUUGCAAGAUAAUAAUCUCUUCACCGGCCCCUCAGACUACUCACUUCUUUGCCUAAUCCCGAAGAAAGAAGGAGCACGCAAGGCCAACGACUUUCGUCCAAUUAGCCUUAUCAAUAGCAUUCAAAAAAUCAUUUCCAAAGUCCUGGCUAACAGACUAGCCCCCACCCUGUCAUCUAUUAUCUCACCAACUCAAUCGGCUUUUCUCAAAGACCGGUUGCUGAUGGACUCGUUCGUAACAGCAAGUGAACUAAUUAACUGGUGUUCGAAGACUGGAAAGGAAUGUGUAUGCAUUAAAGCGGACUUUGAAAAGGCCUUUGACAACGUACGCUGGGACUUCCUGAAAAGCAUUUUGCACUGGCUUGGUUUCAACGACAAAUGGUGGGCAUGGGUUGAGCAGUGCAUCUGCAACGCCAAAGUAGCCAUUUUAGUCAACGACACCCCGACUGAUUGGUUUAAGAUGAGAAAGGGUCUUAGACAGGGCGACCCCCUCUCGCCCUACCUCUUUAUUUUGGUGGCUGACUGCUUAGCUAGAUUGACUGAUACUGCAAGGAAUAACAACCUUCUCCGUGGUAUUGGACCGUCCACUGAUUGUCAAACUACGCUGAUUCAAUACGCGGACGACACAAUUUUCUUCUCCGAGCCUAGAAAACACUUAAUGCGAAACCUACAGUUUAUUUGGUAUAUCUUCGAGUGGGCUUCAGGUCUGAAAAUCAACAUGGACAAAUCAGACCUGUAUUAUCUGGGCCCUAACCCCCAAAGAGCCAACAGACUUGCUAACAUCCUUGGAUGUAAAGUUGGGAAACUCCCGUUCCGCUACCUCGGUCUACCGCUUUAUAAUAAACACCUACGAACGGAAGAUUGGGCUCCGGUCAUUGAUCGCAUAUCAGCAAGAAUCGAGGGGUGGAAAGCCAAACUCCUAUCCUAUGGGGGUAGACUCACGCUCGUCAACUCGGUUCUCACUAACUUGCCGCUAUUUUAUUUCUCCAUCUACAAAGCGCCGCAAUGGGUUUUACACAGGAUCGAAUCACUUAGAAGAUCUUUCUUCUGGAAAGGCUGCGCUAGCAUCUCUGGAGGAGCCUGUCUUGUCAGUUGGAAGUCCAUCUGUAAAAGUAAGAAAGAAGGUGGGUUAGGGAUCAAAGAUUUGGAGGGAAUGAAUCUGGCGCUGCUAUCUAAAUGGUGGUGGCGCUUCUUCAACGAACCACAAUUACUGUGGCCCAAAUUGAUUUCAUGCCUCUAUUAUGUCAGAAGAAGACCUUUACAUGAGGGAAGAAGUUUUGUACCCCACUCGCAGUGGUGGAAAGGUGUUCUGCAAUGCCGCGACGCCUUCAAAUGCGGUUUAUCUUUUGAGCUUGGCGAUGGUCGGAACAUCAGGUUGUGGUCCGAUAUUUGGAUUGGUGAAACAUCUUUGAGCACCUUGUUUCCAGACAUCUACGCUCAAAUCGCGAACAAGAAAGCUCGGAUAUCUCAAUGCUGGAACCAUAAUGGAUGGAGAUGGCGUUUUAUCACUAGAGGCUUCGCGGCGCCCCGAUUGGCCCACAGUGGUAGACAGCUGCAAUUACUCAAAGACACACUUACAAGCAGACACCCGUGCAGCAGAGAAGACUCGUUUCGAUGGCGAUGGACCACCAAUCACCUGUUUUCGGUUAAAUCCCACUACCAGUUCAUCACAGAUGGGGGAUGUAGAGAUCGGUGGAAUCAACAUAUCUGGACCUUGAAGAUUCCAACCAAAAUUAGGAUCUUCAUCUGGACGUUGCUUCGAAAGAGACUUCUCACUUCCGACAGGCUGCUCACCAGAGGCAUGUCCGUAAAUCCGCUUUGUGUGCUAUGCGGGGUUCUCCCAGAAAGCUCUGAUCAUCUUUUCGCUAACUGCAUCUUUGUUCGCUUCCUUCUACUCUCUACUGGGGACCUCGAUGCACUUCUUGACACCACAGGAGCAGUGUGCAAUCUUUGGGCAAAAGUAUCGGAAACUACAAACGACGUGUUGAAACUUAAAGGCUUAACUCAUCUGGCGGCAACCUGGUGGGUCGUUUGGUCAGAUAGAAACUCGGCCAUCUUUCGGGACGCACCCCCAAACGCAGUCCACUCGGCGGGACGUAUCAACAGUUUGAUUCGAGACUGGAGUAUACUAACCUAACCUAACUCUUGUACUAGCUUACUUUGUUUCUUUUCUUCUUUUUUCUUUAUCUCUGUUUUCUCCUUUUGCCGUUUUCGGAGGCCGUCGUUGCUUCCACCCUGUACGCUUAAUUCAUCCCACUUUAUGAAUGAAGCAGGUAGCUCGCUACCUUUUUCUCAAAAAAAACAAUUGCAGAAAUUAACCUUUAGCAAGAGAUAAGUUUACCUCUCUAAUCAUGUUUUCUGCAUCAGAGAUAAUUGUUAAAGCUUCCAUAUUAUUUUAUAUAUAUAUAUAUAAAAUAAUAAAAAUUUAGAAAAAAUAUUUUUCAACUAUAUGCAAGCAAAAAAAUUUCUUAUGGCUAUAGCAUUUUCUACUGCAUCAAAUCAAAUAAGAUGCGUAUAGUUAUAAUUGCUGUAUUUGAACUGUAUGCAUCGAUCUUUAGUUAUACUGCAUCUCAUUCAACCAAACAAAAAAAACACUUAAGUUGCAAGUUAUACUAUUUGAUUCCAAUAUAAAUAUAAUGGUAGGAAAUAAAUUAAAGAAAUAACAAUAGAGAUCCGUUGGGAUUUAAUCUCCUACUCUAACAAUGUGAUCAAUUAAUCGUAUAAAGUAAUAAUUUAUAUCUAAGAACUUAUACUGCUAUAUUCAACAUGGAUAUGCACUAGUGAUUUGAGAAAUAUGGUUACCUCAUAACUAAGGGCUCGAGAAAGAGAUAGAGGAACUACCUGGGCCCUUGUUUCACUUGGAAGAGCUUGGGUGGCUUAAAUAGGAGAAACUAAAACUAUUUUUUUUUUUUGAUUAAACAGGGAUGAACCCUAUUUUACAGAGGGAGGAUCAGAAGAGAACAAGGUGCAUCCUAGAAACUAAAACUAUUAGGAUCAUGAUACCCUGGAAUAUUCCAUUUUUCCCUAGUUCUCACCUCCACCCAAAAAAUACAAAAGGUAAUUAAUGAGAAACAAGAAGAGCUAGCUUAAUUAAUGAGACAAACGUCCACUUGCAGUAUAGUUUAAGGUUUCAAAUUAUUUUAUUUUAUCCUCCAAGUUGCAUGGUGGAAAAAAUUUUUAAUGAUAAAUGCCGGAGACUAAGACGACUAGUCACGAAAUUAAUGCUUACUUUAAAUUGGCAUAGAAAAUGCAUGUGUUAAAUUCUUGAAUAGAAAAAGAACAUUGGGACAGCAUCCAAUGUUCUAUAAUGUGAAAUAAUAAUUAGUGUUCUGUAAUUAAAGAGCUAAUAAUGUCACAGGCCCAAGUGCUACUAGAAUCAUAUUCCAAGGUGUAAUUAGGUUCUUAAUCUCUUUUGCUUGAAAACUUAAUUGAAGUAAUUAGAAGGUUAGGUACUCAAUUGAAAAUCCGAAAAAAUAUCAAAUACAUAUCUAGUUGCAAUAAGUGAAAUCAUAUUUAAUGUCGAAUAAUGUGAAAAGAAUAUUUUUCUCUAAAAAGCGUAAGUUACUAAUUAAGAACGACUCACCGGGAAAAUAUUAGAGAUCAAUCUCCUACGUAAUUUACCUUCGUGUUUAAUCUCUCUCGAGGGAAUUCAUAUACUUGUGCAUAAAAUCCUGCAAAUCCACUAUUCUAUGCGUAGCCUUAUCAUACUGAUGUUGGAAUAAUGUCCUCUUUUGGUCCUCUUUAUUUAAUCUGGUUAUAGGUCUUCUUUAUUUAAUCUGCUUAUAUAUAACCGGAGAAAGCAAAAGCGUCCAUGAAUGAUAACAUGUGCUAAUCAGCAGUCUUAUCCACAAAGGUCUAAGUGGGUAGCAGUAGUGGAAAGUCAUCUUUGGGCACUAAGGCCUCGAAAAUCAAUGCAGAGACAAAUUUAUCCAGCUAGUAAAACGCUCUAAUAGUUCAACAGAGAAUGAAAAAAUAAUUUUAAUUAUAAUAUAUGAGACUUAUAUGUUAGUAACAGUAAUUAGAUUUAAAUAUUUUGGACCGGUAGUUAUAUGAGCCCAACGAGUUAUUGUUGCUAACAGUUCGGAUCGUUUUGAACUCAUAUGAGCUAUUUCUAUAAUCUCACAUUAAUCUAAUAUUGCCUGAUAAUUCUAUUCUAUUUUAUAUCUAUUUUAUUCUAUUUCGAAUCGAUGGUUUGAGCCGAAUAAAGUAUUAUCGCUAGCGGUUCGGAUCGUUGUAUAUCUAUCCUUUUUAUUUUUUGGCAUAGACUGAUUAAUUGGUUCUUCCACUGGGUAGCUCCUAGUACUGCCGGCUUCCGAAAUUGAGUCGGAUGCGCGGCUGCAUGCGACUGGUGGAACUGAAACCACCUCUCCUGCCGUUACUUAAUUCCCUCUACCAACUCCGCACCUCUCUUGCCCUUACUUCCCUCUACCAACUCCGCCCUCCAAUGGACGGAUACAUAUUAUAUACUUGACCAUAUCCGAACGCUUCUUCGGUGAGCGUGCGUGCGCAAAGAGUCCGCGCGCGUGCAUGUGCCACCGCCCCCAUAAAAAUACUACCACUUGGUGUGAGAAUCUAUGGAAAUACUCGCCCGGUGUGUAGUAGUAUAUGUAUUUCGUACACACUACCUCUAAAAUUAAAAUCUUCUCAUGAAAUCCUCACAUCUAUUGAAAAGUGAUGUGGUAGUAUAUCUUGAUAUAUUUAUUCCAAUUAGCAUAUUUAGCAAUUACUAUUUUACGUUGAUGUUCCCAGCUAAAUUUUGGAUGAUGCCGAAUACGGUUCACUAUAUGAUAUUCACGUGCGUAAAAAUUAAAACGCUCGUACAAAUGUUUAUCUUCGUAUUUCAAGCGUGUUGCUUUAUUGAACCUGGCCACUAUGUCACGCCAAGAAUCAUUUUCAAAGUCUAGACUUUCUGUCCCUCCAUUUUGAAUUUUCUCUACCAACAAACCAAGCAAUAUUUUAUCAUGCUCUUUUUCUCAGAUUGCUAAAGGCCGAUCUAUUAUUAUAAUUCUUUUUCUUUUUCAAAUUAUAUUUGGCCUCUCUCUUCUGUAAAUGCAAGUGAAUCAAAAGCCAUAUAAUUUAAGAAUUUAAUUUACUACCCAAGAAAUAAAGACAAUUCUGAACUUAAGGCCAAAAAUAUAUAUAUAUCAAGGAGAAUAAACAAAGGCAUGGGUAAAGAUAGUACAGUAGCAACGAUAAUAAACGAACGAGAUAUAUAUAUAUAAANUUUAAAAUUUUUCUUAUAUGAAAUGCCAAAUUAUAAAAGGAAAGAUAGAGAGAGAAAAAGAAAACAAAGAAAAAAUAAAAAUUUUGAAAAUAUAGUAGAUGUAAAAUGACUAAAUUGUCUAUGUAUUAAAAGACAAAAAUAUUCUUUUUUGAGGUACCUGGUAACCGGUACCUCGUCCAAAGUGACUUGCUAUUGCAGGUCACAAUUUUAAAAAAACUAAAUCUAAGCCGUUAAAUACGCGUGAAUGAACGGUAACCAAAAAAAAAAAGUAUAGAAGCAUUACUCAUGUGUUAAAUUCUUGAAUAGAAAAAGAACUACACUGGGACAGCAUCCAAUGUUAAGUAAUGUGAAAUAAUUAAAAAAAAUUUUUAAUUAAAGAGCCAAAGCUGUCGCAGGCCCAAUGCUAUUAGGAUCAUACCCUCGAAUAUUCCAAGGCGUAAUUAGGUUCCUUAAUCUCUUUUGCUUGAAAACUUAAUUGAAGUAAUAAUUAGAAGUUUAGGGACUCAAUUAAAACUCCGAUGAAAACAAAUCAAAUAUCUAGUUGCAAACAAGUGAAACCAUAUUUAAUGUCGAAUAAUAUGAAAAAAAUAUUUUUCUCCAAAAGCGCAAGUUACUAAGAACGAUGUUACUCGUGAAAGGUCAAAUAUCCAAUUGCGAGCCAAUUGCAAUAAUUAGAUGGCUAGCGACGCACCGGAAAAAUAUUAGAGAUCUCCUACGUAAUUUACCUUCAUGUUUAAUCUCCCUCCAGGGAAUUCAUAUACCUGUGCAUAAAAUCCUGCAAAUCAACUAUUCUAUGCGUAGCCUUAUCAUACUGCUGUUGGAAUAAUUAAUGACCACUUUUGGUCUUCUUUAUUUAAUCUGCUUAUUCCAUGAAUGAUAACAUCUCCUAGUCAGCGGUCUUAUCCACAAAGGUCUCAGGGUGUAGCAGUGGAAAGUCAUCUUUGGGCACUAAGGUCUCAAUAAUCAAUGCAGAGACAAAUUUAUCCAGUACAAUGCUCGAAUAGUUUAACACGAAUGAAAAAAAUAAUUUUAAUUAUAAUAAAUGAGACCUACCUAUUAGUAAUAAUAAUUAGACUUAAACAUUUUGCACCGAUAGUUUGGGCCCAAUGAAUUAUUAUUACUAACGGUUCGGAUCAUUUUGAAUCCGUAUGAGUCACCUCUAGAAUCUCAUAUAAAUCUAACGUCAUCUGAUAAUUCUAUUCUAUUUUGUAUCUAUUUUAUUUUGUUUCGAACCAAUAAUUUGAGCCGAAUAAAGUAUUAUUGGUAACGAUUCGGAUCGUUGUAUGUCCAUUCUCCCACUGGGUAUCUCCUGCUGCUGGCUUCCCAAAUUGAGUGGGAUGCGCGGCUGCAUGUGCAACUGAAACCAUGCACCUCUCCUGCCCUUACUUCCCUAUGCCAAAUCCGCCGUCCAUUCGACGGAUAUAUUUGGCCAUAUCCGAACGCUUCUUCGGUGAGCGCGCUCCCGUACGAGUUCGGCACCGCCCCCAUAAAAAAACUACCAUUUGGUGUGAGAAUCUUUGGAAAUACUCGCCGGGUGUAUAGUACAGUAUAUGUAUUUCGAACACCCUACCUAAUUCAUAAAUUUUGAUAUCAAAUAAUCAUGAAUUGAGAUUGGCAAAUUAUAUCUUCAAUAGUUAUAACAUCAAGUUCACAUUCACAUACACAAACAUCAAGUAGGAAAAUUGAAAUAUUAACACGUUAUAUUAUUGUAGAAGAUAACUAUUGCAAGGAGAAGGGACAUUCAAACCUGCCUCACAGUGGUGAAAAAAAUAGUGAGUCAAGUAUUACAAUCCACAACAACUAAGAGAGAGAGAGAGAGAGAGAGAGAGAGAGAGAGAGAGAGAGAGAGAUACGGUACAGAAAAAAUAGUGAGAAGAGGGAGUAUAUUAGAGAGGAUGUAGUGAAAAAGAAGAAGCAGAAUAGUCAUGAUGUUUCAAUAAUUUCACAUUGGAUUAAAAAAAAAAUUGCAUACAAAUCUCACAUUAUGUGUAAUUUAAUAAUUGCUCCGACAAGAACGUAGUUUAGGGGACCGGGAGGUCCCUGCCCUCCUCCUCCAUCACCCUUAUCUCUCUCUCCUGCCCAUCCCCACUGUUCCCCCCAUUUUUUUAACUUCCAGUCCACAGUCUUAUCUCUCUCCUACCCAUCCCCACGGUUUCCCCCUUUUUUUUAACUUUCAGCCCACAGUAUGUUAGGAUAAACUCAUAUUCAACUUUUGUAAAUAUAGAUGUCAAAAUUUAGCAUCUAAUAUAUAUAUAUAUAUAUAUAUAUAUAUAUGAGUAAUACUUCAAUACAUCAUAUAGAUGUUGACCAUUUAGUUUUCUUAAUAGAUGGUUUAGAUUUAAUGUGAUUCUAGAGGUGACUUGCUAUUGAAGUAUAGGUACCAUUCACAAGGUACCUAUUUAAAGAGUAUUUUAGUCUUUGUAAAAUAAUUUGGUCUACAAAACCAGUUUUAUUUAACUAAAAAUAUUGUGACCCUCUUAAAUACCUACAACAAUAGUUGAAUUUCAAAUUACAACAAAACUGUAAAUUUAAAUUCAAAACAACAUUUUAAACUUUAUAAAUUAAAUUUAAUUUUUUUAAAUAUAAAACACAGAUUUAAAAUAAAAAUUUUAGUUCCAAUUCAAAAUUUCAAUUUAAAUCAAAAAUUAAAAUUUGGCUUCAAGAUUAAAAGUUCAAUUUAGAUUCAAAUUUAAAAGUUUAGUAUAAAUUUCAAAAUUAAAAUUUUACAUUACAAUACCAAUUUCAAAAAUUAAAUUUAAAUUCAAUAUUUUUUUGAGCUGAAUACUUAACAAAUUAGGUAUCAUCUAAUUUGGUAAGUUAUCAAAAUAAAUAAAAUAUUUAAUAUUUAAAGAAUGCUGACAAAUUUAGUAUAUAGUAAUUUUUUUUUCUAAUAUUGUCAUGUUAACUAAUUCAAAUCGGUAACCUGUUCAACAGGUUACUUCACGUAAAUCCCAACUACACCCUUUACUAAUUAAGAGAUUAAAUUUUAAUAUUUAUGGUGUAUAGAAGCAUUCCUUUAUAUGAGCUAGGCUGGUAUACUAUCGGUAGCACGGAGGCCUCCGUGCUACCAAGUUGUUUUCAAUGAUGCGGCUUCCAAAUUGACGAUCGGCUUCGUUAGACUUGAUAUACACUAUUGAAAGCAUUUGGAAACUAAAUUUUGUAAUUUUUCGAUAUCAUUUGGCUAGUGAUCAAAAGUCUCAAAAUUUAUAAUUUUAAUGGUAAAUUUGAUGCGUUUGUGAAUUCAAUGGUGUAAAACAAUCCAAAUUUGAUGAAAUUUUUAUAGAAAAUUCUUUUCAGUAUUUAGAAUAAGAUCAGUAUCUUUAAUUUUAAAUUCAAGUCUUUUAUAAUCAUUUUUUAUGAGAUUUUCAUUUUCAGCCGUUUAUUUUUAGACUACUCGUUUGAUUGGUAAAUGACGCCGAAAAAUUAUGAAAUUUAGUUUUCAAAUACUUUCAAUAGUGUAGAUUAAGUCUAACGGAACCGAUCGUCGAUUUAUAAGCCGCAUCAUUGAAAACAACUGGGUAGCACGGAGACAUCCGUACUACCGAUAGUAUACCUGCCUAGCUCUAUAUAUAUAUAUAUAUAUAGAUGGUAGCUAAUAACAUAAUCAUAAAAGGACCAUCGGAUAAAAUCAACCAAAUAGUAUAUUCUAAGAUGAUGCACAGUUGAAUCCAUGAGAAUUGACACUCGAUAUAAUUGAAAUAAUUCCCAUGUACGUUUACUUUGUGUGCAUAAUAGUCGAGUAACACAUUAUUCUUGUCAAAUAAUUGUUUGCUUUAUUACAAUGCAUAUGAAGAGUUUGUAGAUGACAAUGAACAAAAUAUAUAUAUGAAAAUAUAGUAUUGUUGUUCUCCUCCUAAAAGCUCUGCUUCGGGUUCUACCUGCGCGAAUGCCAAAAAAGUUUGAAUCGAUUCAAGCAUCAAAAAUGAUAGUAUUUGAUAAAUAAUAAUAAUAAUAAUAAUAAAAAUAAAAAAUACGGUUAGUAUACCUCGAUAUAUCGAUUCUAUUCAUCAUCUUUAGCAUUUACUACAAGACGUCGAUAAUCCCACCUAUGUAUUGGCUGUUGCUCCAUGUCAUUCACCAUUUCAUAUUCAGCCGUAAUCUUCGACUUCAUAAUUCGAUGUUGUUGUCUUGCUGAAUCUAGCCAAUAUGUUACGCAAAGCAUCCAUUUUAAAACCUUGUCCGGAGAGUCUCUCCCGCCAUCAUGCACAUGUUUUACCAUCAAAUCAAGCAGCGUUUUGGGGUAGUUCUUNAUUGCAUGCACAAUGAUCUCCAUCUCAUUGGCAAAGUCAAGUUCCACAAUGGAGUCCAGCAGCUCUACACAAUCCCUCUCCACCAGCUCUAUAUGGACACAUUGUGUUCUUCAGAUAAUCACAUUCAAUUUAGAACAUCUAAUGACUCAACUGUGAAAUUAUUGCAGAAGCAUGAAUUAUAAGCUUACACUACAAUCUAAUAGUAGAUGCUAAUACAACACAAAUUUAAACAGAUAAGAAGUUGCAAGUGAAAAAUACAGCAUAACAAUGUUUGUCUCAGUCACGAGACAAGAUUAUUGUGAAAUUGUUGAGAUCUCCUAGGUAGAGAAUGAAGAGAUUACAACACUGUUUUUAUUUCAAGAGAGUCACUCAUUGGAAAUCACGACAUUUUAUUUUUUUUUCUCGACAAACACAAUUUCAUAUAAAUUAAUAUGCGGUACUGCUCUCCUUCGAUAGGGCUUCGCACUGGGAUUUCCCUGUGAAAAAGGAGAAAGGUUUGAAUAAAUUGGAACUAAGUACUAAACACUUCGAAAAGCAAUGUGGUAGUAUAUAUACCUCAAUAUAUUUAUUCCAUUUAGCAUCUGUGGCAAUUACUACUUGACGUUGAUGAUCCCAGCUAAACUCUGGAUGAUGCUUGAUGUUGUGCACUAUUCCAUAUUCACGUUCAUAAUAACUGAAGCGAUCAUGUAAAUGUUUGUCUUCAUAUUUCAUGCCUGUUGCUUCAUUGAACUUGGCUACUACAUCACGCCAGGAAUUAUUUUUAAAGUCUAGUAUUUUUCUCCCUCUUGAUUGAAUUUGCUUUACCAAUAAAUCAAGCAGUACUUGAUCAUGCGCUUUUUCCCAUAUUGCUGAAGGCCGACCCGUUAUUUUAAUCUUUUUUCUUCCCAAAAUUUCUUUUGGCCACUGUCUCCUGUAAGUACAAACUAGUAAAUAAAAGGGAUACCACAAUGUAUAAUUUUAAGAAUUUUACUGCCCAUGAAAAAAAAAAACAUUCUAAUCCUAAGGGGAAAAAAAAAUUAUAACCAUUAUCACUGUAUAUCAUAUAACUAUUCAUAUAGCUUUAACUAAUAAUUUUUUUUUUUUUUUUUUUUUUUGACUUUUCAAAUUACGCACGUACCAUGAUAUAUUGACAAGGAUCAGACUAAAACGGAAUGAGCUAUUCCUAUUUUACUUUUGUGGUGUAAUUAAUCAUGACCGUUGAUUCAAGGAACUCACUUCAUUAAUUGGACUUGUAUUGGAAUCGCUUCAUUUAAUAAAAUCCACCCAAAACCAGAGAAAUCAAUUCAAAUCAUGGCCUAGUUAAGAUUCCAAAAAAAAAAAGAAAAAAAGAGAAAAAAAAUCAAUAAAAAAUGAAUUGUAAUUCAAGAAUUAAUAUAGAUACUCUACGUAGAAAAUUAACAGUGGGAAUUUACACAAAGCAACCUAUAUUCCCGCUAUUAACACAUCCAAUUAGAAAUGAAAGAAAAAAAAUUCAAAGGACUGAGAAAAAACAAGCUACUUACUCAUCACUGUCGCUACGGGCUCCCCCUUGUAUGCACUCAAGUUGAAGGAUGGACCCAUUCUGGAUUCCGUAGUGGGCCAAUGAUCUCUCUAUCUCCAUCAGUGGACUGCCAUUGAAAUCAAGAUCAAUAUCCCACAAUCCCGACUGUAGCACCUCAUGAGGAACAAGAGUGAUUAACACAUCCUCGAUGGUGUGGGAUUUUUCCACCUCAAGCACAAAAUUUCCGUAAUUUUCUGACCGCACAAAGAUUUUCAUUUCACCACCGCCGUUGGGUCUCCUGGAAGGGCCGGGGAUUGCAUUUCCCGUCUUGGCUAUUACUUUAGAACUAGCAAAGUUGCACAUGUAAUGGACGUUAGCUUAUUUAAUUGUGGUAUGUAAAUUCAAAUUUAAUAUUUAAUUUGAUAUAUUUGAAUCUAAUCGUUAAUUGCAGUUGAAACUGCAUGAAGAAACCCAACUGUACGUAAUAGUUGAAAGUAUCUCCAAAUUGGCUAUCGUACCAACUGUACCAAUUGUAACAAUUGCAGAUAUUAACCUUUCGCAAGAGGUAAGUUUACCAGAUCUCUAAUCAGUUUUUUAACAGAAAAAUAUUUUUGUUUUCUACAUCUGAGAUAAUUUUACCACUAUAUAAUAAUAAUAAUAAUAAUAAUAAUAAUAAUAAUAAUUUAGAAAAAUAUUUUUCAACUAUAUGCAAGCAAAUAAAUUAUUUAUAACUAUAGCAUUUUCUACUGCAUUAAAUCAAAUACGAUGCGUAUAGUUAUAAUUGCUGCAUUUGAACUGCAUGCGUCCAUCUUUAGCUAUGCUGCAUCUCAUUCAACCAAACAAAAAACACAUUUAAAAGUUACAUGUCACCUUAUUUGAUUCCAAUAUGUAUGUGGUAGGAAACGAAAUGACACUAGAGAUCUGCUAGGAUUCGAUCUCCUAUUCUAACAAUGUGAUUAAUAGUAUAAAGUAAUAAUUUAUAUCUAAGAACUUAAACUGCUAUAUUCAACAAGGAUAAGCACUAGUGAUUUGAGAAAAACAUCGUACCUCAUAACUAAGGAAGAAAGAGAGAGAGAGAGAAACUACUUGGACCUUGUUUCAACUUUGGAAGAUUGGGUGGCUUAAAUAGAAGAAACUAAAACUUUUACCUGUAUAUAUAAAACCUUCCCUAGUUUCCAUUUUACCCCAGUUCUCACCCCCACCCAAAAAAUUCAGAAGGUAACUAAGAGACAAGCGUCAAUUUGCAGUCAAGUUGAAGGUUUCAAAUUUUUUUAUCCUCCAACGACGUGGUGGAAAAUUUUUAAUGAUAUAUGGCGUACGUAGACUAUUGACGACUAGUCACGAAAUUAAUGCAUACUUUAUUUAAAUUGGCGUAGAAAAUGUGUUAAAUUCUUGACUAGAAAAAGAACUACACUGGGACAGCAUCCAAUGUUAAGUAAUGUGAAAUAAUUAAAAAAAAUUUUUAAUUAAAGAGCCAAAGCUGUCGCAGGCCCAAUGCUAUUAGGAUCAUACCCUCGAAUAUUCCAAGGCGUAAUUAGGUUCCUUAAUCUCUUUUGCUUGAAAACUUAAUUGAAGUAAUAAUUAGAAGUUUAGGGACUCAAUUAAAACUCCGAUGAAAACAAAUCAAAUAUCUAGUUGCAAACAAGUGAAACCAUAUUUAAUGUCGAAUAAUGUGAAAAAAAUAUUUUUCUCCAAAAGCGCAAGUUACUAAGAACGAUGUUACUCGUGAAAGGUCAAAUAUCCAAUUGCGAGCCAAUUGCAAUAAUUAGAUGGCUAGCGACGCACCGGAAAAAUAUUAGAGAUCUCCUACGUAAUUUACCUUCAUGUUUAAUCUCCCUCCAGGGAAUUCAUAUACCUGUGCAUAAAAUCCUGCAAAUCAACUAUUCUAUGCGUAGCCUUAUCAUACUGCUGUUGGAAUAAUUAAUGACCACUUUUGGUCUUCUUUAUUUAAUCUGCUUAUUCCAUGAAUGAUAACAUCUCCUAGUCAGCGGUCUUAUCCACAAAGGUCUCAGGGUGUAGCAGUGGAAAGUCAUCUUUGGGCACUAAGGUCUCAAUAAUCAAUGCAGAGACAAAUUUAUCCAGUACAAUGCUCGAAUAGUUUAACACGAAUGAAAAAAAUAAUUUUAAUUAUAAUAAAUGAGACCUACCUAUUAGUAAUAAUAAUUAGACUUAAACAUUUUGCACCGAUAGUUUGGGCCCAAUGAAUUAUUAUUACUAACGGUUCGGAUCAUUUUGAAUCCGUAUGAGUCACCUCUAGAAUCUCAUAUAAAUCUAACGUCAUCUGAUAAUUCUAUUCUAUUUUGUAUCUAUUUUAUUUUGUUUCGAACCGAUAAUUUGAGCCGAAUAAAGUAUUAUUGGUAACGAUUCGGAUCGUUGUGUGUCCAUUCUCCCACUGGGUAUCUCCUGCUGCUGGCUUCCCAAAUUGAGUGGGAUGCGCGGCUGCAUGUGCAACUGAAACCAUGCACCUCUCCUGCCCUUACUUCCCUAUGCCAAAUCCGCCGUCCAUUCGACGGAUAUAUUUGGCCAUAUCCGAACGCUUCUUCGGUGAGCGCGCUCCCGUACGAGUUCGGCACCGCCCCCAUAAAAAAACUACCAUUUGGUGUGAGAAUCUUUGGAAAUACUCGCCGGGUGUAUAGUACAGUAUAUGUAUUUCGAACACCCUACCUAAUUCAUAAAUUUUGAUAUCAAAUAAUCAUGAAUUGAGAUUGGCAAAUUAUAUCUUCAAUAGUUAUAACAUCAAGUUCACAUUCACAUACACAAACAUCAAGUAGGAAAAUUGAAAUAUUAACACGUUAUAUUAUUGUAGAAGAUAACUAUUGCAAGGAGAAGGGACAUUCAAACCUGCCUCACAGUGGUGAAAAAAAUAGUGAGUCAAGUAUUACAAUCCACAACAACUAAGAGAGAGAGAGAGAGAGAGAGAGAGAGAGAGAGAGAGAGAGAGAGAGAUACGGUACAGAAAAAAUAGUGAGAAGAGGGAGUAUAUUAGAGAGGAUGUAGUGAAAAAGAAGAAGCAGAAUAGUCAUGAUGUUUCAAUAAUUUCACAUUGGAUUAAAAAAAAAAUUGCAUACAAAUCUCACAUUAUGUGUAAUUUAAUAAUUGCUCCGACAAGAACGUAGUUUAGGGGACCGGGAGGUCCCUGCCCUCCUCCUCCAUCACCCUUAUCUCUCUCUCCUGCCCAUCCCCACUGUUCCCCCCAUUUUUUUAACUUCCAGUCCACAGUCUUAUCUCUCUCCUACCCAUCCCCACGGUUUCCCCCUUUUUUUUAACUUUCAGCCCACAGUAUGUUAGGAUAAACUCAUAUUCAACUUUUGUAAAUAUAGAUGUCAAAAUUUAGCAUCUAAUAUAUAUAUAUGUAUAUAUAUAUGAGUAAUACUUCAAUACAUCAUAUAGAUGUUGACCAUUUAGUUUUCUUAAUAGAUGGUUUAGAUUUAAUGUGAUUCUAGAGGUGACUUGCUAUUGAAGUAUAGGUACCAUUCACAAGGUACCUAUUUAAAGAGUAUUUUAGUCUUUGUAAAAUAAUUUGGUCUACAAAACCAGUUUUAUUUAACUAAAAAUAUUGUGACCCUCUUAAAUACCUACAACAAUAGUUGAAUUUCAAAUUACAACAAAACUGUAAAUUUAAAUUCAAAACAACAUUUUAAACUUUAUAAAUUAAAUUUAAUUUUUUUAAAUAUAAAACACAGAUUUAAAAUAAAAAUUUUAGUUCCAAUUCAAAAUUUCAAUUUAAAUCAAAAAUUAAAAUUUGGCUUCAAGAUUAAAAGUUCAAUUUAGAUUCAAAUUUAAAAGUUUAGUAUAAAUUUCAAAAUUAAAAUUUUACAUUACAAUACCAAUUUCAAAAAUUAAAUUUAAAUUCAAUAUUUUUUUGAGCUGAAUACUUAACAAAUUAGGUAUCAUCUAAUUUGGUAAGUUAUCAAAAUAAAUAAGAUAUUUAAUAUUUAAAGAAUGCUGACAAAUUUAGUAUAUACUAUUUUUUUUUUCUAAUAUUGUCAUAUUAACUAAUUCAAAUCGGUAACCUGUUCAACUGGUUACUUCAUGUAAAUCCCAACUACACCCUUUACUAAUUAAGAGAUUAAAUUUUAAUAUUUAUGGUGUAUAGAAGCAUUCCUUUAUACACUACAAGAAGUUUAACUUUUAGCAAAAUUUAACUAGUAACAUUUCACUAAGUGACAAAAAUUAUAAUAUUUAGCAAUAUUUAUUUAUUAGUGUUGCUAAAUGUACUUAUUUACCAAUAUUUAGGUGUAAAUGUUGCUAUAUAUAAAUAACACCAACACUAAGAAUUAAAUGUUACAAUGUUUAGCAACACUUUUUUUGAUAAAUGACAAUUAGUUUUUCAAAUUUUGAAAAGCCCUUCAAAAUUUUAAAAUUUCAUCUUUCCCUCCUUUAGUGAUAUUUUUUUCCAUCUCUCUUUCAUUUCUUUGUCUCUUCACUUUAAACUCUCAAGAGAUUUUUUUACUCUCAUGGUUUCUUCUUUUAUUCCUUCAUUCCACAAAGUCUUUCUCACCAAUUUUUUUAUUUUGUAAGAUUGGAGGAAAAAACAUUGGAUCGGACUAUCAAUUUUGUUUCCAGAGAUAAGUAAGUAUCCCUUUCUUGUAAGGUAAAACAAUUUCAUAUUAAUUCCAAAUCAAAAUCAUAGAUUUGAAAUUUUCUUUUCUUUUUUUCUUAACUAAUAAAGUUUAUUAUGACUAGAAUAGGAUUACUCUUCAACCUUUUGGUUCGUCGUUACAUUAAUUUAUUGUAUUAUGUGGUAUGAUAUAUAUGAGGUUUUUGUUUCUUAACUUUCAUCAACCUUUUUUUUUAUAUUUUUUACUUUUAGAUAUUAAAUUUGUUCUUAUUACAUUACUAUCAUUUUAAUUUAAUUUUUUUAUUUUUUUAGAAAAUAUCAUUUAUUUUGAAAAUGUUCGAACAAAUAUAUGAUCUUUUAUAAUUUGAUAAGGGCAAUAUAUUUUAUCUUUUAGUAGUUCAUAGUAUCCUAUAUUUUAUGAUAAAUUUCUUAAAUCUUUUCAUUUUACAUGUUAAGCAAUUAAAUAGAGGCUACAAGAUUGUUUCAUUCAAGCAUUUUGGAGACUUCUACAACAAAUAAGGAUGACUAAUUUUUUAUUUUAUCGUGAUCGAAUUUGUAAUUAUGAGGAAACUCAUUUAGUUUUGUAUCAAAUGUGUUAUUUGAUUUGUAAUAUAUUACAAGUUUUGAUUGUCAUAUGAUAUACAUGAGAUUUUUAGUGUUUAUGGUUGUUGUCCAUUUUGACUAUCAAUGGAGUAAACAACUUGUGAGUACUAUAGAACUAUAGAAUUUCUUAUUAUAGUUAUAAUUAUUUUUUAAAAUAUAUUAGAUUAUUACCGAUUAAUCAUAAAUUUUUUAAAUAAUAAUUAUUUAAUGUUAAUAUAAUAUAUAUUUUUACCAAUAAUUCAAAAUGCUAUUAUACGUAAUUGUUUAGUAAUAUUUGAUUAUUAUUAACUAUGAUUAUAAUAAUUAAUCAAAAAUUAAUAAUAUUUUAAUUUAAUUAAUAUCAAAAUUUAUAAUUAAUAAAAUAUUUUUAUUUAAUUCAAAAAAUAAUAGCUAAAUUAAUACAAGAAUUAAUUAAACAAUAUGCACCACCAUUUAAAAGUUGCCCCAUUAAAUUUUUUUUUUUUUAGCAACUUUUGUUAACUGUUGCUAAUUCUUGAGCAUUAGCAACACUCUCUCCAAAUGUUGCUAAAAGAUUAAACAUCACGGGCAUAGACAACACUAAAAGUUAAGUGUUGCUAAAAGAUUUAGUUACAUUUCUUAUUCAUUUAGCAACAUCUAUAAAUGUCACUAAAUCUAAACUUUCUUGUAGUGAUAUGAGCUAGGCUGGUAUACUAUCGGUAGCACGGAGGCCUCCGUGCUACCAAGUUGUUUUCAAUGAUGCGGCUUCCAAAUUGACGAUCGGCUUCAUUAGACUUGAUAUACACUAUUGAAAGCAUUUGGAAACUAAAUUUUGUAAUUUUUCGAUAUCAUUUGGCUAGUGAUCAAAAGUCUCAAAAUUUAUAAUUUUAAUGGUAAAUUUGAUGCGUUUGUGAAUUCAAUGGUGUAAAACAAUCCAAAUUUGAUGAAAUUUUUAUAGAAAAUUCUUUUCAGUAUUUAGAAUAAGAUCAGUAUCUUUAAUUUUAAAUUCAAGUCUUUUAUAAUCAUUUUUUAUGAGAUUUUUAUUUUCAGCCGUUCAUUUUUAGACUACUUGCUUAAUAGGUAAAUGAUACCGAAAAAUUAUAAAAUUUAGUUUUCAAAUACUUUCAAUAGUGUACAAUUCAAGAUCUACAGAGCCUGAUCGCCGAUUUGGAAGCCGCAUCAUUGAAAACAACUUGGUAGCACGGAGACCUCCGUGCUACGAUAGUAUACCAGCCUAACUCUAUAUUAUAUAUAAUAUAUAUAUAUAUCGUAUAUUAUUUAAAUUAAAAUAUUUAAUUAAAUAUGUUUUCCUUUUUUCAGAAAAUAUUAAUGUUAAUAUAAGUAAUAGAAAAAUAAAAUCUAAUUUAUAUUGAAUCUAAAUAUAUUUUCACCCUACCCACCAAAUAAAAAAAAAAAGCGGAAAACAAGUAUAGCGGCUAAUGAGUGAGCUAAUUAUAGGAACUCUAAGUUGCGGCGUGUUUUCGCGGUUUCAAUAAUUUUUUUAUCCUUCAACUCGGUGAAACGGAAUUUAAAGUGGUGCGCGACUGCGAUUGAUUAGUGCGUGCGCAAAUUAGGCAUACUUUAAGGUAUCGUUUGGUCAGGAUAAGCAAAAAGUGGCUAUUUCAGUGAUAGGUAUAAAUUGAGGUAUAUUGCGUUUGGAUGAAAAUUGGGUUAUUUCUGGUGAAUAAAAAAAUAGCGUUUUGUUAGGUAAGAUGGAAUAAGAAGAUAGUUGGUUUUUAUAAAUAAAAAUAAUGAUAUUAUCUUUAUUUAUAUUUGAAUUUAAUUUUUAAAUUUUUAAUUUUAAAUUUCAACUUUGAAAUUUUAAAAAUUAAAAUUUAAAAUCUCUAUUUUAAAUUCAAAAUUUUAAAUUUUAAAUUUCAAACUUUAAAUUUAAGAUCAAAUUUCAAUUUAAAAAUAUAAUAAUAUCAAAUUUUUAAUUCAAAUUUUUAAAUAUCAAAAAUUAAUUUAAAAUUUAUAAUUAUAUUUAUUUAAUUAUUAACUUUAUUUGAGAGAUUAUAAAUAUAUAUUUUAAAAUUUAAAUUUCAAAAUUUAAAUUUUAAAAUUUUAAAUAAGAAUAGGAGUGGAACAUUAAUAAAAAUAUUAUUAUAAUAAAUUAUAAUUUUUUUAAAAUUCUACUUAAACUUAAAUUUAAUAAAAAUAAUUUAUUAUAAUAUUCAAAUAUAAUUUAUUAUAAAUUUUAUUAUAAUAUUUAAAUAUAAAUAAUAUUUAUUAAUAUAGUACAAUUAAUAAUUGUAUAAUAAAAAUAAUGUAUUAUAAUAUAUAAGAUAUUAUAUUUAUAUAAUUUAGUUUUAAUUCAAUUUAUAAUUUUAAUUAAGUUUGAAAUUAAGCAUUGGAAUAGCAUUAUUCCACCAAAAUGGUGGAAUAGUAAAUCUCUUGUUAUUCCGGGAUAAUCGGGAAUAGCAAGGUUUGACCGGGAUAAAAUAUUCCGGCCAAAUUUCACCCCGUUUGGCGGAAUUGUGGGGAUAACUUUCGUUAUCCCCGCUUAUCCCCCGAACCAAACCGGGCCUAAGAGUUAAUUGCGUUAGAGUUACUUUAACUUUUGUGAUUUAAAAUUUUAUUUUAAUUAGAGGAGGCGCCGGAUACUCAAUAGUGUUACCAUAAUUAUAAAAAACUCCUUGACUGUACCUUCUGCCAGCCGAGGGUCCGGAUCCUCAAGCAAGGUCCGGACCCCCAACCUCAAUUUCGCGAUGUGCCCAGGCAUGAUCCGGACCCUCUCGCAAGGUCCGAACUCCUCAAAUUAAUUUCAGAAUUUUCACAGACAGGGUCCAAACCAUGCGUCAAGAUCCGGACCUUAAUGUUUGAGCUCAUAGAGAAAGAUCAAGAUCCAGGUCCUUAAGUCUAGAUUUGGAUACCGAGAGUACAAUAGCUCAGAAACACUUUUUCUAAAAAUUUUCAUUCCUUGGAUCUCCUAGUGACUUUAAAAAUCUUAGAUCAUACUUAAUAGUAUGAAUUAUUGAUUCAAAAGUUUUAUUAUUGAAAUAAGACUACAAUACAAAAAUUUUUGUGCUGUUAAUAGAACCCGAGCUAAACUUUAUGCUCGAAUCUUCAAAACUUUUGAGAGAAUUCACAUAUUCGAAAUCAGCUCAAAGAAGAAUUUUAAAAAUUCACCCAGUAAACGCAAGAAAUUAAUCAUUUUCUCAUAUGGACAAGCCUCUCUUCAAAUAAUAUCAACUAAAAAACAAACGAAUCCUUCAAAUAAUUAAGCCCCAUCAAAAUAAUUAACAAAUACUAAUUUAACCUGAAAACUUUAUAUAGAAUUUUUGAAGAGUGCCCCUAUAAUGGUGGGUACAAUAUUAUGUGAACUAUGGUAUGUACAAUAUAUUUAUAAUAUGAUUUGAUACAGCGACAUCCAUUUUGACAUAUAUAUAUAUAUAUAUAUAUAUAUAUAUAUAUAUAUAUAUAUAUAUAUAGAUAUAUAUAUANGUAUUUGGAAACUAAAUUUCAUAAUUUUUCGACAUCAUUUGGCUAGUGAUCAAAAGGUUCCAAAAUUAACAAUUUUAAUGGUAGAUAUGAUGCGUUUUUAAGUUCAACGGUGUAGAAGUAUCCAAAUUAGAUAAAAAUUUAAUAGAAAAUUCUACUUAACAUCAAUAGCAAGACCAAUACUUCCGAUUUGAAAUUUGAAUUCUUUAUUACUAUUUUUUAUGAGAUUUUCAUUUUCAGCCGUUUAUUUUUAGACUACUCGUUUGAUUGGUAAAUGACGCCGAAAAAUUAUGAAAUUUAGUUUUCAAAUACUUUCAAUAGUGUAGAUUAAGUCUAACGGAACCGAUCGUCGAUUUAUAAGCCGCAUCAUUGAAAACAACUGGGUAGCACGGAGACAUCCGUACUACCGAUAGUAUACCUGCCUAGCUCUAUAUAUAUAUAUAUAUAUAGAUGGUAGCUAAUAACAUAAUCAUAAAAGGACCAUCGGAUAAAAUCAACCAAAUAGUAUAUUCUAAGAUGAUGCACAGUUGAAUCCAUGAGAAUUGACACUCGAUAUAAUUGAAAUAAUUCUCAUGUACGUUUACUUUGUGUGCAUAAUAGUCGAGUAACACAUUAUUCUUGUCAAAUAAUUGUUUGCUUUAUUACAAUGCAUAUGAAGAGUUUGUAGAUGACAAUGAACAAAAUAUAUAUAUGAAAAUAUAGUAUUGUUGUUCUCCUCCAAAAAGCUCUGCUUCGGGUUCUACCUGCGCGAAUGCCAAAAAAGUUUGAAUCGAUUCAAGCAUCAAAAAUGAUAGUAUUUGAUAAAUAAUAAUAAUAAUAAUAAUAAAAAUAAAAAAUACGGUUAGUAUACCUCGAUAUAUCGAUUCUAUUCAUCAUCUUUAGCAUUUACUACAAGACGUCGAUAAUCCCACCUAUGUAUUGGCUGUUGCUCCAUGUCAUUCACCAUUUCAUAUUCAGUCGUAAUCUUCGACUUCAUAAUUCCAUGUUGUUGUCUUGCUGAAUCUAGCCAAUAUGUUACGCAAAGCAUCCAUUUUAAAACCUUGUCCGGAGAGUCUCUCCCGCCAUCAUGCACAUGUUUUACCAUCAAAUCAAGCAGCGUUUUGGGGUAGUUCUUCACCCAAAUUGCUAAAAGGUUGGUUUCCUCUUUCGAUAGUUCUCCUUUGUAGCACUAUUUUUUGUCAGCUCUCUAUUCGAUCUGCAGGUAAAUUAAAACAACAAUACCCUAGAAAUACUUUUAAAUUAAAAUGACAGAGAAUAAUGAUGAUUGAAAAUAGUAGAAAAUCGUAAUCAUAGAACAUAGUUGUGGACGACGUUUCGAUUGCAUGCACAAUGAUCUCCAUCUCACUGGCAAAGUCAAGUUCCACAACGGAGUCCGGCGGCUCUACACAAUCCAUCUCCACCAACUCUAUAUGGACACAUUGUGUUGUUCAAAUAAUCACAUUCAAUAUAGAAAAUCUAGUGACUUACGAAAUCAUUGAGGGAGCAUUAAUUAUAAGCUUACACUAAUGAUAGAUGCUAACACAAAUACAUAUUUAAAUAGAUGAGAAGUGGCAUGCGAAAGAUAUAGUGUAACAAUGUUUGCCUCGGUCAAGAGGCGAGAUUAUUGUGAGAAUGUUGAGAUCUCAUAGCUAGAGAACGAAGAGAUUACAACACUAUUUUUAUUUCAAGAGAGUCACUCAUUGGAAAUCACAGUAUUUUUUUUUUUCUCAAACACAAUUUCAUAUAAAUUAAUAUUUGGUACUUCUCUCCUUCGAUAGGGCUUCGCACUGGGAUUUCCCUGUGAAAAAGGAGAAAGGUUUGAAUAAAUUGGAACUAAGUACUAAACACUUCGAAAAGCAAUGUGGUAGCAUACCUUAAUAUAUUUAUUCCAUUUAGCAUCUGUGGCAAUUACUACUUGACGUUGAUGAUCCCAGCUAAACUCUGGAUGAUGCUUGAUGUUGCGCACUAUUCCAUAUUCACAUUCAUAAAAAUUGAAGCGAUCAUGCAAUUGUUUGUCUUCGUAUUUCUUGCCUGUUGCUUCAUUGAACUUGACUACAAUAUCAUGCCAGGAGUUAUUUUUAUAGUCUAGUAUUUUUCUCCCUUUUGAUUGAAUUUGCUUUACCAAUAAAUUAAGCAGUACUAGAUAAUGCGCUUUUUCUCAUAUUACUGAAGGCCGAUCCGUGAUUUUAAUCUUUUUUCUUUCCAAAAUUUCUUUUGGCCACUGUCUCCUGUAAGUACAAGCUACUAAAUAAAAGAGAUACCAAGAGAUACCAAGAUGUAUAAUUUUAAGAAUUUUACUGCCCAUGAAAAAAAAAAAAAACAUUCUAAUCCUAAGGGGAAAAAAUAUUAUAACCAUUAUCACUGUAUAUCNUUGAAGCGAUCAUGCAAUUGUUUGUCUUCGUAUUUCUUGCCUGUUGCUUCAUUGAACUUGACUACAAUAUCAUGCCGGGAGUUAUUUUUAUAGUCUAGUAUUUUUCUCCCUUUUGAUUGAAUUUGCUUUACCAAUAAAUUAAGCAGUACUAGAUAAUGCGCUUUUUCCCGUAUUGCUGAAGGCCGAUCCGUGAUUUUAAUCUUUUUUCUUUCCAAAAUUUCUUUUGGCCACUGUCUCCUGUAAGUACAAGCUACUAAAUAAAAGAGAUACCAAGAUGUAUAAUUUUAAGAAUUUUACUGCCCAUGAAAAAAAAAAAAACAUUCUAAUCCUAAGGGAAAAAAAUAUUAUAACCAUUAUCACUGUAUAUCAUAUAACUAUUCAUAUAGCUUUAACUAAUAAUUGCUCCUAGUUAAAGCUAUAUGAAUAGUUAUAUGAUAUACAGUGAUAAUGGUUAUAAUUUUUUUUUCCCCUUAGGAUUAUUUUUUUUUUUUUUUUGACUUUUCAAAUUACGCAUGUACCUUGUGAUCCAGUUGUGAAACUUGAUAUAUUGACAAGGAUCAGUCUAAAACGGAAUGAGCUAUUCCUAUUUUACUUUUGUGGUGUAAUCAUGACCAUUAAUUCAAGGAACUCACUUCAUUAACUGGACUUGUAUUGGAAUCACUUCAUUUAAUAAAAUCCACCCAAAACCCGAGAAUCAAUUCAAAUCAUGGCCUAGUUAAGAUUCCAAAAAAAAAAUUCAAUAAAAAAUGAAUUGUAAUUCAAGAAUUAAUAUAGAUACUCUACGUAGAAAAUUAAAAGUGGGAAUUUACACAAAGCAACCUAUAUAUAUUCUCGCUAUUAAACCAUCAAAUUAGAAAUGAAAGAAAAAAAUUCAAAGGACUGAGAAAAAACAAGCUACUUACUCAUCAUCGUCAGCACGGGCUCCCCCUUCUUCGCACUCAAGGUGAAGGAUGGACCCAUUCUGGAUUCCGUAGUGGGCCAAAGGUCUCUCAAUCUCCAGUAGUAGACGGCCAUUGAAAUAAGUAAAGGUUCCCAAUCUGACUGUAGCAGCUCAUGAGGAAGAAUAGUGAUUAACACAUCCUCGAUGGUGUGGGAUUUUUCCACCUCAAGCACAAAAUUUCCGUAAUUUUCUGACCGCACAAAGAUUUUCAUUACGCCGUCCCCGUUGGGUCUCCUGGAAGAGCUGGGGUUUGCAUUUCCUGCGGUCUUGGUUGUUUUUGUAGAACUAGCAAAGUUGCAAAUGUAAUGGACGUUACGUUAGCUUAUUUAAUUGUGGUAAUUGCCCUGCAAUCGUAACUGUAUGUAAAUUCAAAUUUAAUAUUUAAUUUAAUGCAUUUGAAUUUAAUCAUUAAUUGCAGUUGGAAUUGCAUGAAGAAGCCAAACUGUAGGUAAUAGUUGAAAGUAUCUCCAAAUUGGCUAUCGUACCAGCUGUACCAAUUGUAACAAUUGCAGAAAUUAACCUUUAGCAAGAGGUAAGUUUACCUCUCUAAUCACUGUUUUAAUAGAAAAAUAUUUUUGCUUUCUACGUCAGAGAUAAUUUUACCACUAUGUAUGUAAAAUAAUAAAAAUCUGGAAAAAUAUUUUUCAACUAUAUGCAAGGAAACAAAUUGUUUAUAGCUACAACAUUUUCUACUGCAUCAAAUCAAAUAAGAUGCUUAUAGCUAUAAUUGCUGUAUUUGAACUGCAUGCAUCGAUCUUUAGCUAUACUGUAUCUCAUUCAACCAAACAAAAAAAGCACUUUAAGUUACAUGUUAUACUAUUUGAUUCCAAUAUAUAUAGUGGUAGGAAACAAAAUGACAAUAGAGAUCCGUUGGGAUUCGAUCUCCUACUCUAACAAUGUGAUUAAUAGUAUAAAGUAAUAAUUUAUAUCUAAGAACUUAAACUGCUAUAUUCAACAAGGAUAAGCAGUGAUUUGAGAAAUAUGGUUACCUCAUAACUAAGGGAGGGAGCAGGGGCGGAGCCAUUGAGUGGCCCACAGUGGCCAUGACCCUCCCUAAAUUUUUAAAAAUUACAUAUAAGUCCUUUACAAUAAAAAUUAAAAUAUUAUAAAUUUUAAUUUUAGGGUGCCAAAUUAAUUUUUUUAAUAAAAUUUGUGUUUCAAUUUUUUUUUCAAAUUUUUUGGUCAUUUUUUUUUCAAUUUUUACAGUCUUGUUUCUCUUUAAGCAUAUUGUCAUUAUCAGUAAAUCUGACAAUUUUUUUUUUUAACUAUUCGAGGUCAAAUUUUUUUCUAUCAAAUCUAAAUCUUGGCCACCCCGAAUCUUAAUUUCUCACUUUGUUCCUGGGAGGAAGAGAUAGAGAAAAUACUAGGCCUUGUUUCACUUGGAGAAGCUUGGGUGGCUUAAAUAGAGAACUAAAACUAUUAGGAUCAGACCCUGGAAUAUUCAUUUUACCUAGUUGUCACUAGGGGUGGAAACGAGCCGAGCUUGAGCGAGCUUAUGUCAGCUCAAAUUCGGCUUGAAAUUAAUUCGAGCCUAAAUCUAGGCUCAAGCUAAGCUUGAAAUUAAUUCGAGCCCGAGCUCGAGCGAGCCUAAUUUCGAGUCGAGCCGAGCUCGAGUUCUAAACGAGCCGAUUGAAAUUCUCGACAUUAUAUAAUCAUAGUUUAAUUUUGAUAGAACAUUACCUACAAUUUGAUGUAACAUGUCCAAUAGUUCAAAAUACAAAAUAAUUGCAAGAAAUGUGAGCUAGGGUGACUGCCUGACUGGGUGAGGGUCUGAGAGAGAGAGAGAGAGAGAGGGGAAAAAAAUUAGGGAUUGAGAAUUGAAUGUUAUCAUGUUUUAGGGUUAUGUGCAACAGUAAAGUCGAAGAGAUAGUGGUUACGUAAAUUUAGAGUUUGGCUCAAUUCAUGGUUGUACUUGUUGGAUUUAUUUUAAUGGGCAAUAAUAAUGGCCCAAAUUAAAUUAAAGCCUAUAUAUAAUUAAAAUAUAAUAUAUAUAUAUAUAUUAUAUAUAUUAUUGAGCUUUUCGAGCUGUCGAGUCUAAUAUCGAUCGAGCCGAGUAAUACUCAAGCUCGGCUUGAAAUGAAUUUCGAGCAUUUUAUUUUGUUCAAGCUCGGCUCAUUUAAUUUCGAGUCGAGCUCGAGCGAGCCGAAUAUCGAGUUGAACACGAGUCGAACGCGAGCCGGCUCGCUCGUUUGCCAGCCCUAGUACUUCUCACCCCCACCAAAAAUAUACAGAGGGUAAUUAUUAAGAAACACGAAGAGCUAGCUAAUUAAUGAGACAAACGCGCGUCAACUUGCAGUAAAGUUUAAGAGGCUUCAAAUUUUUUUAUCCUCCAACUUGCAUGGUGGGAAAUUUUUAAUGAUAUAUGCCGUAGACUAUUGACGACUAGUCCCGAAAUUAACGCAUACUUUAAAUUGGCAUAGAAAAUGUGUUAAAUUCUUGAAUAGAAAGAGAACAUUGGGACUGCAUCCAAUGUUAAAUAAGGUGGAAUAAUUCAUUUUCUUUAAUUAAAGAGCUAAUGAUGUCACAGGCCCCAGUGCUAUUAGAAUCAUAUUCCAAGGUGUAAUUAGGUUCUUAAUCUCUUUUGCGUGAAAACUUAAUUGAAGUAAGUAGAAGGUUAGGUACUCAAUUGAAAAUCCGAUGAAAACAAAUCAAAUAUCUAGUUGCAAUAAGUGAAAUCGUAUUUAAUGUCGAAUAAUGUGAAAAAAUAUUUUCCUCUAAAAGCGUAAGUUACUAAGAACAAUGUUACUCGUGAAAGGUCAAAUAUCCAAUUGUGAACCAAUUGCAAUAAUUAGAUGGCGUUACUCGUGAAAGGUCAAAUAUCAAAUUGCGAACCAAUUGCAAUAAUUAGAUGGCUAGCUACGCACCGGAAAAAUAUUAGAGAUCUCCUAUGUAAUUUACCUUCAUGUUUAAUCUCUCUCCAGGGAAUUCAUAUACCUGUGCAUAAAAUCCUGCAAAUCCACUAUUCUAUGGGUAGCCUUAUCAUGUUGGAAUAAUCCACUAUUCAACUGCAUCGAGACGCGCAUAGAUGGAUGGAAGGCAAAACUCCUCUCACAAGGGGGGAGACUCAUCUUGGUCAACUCGAUACUUUCGAAUCUUCCGUUAUUUUACUUUGCAAUCUUCAAAGUACCGCAAUGGGUGCUGAAGAGAAUUGAAGCACUUAGAAGAUCCUUCUUUCGGAAAGGGUGUUUCAAAAUUUUGGGGGUUCAUGCCUCGUUGGUUGGAAAACGAUUUGUAGGAGCAAAAAAGAAGGAGGUCUAGGGAUAAAAGAUAUGGAAGCUAUGAAUAAGGCGCUUUUAGCAAAAUGGUGGUGGCAUUUCUUCAAUGAGAAUUGUCUGUUAUGGGGGAGGUUGAUCACUGCUUUAUAUUACACCAGAAGAAGGCCGUUACGCGAAGGCAGAUCCUUCAGAUCCUACUCUCAGUGGUGAAGAAGUAUGAUGAGCUGUUAAGACGUGUUCAAAAGCGGUGUUUCGUAUGUUCUCGACGAUGGGAAAAACAUCAGGUGGUGGUCGGAUAUUUGGAUCGAUGAAACCCCUCUUAGUCCCCGAUUUCCACGAAUCUUCAGCAGUAUCACAUAUCAGGAAGCCACGGCCGCACAAUGUUGGAACGAAAGAGGAUGGAGAUGGCGCGUCUUAACCAGAGGCUUUAAUACUCGUACCAAUGGUCAGAAUAGCCAACAGACGGCGUUGCUCAAAAACCUUUUCUCUCACUAUAGGCCAUCAGAUUCACAGGACAAACUAAGGUGGCGAUGGACCGCCAAUCAAAUUUUUACCGUCAAAUCAUUUUAUGAAUUCAUCACCGACGGAUGACAGAUUGAUACUUUGUACGAUCAACUAUGGGGGCUAAAAAUUCCGCUCAAACACAAACUUUUCAUUUGGUUUCUACUUCGUAAGAGAUUACCUACGGUAGACAGAUUGCUGCGCCGAGGGUGCAUUGUGGAUCAGCACUGCAGGUUCUAUAUGUUACUAGCCGAAACCGGUGACCACCUUUUCUGCGACUGUAUCGUUGUCAGAUUUCUUCGUUUGAAAGCAGGAGCCUUAGUUGAGGAGAAUUCGGAUGUAGGAGAUGUACGCCAGCUGUGGACACAGAUCUCGAACAUCCCCGAGGCCGUUACAAGAUCAAAAAUUUUAACCAAGUUGGCGGCAAUUUGGUGGGUUGUCUGGAUGGAGCGUAACGGCAUUUGCUUCCGCGACGUUCCCCUUAAUUUUUCCAGGGCUCUCGAAAGUGUCGCAAUUUUGAUCGAAGCCUGGAACGAAGCUCUUUGAAUCUCUCCCGGCCUCGGUGUUUUGCCCUCUGUGUCCCAUUUGUCUAUUUUAGUUUGAUCGUGUUGUUACGUACCUGACUCGGCGCAACCCGUCGAUGAUGAGAUUUCGCUGAGACGAAGGACGGCGUCGAGGAUGAUGAUGCACGUAACAGCUUGCCUCAGAUCUAGCGGAUCAUAAUUUGGGUACUCGGAUAAAGUAGAUGAGAAGAAUAGGAAGAAAGGGAAUAGAAGAGAUGAGAAGAGGUAGGGUCAAGAAGAGAGAUUAAGAGAAAUAAGAGAUGAUGAGAAAGAUGAAAUUUCAUUAAUUUCCUAACCUCAAUCUAUGUUACACGCUGCCUUUUAUUCGCUACAAUAAUGAAAAUAAAAUAAUGAAACCCUAACUCUAAGUGGGCUUCAAUCCUCCCUUCGCGGAUAUGAGUUACACCUCUGGGACUCCUCCGGAUGGCCUAGCGGAUCCAGACCUUCUCAUAACCGGAUUCACAGACUCUGAGGUUGCUUGUGGGCCUCUGCUGGGCUUGUUUGGGCCAAAACUGCAGGAUAGCGGGUAAACGGUUCACGGUUCCACUUAUCCGCACUAUCCACGACCGGCCGGGGCUUGGGUUCGCGUUUUGCCUCCGAUCCAUCAAUCUGCCCAUCCGACCCGCAAAGCUUCCAUCUUCCCCAAUCUUCGAUCAUCUCCUCCGCCUACUCCUUCCGACUUCCCACACUCCGAUGCCGCUCCUCCAUGGGCAUGGUUCCAGAAGGUUGAAGCUCACUAUCCUGUGGAUUGAAGCAAGGAAAAGCUAAGCCUCCUCUCCCUUGUACUCAUCCUACUAGACCUCCUCCCUAAUACUACUCCUAAUCCUCUUAUUGUGCUUGGCAGGCGUAACAAUCCCCCCCUCUUAACAUGAUCCUUGUCCUCAAGGAUCAAAAAAAGGAAACUGACUUUUAAGGAGCCAGUAAUCUUCCCAAGUUGCUUGUUCCGUCGGCAGAUUCGCCCACUUCACCCGCACUUCAGUUACAGUUCUGUGCCCAUGCUUCACCGAUCUCCUCUCCAAGAUCUCCUCAGGUUCCGCUCGCACUUCAUCCUCUUCCCCGAUUUCUGGAACCCUCGGUGACGCUUGAGCUGCUAUUGGGGGACUCUUCUUCAGAAGGGAAACAUGAAACACGGAGUGAAUCCUCGACCCUUCAGGUAAUUCCAAUCUAUAUGCGACAGGUCCGAUACGCUCCAGUAUCUUGAAAGGACCAAAAAAUCGCGCGGUAAGUUUCACAUUCCUCCUUAUGGCCACUGUGGUUUGCCGAUAAGGUUGUAAUUUAAGAUAAACCCAAUCUCCCACUGAAUAUUCUUUUUCUUUCCUGUGCUUAUCUGCUUGCUGCUUCAUCCUACUCUGAGCCACCUGUAAUCGAUCUCUUAAUUCCUUCGUCAAUCUUUCUCUCUCUGCUGCCCACCCUACGAAUUCCUGAGAGGUAGCUGUAUCUGUGGCGGCCACCAGGUAAUUCGGGGGAGAUUGCCCAUACAAAGCCUCAUAAGGGGUCAUUCCCAAUGCCGAGUGAAAGUUCGUAUUAUACCACCAUUCGGCUAACGCUAGCCACGCGUGCCAUUUCUUCGGAUGUUGGAAACACAGACAUCUCAAAUAAGUUUCCAAGCACCUGUUAACUCUCUCAGUUUGCCCGUCGGUUUCCGGAUGAUAAGAGGAACUCAUGUGUAGUUUGGUCCCCAGGGACUGGAACAGCUCCUUCCAAAACUGACUAACAAAUAUCUUAUCUCUAUCCGAAACGAUACUUUUCGGACACCCAUGAAGCUUGCAGAUUGUUCCCAUGAAAGCUUUAGCCACAUCUGCUGCGGAAAAAGGGUGUUUAAGUGAUAUGAAAUGUGCAUAUUUUGUAAGUCGGUCGACCACUACCAGGAUAGUAUCUCGUCCUUCUGAUUUGGGUAGAGAUUCGAUGAAAUCCAUGCUUAUAUCUUCCCAAAUUUUGUGAGGAAUAGGUAAAGGCUGCAAUAACCCAGUGUAUGGAGUGCCAUCCACCUUAUUUUGAGUGCACACAGUACAUCUUUUGACCCAAUCCUCCACGUCCCUUUUUAGUCCUGGCCAAAAGAAAUGUCGUUUGAUUCUUCUAUAGGUGUUUUGGAUACCUGAGUGACCCCCCAAAGCCGAGUCAUGCAUUUGACCUAGAAUGUUCUCCCUCAUUGGACCAAUGUUCCCGAUAUAUAAUCUCCCUUUAUAGCGCAGCAGUUCAUUGCCAUAAGAAUAAUGCCCUUGGGUGGUCGGAUGUAAAAUCAGCUCAUGUAUCAGUUUCUCACAAUGUUGGUCACCUUUGUAACUAUCCACGACCUCUCUGACCCACGCUGGAAUAGCCGCCGAUAUGGCCAACGUAACCCCCUCCUCUUCUCUCCGGGAUAACGCAUCAGCAACCACAUUCUCCUUACCUUUCUUAUAUUGAAUGAUAUAAUCUAACCCCAUCAGCUUAAGCAUGCCCUUCUGUUGCAUUGGCGUGGAAAUCCUUUGUUCCAAUAGAUGCUUCAAACUCUCGUGAUCCGUUUUAAUCACAAAAGUACCAGUGUUGAUGUAGUGUUUCCACUUUUGUACGGCCAUUAAUAUCGCUAGGAAUUCCUUUUCGUAUGUCGACAGCCCCAAAUGCUUAGUACCAAUGGCCUUGCUCAGAUACGCUAUGGGUCUUCCUUGUUGGGACAACACUGCCCCUAUUCCAGUCCCGCAAGCAUCAACUUCGAUAGUGAAAGGGUCUCCAAAUUUAGGCAUGGCGAGUACCGGAGCCUUCGUCAUGGCCCCCUUCAAUUCGUCGAAUGCUGUUUGAGCUUCUUCCUGCCACCCAAACUGAUCCUUCUUUAAUAACUCGGUCAAGGGUUUACUAAUCGUCCCAUACCCUUUAAUGAACUUCCUAUAAUACCCGGUGAGUCCGAGGAAUCCACGAAGUUCUUUGACUGAUUUUGGCACGGGCCAAUUGGUCAUCGCCUCGAUCUUUGAUGGGUCUGUCGCCACCCCAUCCUUGGAAAUGAUGUGACCUAAAUACUCCACCUUAUUUUGCCCAAAAUAGCAUUUACUCCGUUUAGCGUAGAAUUUAUUCUUCCGCAACUCCUCCAAGGUGGUACGCAGAUGUCUUACGUGAUCCUGUAAGCUUUCACUGUAAAUUAGAAUGUCAUCAAAAAAUACCAAUAUGAAUUUUCUAAGAUAAGGUUCAAAAGUAAAAUUCAUUAUGGCUUGGAAAGUGGCUGGGGCAUUUGUCAGACCGAACGGCAUGACUCGAAACUCAUAAUGCCCUUGAUGUGUGCGGAAAGCUGUUUUGGGAAUGUCAUCAGGACACAUCCUAAUCUGAUGGUAGCCCGAUCUGAGAUCUAUUUUAGAAAAAUACUUUGACCCUCCCAAUUCGUCUAGCAAAUCGUCGAUAAUAGGUAUUGGAAACUUGUCCUUCACCGUGCAUUUGUUAAGUUGCCGAUAAUCUAUACACAUUCUCCAGCUUCCAUCCUUUUUCUUGACCAAUAGGGCGGGAGAGGCGAAAGGACUAUUACUCCUCUGAAUUAUCUCAUGGCUUAAUAAUUCCUUUAUCUGCCUUUCAAUCUCCGCUUUCUGAUCGUACGAGUACCGAUAUGGUCUAACAUUAACUGGGGCCGUGUUGGGCUGUAGAGGGAUUUUAUGAUCCUGGACGCGGGGUGGUGGUAACUCUUUGGGCUCUUCAAACACAUCCUGGAACUCCUCUAGCACCUGUUGGAUCUCUGGGGCCAUGUUUAUUUCCUGUGCAAGUUCUUCUGAUACUGCUUGGUGCCUGAGAAGAUAACAUUCGCCUUUCUCUAUCUCCUGUCUCCAUUGGGCUGCAGAUAUUAAUCUUAGCUUAGCUCCUUCCUCCAUUCCUUUUAACUCUAGCUUCUGUCCAUCUUUAGUGAUUGCUACUGAGUUGGAUACGAAGUCGAAAGUCACCAAUCCAUAGGAUUUCAGCCAAUCAAUCCCAAGCACCAUGUUAGAUCCUUCGAUCAUAAUUACUCUCAAGUCGGUUCGAAAUGUGUGCCCUUGCAUAGUCCAAGUGAAACCUGGGCAUCUUAACUUACUCAAAACCUUGUGCCCGUUUGCUACGGUUACCGUCAAGGACGAAGCUGUUUCCAUUCGGGCUCCUAUAUCCUUGGCCACUUGUAGGUCGAUAAAACUAUGCGUGCUCCCCGUAUCUAUCAAGAUAGUAAGAGUUCGAUCGUUUGUGUUUCCGCAUAUCUUGAUGGUAUCUUGGGGUACUUCUCCACUUAAUGCAUGUACGGAAACCCCUAUCUCUUGCUGCUCUUCUCUGUCAGGUAUAAUUUCUGUCUCCUCUCCUUCUCUUCCGUUGACCGCCCUUUCGCUAUCCCCUGUUUGCAAAUACUCUUCAUCAUACACCUCCAAGAUGUUGUCAGUAGCUUGUAGGAUAUUCAGCGACUUGUUGGAACACACGUGUCCAGGAUGAUAUUUAUCCCCGCACCGGAAGCAUAACCCCGCAGCUCGGCGCUGCUCUAUUAACUGCUUGUUGAUCGGGUAUUGAUUUGCCGUGGUUUUGUUCUGACUCUGGUUCGAUUGCUUGUUCCCUUCCGAACUCCUAUACAGCGAGGUUGAUUGAUAGGUCCCCGCAGAUGUUCUGGGAACAUAUCUAUUCUUUCGAUUAAUCACAUUGAGAGCCCUUUCAUGUAACUGUGCUUGUUCGUAUGCUUCUUCCAGCGUGUUCGGGUGAGCGAUGUCGAGGAAGGGAAUUAAUUCUUCCUUGAGUCCAUUAAUGUAGCACGCAAUAAAAUAUUCUUCUGUUAAGUGGGGAUUGUAAUGAAGUAAUUGGAAUCUUAACUCUUCGAACCUUUCUUGAUAUUUCUCGCAUGUUCCCGUGUGUUUCAAGUUGCUGAAUUCUCGGAUCAGGUAUCUCUUCCCCCACUGCGCAAACCUUCGGCACACCGCUUCGGUAAAUUCAUCCCAAGACACUGUUUGUUUAUUAACAAAAUAACCUUGCUUCCAUGUUCUUGCCUUGCCUGUCAGGUGCAUCGUUGCUACACUCAACCAUUGAUGUUGAGGUAUUUGAUACAAUUCGAAAUAUUGCUCGCAAUUUUCGAUCCAAUUUCUGGGAUCCUCUCCGUCAAAAUACGGAAAAUCCAAUCGAGGGUACGGUAAGUGCUGAUGUUGAUUAAAAGUUCGAUGGCCCCACGGUGAGGCAUGCUCUUCCUCGGUAUCAUUCGUUCUAAACGGAGUGGGUAGAAUACCUUUACCUUUUUCUUCUCUGAUCAAUAACGGUGUGUUGCUACUUCCAGGCCGGAAUUUGCGGUCAGAAAAGGGCGCUUCGGCUUGAGUCUUGAGGGUCGGGGAUUGAGUGGUCAUAAGCUUCAGCAGCUCCUCAUGCCUCCUGUUUGCCUCGGUUUGUAGUAACUCAAACUGUUUUUGCCCUGUGUCCCUUACUUCGGUUAUUCGUUGGGUAAGUGCUUCUAUGUUGGCUUGAUGUUCCGUUCCCAACUGCUGGUACUUCUCUUCUAGUGAAUGGAUGUGAUCACUAAUAUCUCUUAGUCGGGUCCCUUCGGCCAUAUCUAUAUCCUCCAAAUACUCCUUUGGAUUGAAUUUAAACUUGUUGCCUCGCUUACCCCCAAUCUUGUCGUGUUGGUAGGGCUAGUUAUGGGGGUUUCUAUGAACGGAAGGAUCGUAACCCGGUAGUUGUAUGGUGAAUUCCUUUGUCCAACUCUGAUCCCAGUACAGAAUCGGCAGCGCGGAAUUCUUAUACGCGAUUAAACUCAACGAUGCUGAGAUCGGAGUUCGGGAGCGAUUUUACCACACAGGGCCCGGGGAUCGGAAGUUCUCUGAUACCAAUUGUUACGUACCUGACUCGGCGCAACCCGUCGAUGAUGAGAUUUCGCUGAGACGANUGGUGUGCACCGGGUCAACGAACAACCUCCCAGGAACCAAUGAAGCAUAAAUCUCAACUGCGUUUGCACACACGAAGUCGAGCCUUUAAGCACCCACUCGAUUAAGUUGUCAAAAGAAAUAAAAUGAAAAAACAAGAAUAAAAUUAUUGUGAAUGGAGAUUUAAACUCUUCAACUGUUUCCGUGUACUUCUGCAACCAACGCUAUGCACUUAUAUAGGCCACGAACAGGUGAUUCAUAAAGUGACUAUUCAGGAAAGGGUGUUUCGUGAAGUGACUAGUCAUGAAUAGGUGUUUUAUGAAGUGACAUUUUAAUUAUGACUUUUCAUUUGAUCAUAACUACCAAAUAGUUAUAUAAACCAAGUUCAAUGAACAUAAUCAUAAUCAUUGAUUUCAAUGGAUAUUUGUACGAAGAGACACACUAUAAAAAUGUGUCUUUUUAUGUCAUAUUCUUUCACUAAAAGUCAUAUUCGUUAAUUAGAGUUGCAUUUAUUCACUCAGGCUUGUAUCCAUUCACUAAAAAUUGCAUCCUUUCACUAAAAAUCGCAUCCAUUUACUAAAAAUCAAUAAAUAAAAUUUAUUACUUUAAAAUUUUCCUUACAACCAGUGUGAAGCAACUAGAGGCGUCCAUCGUAGAGCGUGAGAAAAAAAACUGAAAUUGUUGAAGCCAGGUAAUUAGCACUCGUCGAGGCACGCCGAUCUCAUCCCACAGCCUCCCUAAACAUCGUAUACCACACAGCACAGCACAGCACAGCACAGCAGCCGAACAGGAUCAGCUCUUUGGCCCUCGAAAAUUAUUCUGUUUCUUUCCAACCACAGGACCCACCAACCGGCAGCAAAAAUGGAGAACCCCUUCUUCUUUGUUGCGCCCUCCUUCGCUCUAAACAGUUCCCGGAACUCGCCGCCAGCUCCAAUCACAGGACCCAUCAGAUCAAAUAUUACAGUUGCAUGCGUACCCAACUAAAAAUUUCUAAUUAUAUAUAUCAAACUUAAAUUCAAAUUUGGAUCUAUAAUUUAAAUUUGAAUAUCGGUGCCAAUAUCUUUUUCUUUUUCUUUUUCUUUUUUUUUUUUGUCAAUCCUUCUGAAAUCAAGGAUUGUUUCCAUGUCCACUGUUGUAAAUUAUCCGAAGGAAAAUUAAUUUUCUUUGAAAUGAAAUCCUCUCAAAUCAAAUAAAGAUAAUAGAAAUCAGUUAUUCUAAUUCUAGAUUAGAUGAGCAUAAAUCUUACAUAUUUUCCAAUCCAGAGAUCAACAAUUUCACACUGGUAUAAUCACUUGAGCGUACAAGCAGAGCAUCCCCUGAGGCAAACUAAUUCCUAGGAUGGUAGUAAGGGAAGACGGUGUAGAAGGUCUGCAGGAAGGUGAAAACAAGAACGAAAACUGCUGCGAUCAAGGAAAGGAUGGCCCACGGGUUGCCGAAAUAGUCCCUGACCAGCUUCGCCCUCCACUUGGGCCAAUCGGAAUCGCAGUACUUCCUCACGUCCCGGAACAACCCGGCGAGGUAGUGCUUCUCGAAAUCCAUGGCGGCGCAGUCGGAGAGCUGGUUGAAGAACACCGCCAGCUCCUUGUCGCUCGCCAGCUUGUUCUCCAGGAUCCCGCUCUGGUGGAGUAUCGCGACGUCUGCCGGCGUGUCGAUGAUGCAGUCCAUGAACGUCGCGUAGCUCGUCAUGUACGCCUCCUCCGGCUUGCACCCGCCGCACUGCUCGAAUGCCACGAGGUUCGUGAACCGCGAUAACGUCGAGUUCUCCACCGAGAGGAAUGGGAUCUCGAGCACGCCGUCGUGAAAUGCGACGUCCAGGAACGAACCGGGAUGAUGCUGAUCACUCUCGUUCCUUUUCCUCUUCUCGCCCUUCCUCUUAAACGUCACUCCGGCCUCCUCGAGCUCGGUCGCGGACGGGAUCGUAUUCGGCGAUCGUUUCUUAUCCGCCGGCGCCUGCGAUCGGGAAAUCUUUAUUCGGAGAUAAGAGAGGAGGGAGGCGAAGAUCUUAGUCGGGUUUAACCAUUUGAGAAUAGUACCGCAGAUGGUACUGCCCCUCGGGUCAGUUUGUGGUUUCGGGAUGUAGCAGCGGUAGUAGAGAUGCAACAGGUGGUGGAAAUCUUUGGCUUCGCCGUGCACCGAAACGGCGGCGGAGACGCGACUGGCGAGCAUCUCUUCCUCGGGCCUCUCGACGUUUCUGCUCGCGAGGUAGUUCACGAGAAGCUCCAUCAGGGAGGGUAUCUCCUCGUCGUCCAUGGUGAACGUGACGAGCUCGAACAGCUUCUCGAGCACGAAGAGGGGGAUCUGGUUCUCGAGCAGGAGCAGGUCGCCGCGCACGAGCGGCAAGCUCCAUCCGGCGGUGCAGACGCUGUCGUCGUCCCCCUGGCUCCACUUGAUGAUGAACUCGAGGACGAAGCACCCGUCGAGGAGCAGCAUCUCCACGAACGCAUCGGCGCUGAGGUCGACGGGCUCGAAGUAGCACCGCCGCGCCCGAGGCUCCAGCACCCUGAUCUCGGCUAUGUAGUGAUCGAUGCAGUUGUAGGGGUUGCGGGAGAGGAAGUCCUGCAGGUAGCGCCACUUGUGCUGCUCCAUGGCGCGGAGGACGGGGCCGUCGCCGCGGCCGUAGGGGCCGACGGAGACCAUCCGGGGCUCGUAGAGGUGCGUGUUGCGCUGCCGGACGUGCGCCGGAACGCGGAAGAUGGUGAAGCUCUCCGGCGCCAUCGGGUUGCGGUGUAAGGCGUUGAUGUUCGACCUGACGGAGCUCAGCACGGCAUCCUCGAUGUCUACGGCGACCGCCUCUCCCUGAUCCUGUGCCAUCGCCGGCCGGCAGCUAUCCUGUGCAGUCAACGAUCGUCCUCGGUAUGUAACCUCCCUCCCUACAUUACCUGUUCCAGAUCCAGUCGGCCGGCACAAAGGGCAAUAAAUUAAGUCCUUCUAAAAAGAGUUGUUUUUCUUUCCCCUAAAAAGCUUGUAGGGGAAAUCGCACGAAAUUUAUUUGAACUGUUCCUUUUUAAAAUGUUACUAAUAUACUAUCUAAUUUUUAGUUUAUUUAAUUAUAAUUAAUUGAUAUUUUUUUAAACAUAUAGGUUAAACUAUAUUUGUGAGGCGUCACAGUGCUAUAGAGUAUGGAGUCGAUAAUAUUCUGCAAAAUUUACUGCUUUUUUAGGUAGGCAAAGCUUAUUCCUUUUCCUGUCUUUCCGGACGUUUCCCCAUCUCUCCUCAACUUCACUCGGCCUUCGGCCCACUACGCACCGCUCGGAUGCCAAGUAUAGAUUAAUUAUUUAUUAUAAUAAAUUUAUUAUUAGAAAAAUUAUAUAAAAUAUAUUAAAUAAAUUUAUAUACAUACAUAAUAUAUUUAAAUUUGAAAGUUAAAAUAUCGUUUGCUGACUCAAAUCAAAUAAAAUAAAAAAUUGUGUGACAAAAUCAAACUCUUGAAAAGAUUGAUUAACUAAAUUAAAAUAGUUCAUAGACUAGAUAAGUUUUUAUAUUAAUUUUUUAAGUAAAGUAUACGAAACUUAUCUGAACUAUAGAUUGUUUUGAGUUGGUUUACUCAACCUUUUAAAAUUUUAAUUUUACUAUCUAAUAUUUCAAUUUGUUUGAUUUUGAUUCAGCUAACAGUAUUUUGAUUUCAAAAUUUGAAUGUAUUAUUUAUUUUUAUAGGUUUAGUUAGUAUACUUUAUAUAAUUCGCACAAUUAUAAAUUUAUUAAAUUAAAUAGUUAGCUUAAAUUUUGAAGUCAAAAAAUCGUUGAUUGGCUCAAAUUAAGGAAAUUAAAAGAUUAGAUAGUAAAAUUUAAAAUUUAAAAAUUUAGAUAUUUGAUUUAAAAUAAUUUAUAAUUUAGAUAAAUUUUGUAUGCUUUUAUCUUUUUUUUUUAUACAUUUUUUUCAACCAAAAUGAAAGCAAGUAAAUGCCUAGAGUGUCAUUGUCCAUUGAUUGUGAGAAGUGGGCCUUAGAGAUGUGGGUUGGGUGAAUUUGAGCUGUCAACAAGUCCUUUUGAAUGUGGUCGAUAUUCAGAAUACUUAAAAUGAGUUGGAUUCUUUUUGCGGAUUUCAAGUUCUCCACCUGUUCGAGUCUUAAAUGAUUCAGUUCUAAUGAGAGAGGAGACAUCUUUUUCUUUACUAUCGGUGGUUUCAUGACCAUUGAUUCAAAGAAACUCGUGUUAACAGAUUUGAAUUGAAUCUUUCCAUUUGGAAUGAAUGAGAUUAUAUCGGAUUCACUUCUUUUAUUUUUUCCAAGAGGAAAUGGGUUUAGCCCCCAUUGGAUUCAUUUCACCAAAAGAGAAGUUAUAAGAAACAUAUACCACUAGAAUUCCAAUCUCAAGUUAUCGGAUUCAUAAAUAAAAUCCACACAAAUAUGGUGAAAUCAAUCCUAAUCAUGAAGGUUCUAAAAAAAGAAAUCAAUGAUAAUUGAAUUGGAAUUAAUAAAUUGAAGGUACUCUAUGUAGAAAGUGUAAAUUAACACAGAGCAACCUAUAUUCCAGCUACAGAAACAUCAAAUUUAAAUACAAAAAAAAUGAAGGACCAAGAAAGGGGUAGCUACGUAGACUAUAAUUUAUCAGUUUGUGCACUCAAGGUGAAGUAUGGACCCAUCUAUAAAAAAUUGUGUGAAAGAGAAUAGCUUUUUACAUAAGGCCAUGUUUGGUUCGACGUAAAAGUGGACCGAAAAAAAUUUUUCUCCGAAAAACAACUUUGUAGCGUGUUUGGUUGGAAGUAAAAAAUUUUUCUGGAAAAACUUAUUUUACAUAUGUUAGGAAAAACUUACUUUUCGUUUUCCGCAUAAGAGCCGCGGAAAACGAAAAGGCAGCGGCUAGCAAAACAGCAGUAGCCACAGAUACGAUUCUCAAUCAAAAAGGGCAAAAUGUAAUAUGUGUUUAUGAGCUAUCGAUCAAAAAGGCAAUUUCUGUGGGUUCAUGGUAGUGGUAUUUCUAGGACGAGGGGCCUGAAGUACAUAUUGUCUUUGCGUGAACGGCGGAUUAUGCUACAUUACAAAUACCUCGCCCUUUAUACGGGAGCAAGCUGUUGGCUGAAUAUUUUAUGUUACGGUCCCAAUGGUUGUGGACUGAGGUAGGUUGAAAAAAGAAUUUGUUUACAGCCUUGGGCAGACGAGUUCAGCAAAAUAUGAUCAUGCAUACCUUUUAGGUUUUAAUUAUAUAAUGAAGGGGGCGGGGGUGGGUAGCUACGAGUCAAUGCCUAGUCAAGUUUAUGGUCUUCUAGAAGUUGACUUAGCUACCGUCUCAAUUUUUGUUCUAGGAUUCUUCUUUUUUGUGGGGAAUUUUUUGGCAUGGGGAAGGGCACCGCGCAGCCUGCUGCAGGUUUUGAAAAAGAAUUGUCGAUUAUUUUGGAACACUUCAGGGGGUCAUUAGGAGGCAAAACAAUUGGCGGUCACGAGGCCAUUUGGCUCGUGGAACGGGUGGCGAGAUCGAGGGUCCACCGGGUUCAUGUGGACCUCCUUCAUUAUAUAUAUAUAGUAUAUAUAGUAUAUUAUUAUAUUAUAUAUACUAUAUAUAUAUAUAUUAUAGUAUUUUAUUAUAAAAUAUCUAUUUAUUAUAUAUAAUAAUGUAUUUUAUAAUUAAUAAUAGUAUGUAUAUAUAUGGAUUGUAUAAACUUGAAUUUAUUUUAAUAUUCUUAAAUAUAUAAUGGCCAUUUUGCAUAAAAUCCACGUUUUCUGGGCUUUUGGCAAAUAUCGGGCCACUUUUUAUUUUUGCAGAUUCCGGUCGCUAUUUAGACAAACUGACAAAAUUACGUUAUUACUUGUUUCUCUUUCUUUCUCUCUCUUUCUUGUUUCUCUCGUUCUUUUUUUCUACGGGGUAGAUGGAGCGGAAGUGGAGGCAGAAAUGGUGCGUCGGUUGACUCUGUGACCUUUCUGCUAGUGCCCUCGCCCGUUGCCCUCGUCCAUGCAACGACCCAUUUUCCCUCGACGGGUUAGGCCGCGCGCGUGAUUUUUUUUUUUUUGCUUUUUUCUUUCUUUUCCUCGACUCUUGUCCCAUGUGCUUCGACGACGACGCUCUCGUUUCCCGCCCUUUUCUCUCUCCUGCUAGCCUCUUUUCUGCGCCCUCGACGACGAUUUAUUUCGCAAGGCGGCCGGACGUCUGACACGUAGAGGUUAUUGCGGGCUACAGCUCGGAGCGGCGUCGAUUAGGGUGUCGGUCACCGGCUGACGAUAGCUCGUGGCAGGAGAAUGGGUGACAAAAAAUUUAUAGAAAAAAAAACAGAAAAAAAAAUAAAGAUAAAGAAAUUAUAGUAAAAGAAGGAUGAAGAUUGAAAUUACAUCGUUUAAUUAUUAAAAAAAUUAAAGCUUGCACUAUUUAAGAUGUAAGCUGCUGCUUUAAUGAUAUAAAAAUUUACUUUUGAAUGAAAAUUAGCUAUUUUUUAUUUAAACUGUAUCCUUGUUAAGUGUAUUUAUAAUAUUAUUUUUUGUUGCACUGUUUUUCUGGUUGUUACUUAUUGGUCCUUGUUUCACAGAAUGUUGCAACAAGAAGGGAAAGACAGGGCAACAGAGGAGAAGACAAGUAUAAAUAUCUUCUAAAAAGGGUACAGGUUUCCUCUUAUUGAUAGUGUUUCUUUUUCUUGUUACUUUUGCUAUUUGUUUACAGAAAUGGUGAAAGAGAGGAAACAGUGACAACAGAGAUAGAAACAGUAGUAUGAUCUCUUAAACAGUACGAGUUUUUUAUUUGAUAUUUUCCUUAUUUAACGAAAUGUGCAAAAGAGGAAAGAUAUAUAUCUCUCUAAACAGUGCCGUUUUUUCUUCUUUUGCAUUGUUUUCCUCUUGUUUUGCAUAUUUCUUUAUGUAACAGAGAAUGGUGCUAAUAAGAGGAGAACAGUAUAAAGUAUCUCUUAAAAGGUGUGCCAGUUUAAGAGAAAAAAUAGAAUUGUAACAGAGAAGAAAUGUGAACGAGAGGAGAAACGUGCAACUUUUUUUAAAGAGUGUAACUUAUUUAAUGGUAUGCAGUUUAUAUAUGAAAGGUGUAAAUAAGAAGAGAAACAAUGUAAAUAUUUCAAAGAGUGUAAUUUGUUUAGGGGUAUAGUUUUCAUUUAUAAGCAGUGCAGUUUACAGUCUUAAAGUGCCAGUUUAAUCGUUAAAUAGGUACAAGCUUAUAAAUUUUUUUGCAGUUAACGAUACAAUUUGAAUGUUAUCUUUCUUUUUAUAUAAUUUUUAUAUCUUUAUUUUUUUUAAGCAGUUUGUUUUUUCAGAUUUUUGUUGUCACCAUAUCUCUGGCAAAGACGGUGGUACGACACGCUAACAGGACCCUCUGCUCCUGAGCUGUAGCGCGCACAGGGGACUCCACGGUAUGAGGGUGGUCACGUCGCUGCGGCGAAGAUUGCAUCGUUAGUCGGGGCCACGGAGAGAAUGAGGAGAGGGAAACGAGAAGGGCGGGGAAAGACGAGGCAAGUGACGAGAGAGGCAUCGUGUCGACGAGAUGGUGGACGAAGAGUCUGCGAAAAGAAAAGAAAGAAAAAAGCAAAAAAAAUUAAAGUUGGUGGCGCGGCGCUUGCGGGGGUUGAGGCCGUAGGAAGGUGAGGGUGCUUGCUGUGGGCACGAGGGCAAAGGGCGGAAGGGGCGAUGGCGAGUAAGAGAAUGAUGGAGUGAGAGCGAGAGGUACUGUUUUCGGCUCCGCUUGCCGGCAGAGAAAGAAAAAGAACGAGAGAAACGAAAGAGAGAGGAAGAGGAAGGGAAAAGUAAAAGGUAUUUUGUGUCAGUUUGCCUGAAAAGUGGAGCGAAUCGUUAUUGCCGAUAAAACGAAAGAUGACAGGAUUUUGAAAAGUCAAAUAGUGUAGAUUUUUUUGCAAAUUGGCAUAAUUAAUUAUUGUAAAAUAUUUAUUUUAUUUUAAUAUAUUUUAAUCUAUAAUAAAAAUUUAUAAUAAUUUAUUUAAGAUAAUAAUGUAUUAUCUAUAAUAAUAUAUAAAAUAAAAAAUAUGAUUAAAUUAUUUUUAUUACUUUUUUUUUUUGCAAGCAAACAAUGUCAUGAAAAAUAAUUUUUUUUCUAAAAUCCAACACCAAACGAGUAAAACUUUUUCACGGAAAUUUUUUUUCAUCAAAAUUUUUUUUCAUGGCGUGGAACAAAACACUAAUUAACAAAAGGAAAUUCAAUAAGAAACUAAUGCUCAGUAUAUAAUCAAAUUCUAAAGUAGAUAUCUAAGAGCUUAACCGGUUGAAAUUAUUGAAUUAUUACUAGUAGCUUAUUUGUGAGUUAUUCACAAGAUAAUAGAUAGUAUGUUAACACAAUACACAUUUAACAACUAUACAUAUUUAAAUAAUGAGAAAUGAGAUAUAUGUGAAAAAUACCAAUAGUAUAUUGCAAGCUCCAUCAAGGGACGAAUGUUACCGAUAGUUCUAGUGAGCAUAGUGGCAAAGAGUGAGUGUUGUACCCGGACCCAAAUUCGAUUAUGAUUCAACUUCAGCUAAGUUUAGUUUCUAAUGAAAUUGAAACGAAGGGAGUAGCGUGUACAUAUCCUCUAAAAAAAGGUACGAGUAUUAUGCGAAUAAUGUUUAGAUCUUAUGAGUAGGGAAUAGAUAGAUUAAACAUGUGCUCUUUUUUCAAAACAAUUAGUCAUUUGAAAUACGAGUUUAUAUUUUGUAUGGCAAACAGAGAUUUCCAUAAUAUCACAUUAUGGGAUUGCUCUCGUUCGGUUAGAGGCCUCGCGUCGGAUUUUCUGUGUUAAAGGAGAGAAAGUUGAAUAAUUAGACUUAUACUAAAUCUUGAAAUUAGUAUGUAUGUCUUGAUAUAUUAUGGUCAAUUCACAUCUGGUAGCAAUUUAUAAUGAAUUUUAUCGAUCCAGGGUAAACUUUGGAUGAUUGCUGAUGACGGUUCAUAUAGAUGAUAUUAGGUCGAUAAAGUGAAACUCAGAAAAUGUAACAGAUGGAAACUACAGAGAAUAUGUGAAUAGCCGGUAGUGUAGAAGCCAGAGUGAGUUGUGUUUACUGCAAGGCCAUGUUGUUCAUUGAACUUGGCUACUAGAUGUUGCACCAAGAAUCUCUCCACCGUGUAGUAUAUUUUCUCCCUGACAUUUGAAAUUUUGCUGCCACAACAAGAUAAGCAUAUUUAUCAUGCUCUUUUUCCGUAUAUUGUAAAGGCUGAUUUGUAUUUAAUCUUUUUUUUUCCGGAAUUAAUUGUCGUCUUAUUAUAUAUUGUAAACAAAAGAAAACAAGUUACAUUUAAGAAAUUGUGCAAAGAAAGAAAGAAUUUCUGAUCUUAAGGAAAAAAUAAAUUUAAACAUCAUAUAUGAGAAGUUAGUUCUAAGUGGUUGCUGGAAUACCAAGUAGCCUUAUGUGACAUCAUAUAAAUGAAUUUUUGCUAGUAAAGGAAAGUAUGCCGCGCGGUAAUAUGUAAUGUUCUUUAGGAAAAUGAAACGCACUUGUUUUCGUUCUGUGUGAGGGACUAUUGAAAAAGAGCUGAUGUUGAUCAGUGUUAAGACGAGAAUGGAUUCGAGUAUGAUUCAAUCUAACAAAUAGUUGACUUUGACAUGAAGUAAGAUAUAAAUCUUUUUUUCAUUGAAGCUGGAGAUGAUGUUUUUAUGUUAUGUAGUAUAUAAGAAACUGAAGAUUUAAAAGUUAAGGUACGUUUGUGGUGAUAGGUGAAAAGCUCUUUGACUUCGAUUAUUGGCACCCUUCAGCAAGGGUAAAUGAAAAUUCAUCAACUGAUUUAUUGUUGCUUUUCACAGAGAAAAGAGAAGAAACAGAGUCGGUCAAUAUUAAAUUUGAUUUAGGGGGAAUUUGUAAAUAUUAUUUGAAGGAUGAGCAGGAAAACUUAGUUAGGAUACUACAUGACAUUGUUUUCAAUUCAACCCUGGAGAAUACUAGUUAAACAAAGUAAUUAGUCCCUUGUGAAUCCUUAGGGAUUUUGGUUCUGAGCUUCUAUGCAGGAUGCUCUCGCAGUACCAUUCACUAAUAACACGAGCAUAUGCUGUAACUAAUAAGGAUUGGGAGUACAAUAAAAAAAAAAAAAAAAAAAAAAAAAAAAAAAAAAAUUAAUUGUGAAUUUUUGUAUUGUAGUUGUUGCAGUGGUAAUUAGGUUAGUUACUUUGGGCGAACAACUUCGGAAGUCAAGUUUCUCCCAUCAAGGAGUUGAUCCGAUGAAGCGCUCAUUUAUCUGCUUCGCAAGAGAUUUUAAAAUUCGUAACAGGUUCUCUGUUGGAAUCCCUUCCUAUGAAACCUAACGAAAAUUGUCCUUCCAGCUUGUAUUCUGUAGGUUCAGUUUAGAAGUCAUGAUAUCAUGUAGUUACAUGUAUAGGGGGCGUAGAUGUCUGGAUAGGUAUGAGAAUAAUAUUUGUAGGUACAGAUUUAUUAUUAUCGAUGUCUUUAUUCGUAGGAAGUUGGUGGAUAUAUAAUUUAUAAUGAAAAUUUGAUAGUAAAUAUAUUAUGUACAUCUAUAUGCUUAUAAUAGUCAUUAUAUGACUAUAAUAUUAUAUAGAGUUGAGCUAGAAUACUUGUAAAAGUAUUAUGUGAGUGGUGCUUUUAAGUUUUUAGCCAUUGGAUGGAGAGAUGUGAGGUUGAGAUGAUGGUGGUAGGUGGUGGUAGGUGGAAUAGUGUUUGAUCCAAGGGCUAUUAGUAAUCAAUGAGUAGAUCCAAUGGCUAAAAACCUAAUAGCAUCAUGGGGGUAAUACUUGUAAAAGUACUCUAUAUGUAUAGGAUAGUUUUCUCCUGGUUUUCUUAUUGACUUCUCAAAUUACCGAUAUACCUUGUGAAACACGAUCGGCACGAACUACACUGAAGCAGAAGAGUGGUUCUCGAAUUACUCUGUAAUAUUUCAAUAGUCUCACAUCGGAUGAGAAUGGAGUUAGGAUUCGGUAUAUACAAGAUCAUGAACAUUAGUAAUAAUAAUUGAGUUUAAGAAUUUGAGCUAGUGUUUUAGGCCUAAUGAGUCAUGGUGGUUUCAUGACCAUUGAUUCAAGGAACUUAUGUUAACCGAUUUGAGUUAAUCCUUCCGGCCCUUUGGAAUGAAAUGAGAUUGUAUAGGAUUCACUUCUUUCUAUAUUUCUUUGAAAAGAGUGCUCAACCUACAAGAACUGUUUAUGAUAUUUAAGGUAGAAGGUAGAAUUCUUUAAAGAAAGAACUUCGAGUUAUUUAAAGUAAAAAACAAAAUUUAUAAAUAAAUGAAAUAAAGUAGGGAUCUAUGGAAUCAUUGCAAUUGAUGUUCGAUCCCUUUUCUUUUCUUUUCUUUUCUUUUUUUCUCAAGGAAAUGGGUUUAGCCUCGUUUACAUAUUGGAUUCACUUUCACCUACAGAAAAGUUGUAAGAAACUCGAACAGCUACAACUCCAACCUCAACUUAUCAGAUUCACCCAAAACAAGAGAAAUCAAUUUAAAUCAUGGCCUAGCUAGUUAAGAUUCCAAACAGAAAAAUCAGUGAUAAAUGAUUUGAAAUUCAAGAACAGUAGAUACUCUAAGCCAGAAAGUGGAAAUUUACACAAAGCAACCUAUAUUCCAGCUAUUAAAACAUCAAAUUAGGAAUAAAAAAUUAGACUGAGGAGAGGGAAGCUACGUACAUAUGGACCAAAUUGAGCUCGAAGACGUCAAGGUGAAGGAUGGACCCAUCCUCAAUGCUGUAGUCCGCCAGAGAUUUGGCCGUCUCAAGUAGACGAUGGCCAUUGAAAUAAAGCGCCCCAGGCCAUUUACCAAGAACAGUGAUUAACACAUCCUCGAUGGUGUUAGAGCUGUUCACCUCAAGCGCAUAAUUUCCAUAAUCUUCUGACUGCACAUAGAUUUUCAUUUCACCAUCCCCACUGGGUCUCAUAGAAGAGCUAGACUCUGCAUAUCCCUUGUUGGCUAUUUUUGUUGGACUAUCAAAGUUGCAUAUGUAAUGCACGUUAGUUUCUUUGUAAUAGAAUUUCACAUAGAUUGAUCCUAACAUAUUUCAGGCACCAGUACAUAUAUAACAAACAUUAAUAUUACUUCGGCAAAAAGGAAAAUUAAGUUACAAUUUCGAUGGCUUUUGCCACAUGUAAAACAGAUACAGGAUAAUUUGUUUAAAUUUUCUUCUUUCUUUUUUUUUUUUUUUCCUCUAGCCAUCUUAUCGAGCUGAUAUUCGGUUUCUGAUCGAAAUAAUCAAAAAAAUUCAAUUCAUUUGUUGGCUUCAUGACUAUUCAAUUCAUCACGAUGUUAAAGAAAGUAACAAUUCAAGAAACUCAUGCGAAGUAGACAUGUAGUUGAAUCUCUUUGCUUGCAACGAGAAUGUAAUUUCCAUCUUUAGGUAAGAUCUUUAAAUCUGGGACUAAAAUUAAUCAUAACCAAACUAAUUUAAAACGAACCAUACGAAAUCAAAAUCUAAGUUACUUAAUUCCAAACAAAAAGGGAACAAAAAGGGAAUAAGUGAUACUCAUAGGUGUGUGCCAACACCCGCGGCGUGCAGUUCAGAUGAAGCACGGAGCCGUGUUCGAUUCCGUAUUCGGCCAGGGUUUUCUGCUUCUGCAACUCCAGGUCAUUGAAAGAAAGCCGCGGCUCCGGCGCUCGGCCCGCCCUGUCGCUGCCGAGAAUCUUGACCAGCACGUCCACGACAGUGUUACGGCAGCACACUAGGAGAUGGUAGUUGUGGGUAGCGUCGGACUGCACAGUGAUCUUCAUCUCACUGGCGAACUGAUCAGGUUCCCCGGCGGAGUCCCACUUGGAGUUCCACAGUUCCGCGACGGAGGCCGGCAGCUCUGCAGUAUAUAAAUGACUAAACCAAUUAAGCAACAACAAUUGCAAUAUCAUGAUGUUCACAUGCAAACAUUUGGAUCAAUUAAUUACAGCGAGUCAAGUAUCACUGGCCACAGCAACUCCGAGACUGAGAGAGAAUUAAAGAGAGAUACACAAAAAAAAAAA
rnacentral:lncRNA from 1 species